rnacentral:lncRNA from 1 species
CCAGCCUGCUUUCACCACAAAGCCAUCCUUCUUCAAAAGCUCUCUCCAAACAAACUCCGCAUAGUGAGGGCAGAUUGGAGUGAUAAGCCUAGUCUGCACAUCCAUAAACCGCCAUACGAGGUCACGGUUCAUGCCCCCACUGCCACAAGAGAACCUAUACUCAUCCCUGGCAGCUUGAAGAUCAUAAAAGCCAGUCUUGAGAGCCUCCCGAAACAUGUAAUCCCUAUAAUUCUGCUCAGUCAUUUUGACAGCAAUGUUUAUCUCAUUUUCAAACACCCGAUCAGCAUAGGUAGAUGGGGGAUCUGUCCUCAAAGACGAUUCUGCAGCCAGAAUCUCUUCCAUCCAUGCAAUCUCUUUUGUAAGCCGUAAGAUUGCAGCAUUGGCAGUCUCAAACACAAAGUUUGCAUCAUCUACACCAUCCCCAGCAUCAGCCAGAGAGAAUCUUGUAGCAUCAGCAGAGAAUUCCUCAAUUGCCUGAUGCAGUGUCCUGAAAUUUCCAGUAGACUUGGACAUCUUCUCUGAAUUAAGCAUAAUAUGUCCAUUGCACCUGAAUCCACGAGGCCAGUGAUCCUUGGACAUGAUUGCUGUGUGAUUGUAGAUGCAAAAUGUUAAAUGGUUCUGGAUAAGGUCUUUUCCAGAAACUCUAAGAUCAAAUGGAUACCAGUACUCAAACUCCUGCUUCAUCUUGUUAAGAACAGAGGAUGGGAUAUCAGAAGAUUUGGGAUACUGACCACCACAGAAGAGAAAUUCCCAGACCUCAUCAGUCAUCUGGGCAGGUUUAACCAGAUCGGCACUUUUUCCGUACAUGUCCCCAUUUUGUAAAAGAUGAGCAACUGUGUAAUAAGCCAUGUAAAUGGUUGAGUCAGAUAAUGACUCAACAAGGAAUUCUGCAUCCCAAGGAAUGCGAGUCCCAAGCCCAAAGGAUCGUGAGCAAGCCCAUUGGUUCAGCCAUCCUAAAGUAUGUUCAAAGCCAUGUCGUGUCUCAUCAGAGUAUAGAUUCAUGUUGGAUAAGCACUCCUCAGCUACUUGUUUCCAUUCCGGUUCCCCAUAUGUGAUGUACCAUUGAUCUGUAAGAGCCACAACACACUCAUCACCAGACCUUGACAUAACCUUCUUCUCAGGCUCACUAUAAAUUAUUGCCUGGCCUGUCUCAAUCAGUUUGGUCCUUAUCAGUGCCUUAGCUUCCUGGACUCUUCUUCCUGCAUACUCUCCAACAGUCAUGGUUCCCUCUGUAAAACCUCUCAAGUACACCAACCUCUUCGCCUCAGCAAGCUUUUCUUUCUCAUUCUGACUUUUGAUUUUCAGAUCCACACAAACUUUUUCAGCUGCCCUGUCUCCAAAUUCUGGAAUGUCAAUGAUGGGUAUAAUCUCAAAUGGCAAUACCCAUUCAUCCUUCACCCCAAACUUUGCCCGAAAAGCGGGUUUUGCUUUCAAAUCAUGUAAGGCCAUAUAAUCAUCAGGAGCAUCGCUAGGAACACUGGUCACGAUCCCUGUACCUUUGUCUGUUAGAAUUGUCAUCAUUGGAAGAGCAUAUAUGAUCUCAUUAAAUGAGAGAGGAGAUUUUACAGGAAGACCAAUCAGAUCAUAACCAGUCAGUUCAACCAAGCAAUUAGGUUUUUCAGGGACGCGGGAGAGCUUCUGAUAAGCAAGGUUGAGUGCUGCUCUCUCAGUCAGAAUAAAUAUCUCAGUUUCAUUGAUUUCAAAGGCUCCGUAUUUCCCAUUAGGCAAAACCCAGCAGUUUGUUUGCCCAUACAUGGUCUCAGGCCUCAAUGUUGCAGCAGCCAAAAACACUUUUUUCCCUUCCAAAACACGCAUUUUAGCUGGAAAAGGUGGCACCACUUCCAUUUUAAUAAUAGUAUACUCUUGAGGCUGAACUCCUUCACCAGUUGCCCUAUCAUGAUCAGCACAUGGCUGACUAUCCAAUGGAGAAUAUAUAGUAUACCUCAUAUCUUUAACAAUCUUACCCAUCGAUUUCAACUUCCUCAUCUGCCACUUAACAAACGAAUCAAAAAACGGAUUCAUAUCUGUGGUCACAAAUGACCUUCUCCAAUCACAACCUAAUCCAAAAGCCUUGAGGUCUUGAACAGCCAAUGGCGGAAAGAACUUCAACCAUUCAUACGGGUUCUGAAACUUUGAUAUCUCACUAUCUGAAAGUCCAAAACUCCUCAUAAUUUCCCACUGAAACAUCUGUCCACUAGAUUUCGAUGCCGCCUUAGACUUUUUACCUUUAAACUUAUCAGGCGCCACAUUGGCAUCUUCAUUUGGGUCAGAUUCUUCUGUUGGGUUAGGUUCCUCAUCCACUACCUCAUGAGGAAAAAUGGGUGGAUCACCAAAUUGUUUGAUUUCCCUAGCAAGUUUAUCAGCUGAAGCCUUGAUUGGCAUACCGGUACAGUGAAAAGCAAAAGGCAAUAACACAUUGGCACCUCUUAAUCUAUGAUAAGCAGCAGCAAACUCGAGUUUCGAAAGCGAAAAGGCAUGGCCCAGAUGUAAAAAACCAUUCAUAUAAGGAAAAGGAAAGUUCCCAAAGAAUUUUUCACCUGGUUGAGGUGGUUUUUCAUUAGGUUCAGCUUUAAACACAUCUUUUUCUUCCCACCAAACUCUAACCUUUGACUCGAUUUCGAGGAGUUUGUCUCUCCUGGCAUAGCUCUUGCCUCCCUCUGUUGCCAUCUCGUGAAACCAAUGGAAACUGUUCAAAACCAAAACAAAAUAAAAUUCAUGAAAAUGAAACAGAAAGAAAACCAAAAAAAAAAAAAAAUGGAAGAAUCUUUGGAAAGGAAAGUGCCUGAGUUUAUUGAGGAAGAUGGUGUUGUGCCUACGAAGAAUCUUUGCUGAGUUGCAACGGAUAUAGAGCAAAUGAGUGGAGAUGAAGGAGGAUAAAGAGAAAAGGGGGAGACUGCGUUGAGUUUCAGUUCCAGUUACAGGGCUAGAUUCUCAUUGUUUGUUUUUACAGGUUUUUAGGGUUUUAAUGAUUAUUAAUUUUAAAUUAAAAAGGCCUGCCCCAACUUUUUAACAGAUCAAGAAACAGACCCAAUGUAGGAAAUAACCCAAUUUCAACAACUUUUAAUCAGACUGAGAAAGAGAAGCCCAACUAGGGGGGCAACUAACUGAACUGGACCAAUCCCAAUCUUAUGCUUAAGCCGAAACCCAAAUUCGUGCCAUUUUUCUAUAUUAAAAUGCAGGAGGGGCAAUUUUAAAAAUGAGUAAAACUUUUUAGGUUGUAAAAUUGACAAAAUUUUAUAUAAGUAUGAUCAAAUUGUCAAAUAUAUUUUGUAUUUGAUAUGUUCACACUGAUUGUAAUAAUAAUUUUCAUAUUUUACUUGACAUGAAAUAAAUAUAAUAUAAAUAUAUAAAUUAUUAUGUCUAGAUUUAGUCUGUUGCCUAAAUAAAAAAAUCUAAUUGUUGUAUAAAGAUAGUUUUCAACCUUUAUGCUUAUUGCUUUGGAUCAUCUGAAAUUCUCGUAGCCAUAAUUAACCAAAAUUCUGCCAAAUGCUAUGGCCCCAAAAUUUGUUUCUCAUCUCAUUGAAAUAGAUAGUUGCCGACUAAGGGAUCACUUUGUUGGCUUCCAUUUGUUAUCCUGGUCAGUCUGCACUUUUGAGCAAUUUCAUUCGUUCAAAACUAAGCAGGAAUCUGCUAUGCAAAAGUACAAAUCUGGUAUUACAACCAGACAAAACAAGAUUACAUAGGAAAAAACUAAUGCACAAAGAUUCUCCUUGAUUCAGCUUCCAACUUUGGCCGCAGAUGAAUUUAUAGGUUUGUUUUUGUAGUCAUGGACAGACAAUUAAUUCUUGUCCGUCAUUUUUAUUUUCUUGUUUUGGUGAAUACUAAAUAUAACUAUUAUUAUUUGUCCUUCGGAAAAACAAGGUCAUUGUACCAUAAUAUUAAGUGUAGCCAAUUGGCAAAGCUAGAAACAAAUACUAAGUAAUUUCAGUAUCUGUUCUCAAGAAGGAAGCUGAUAUCCCUUGAUUGCAGGACGGCGGAUUCUUUGGUGGUAAGGAUAGAGUUGACUCCUGAAAAUUUUCCUGGGAAAAUUUACUUCAGUUUAUAGAAGAAAAUGGCAAAGCCGGCAAUGAGAUUCCAAUAAUCAUGGACAAUUGGCAAAGCCGGCAUGUAUAUGUGAUGGGACUUUAGCUAUGGAAACCUACUGCACAUUUGAUGUGAAGGUAAAUCAAUACUACUUUGAAAGCUAAAAAUAGUAAACUGAAUAAAAGAGAUUUUAAAGCAAGAAUAUUUAACAAUAUAUUUGAUUGUUGUUUUUGUGCCAAAAGAGUUUAAAAAAAAAUGUGUCAAUAGGGAAAGCGAAACUGAUAGCAAAUCACUUUGUAAUAGCAAAGCCAAGUAAGGGCUCAUUUCUUGCACUUGCAGAGGAAAAUUAGACAAAAAUCAUGUUCUUCCAUCACCCCUUUUCACUGGAAUAGAAAAAAAUUGAAGUAUUACAACUGGUUUUCGUUGAUUUCAAAGGUAGUAGGCUGGCUCACAAUUUACCUUGGAUGAACAAUGAGUAAGGUUGGUUUAUAGAAUUCUCUCUAAUGUACAUUUUUUAAUUCCUUAGUGACAAAGACAAUGGGGAAAUUAAAGUCUUUGGAUAGACAUUUCAAAUGCAAAAUUCCAAAUGGGAAGAAAACGAAGCAAUAGUACUAUAAAAGUUGUUUGGGACAGCAAUUAGUGCAUUGAAUCAUUUAAAGCACUUCUGUCCCUUUUUUUCAAUGGUCCAAAGUCUCAACCACAAAGCAUAAAGAAGAAGGCAACCGAAAUGAGAAAUUGUGAAGGAAAAGUUCAAUGUUCCAAGUCUUCUUUCCUUCCAUCUUAAAAUUUGUCAUCAUAGCCUGCCUAACAUUAAUUUUUCCAGCUCCAACCUUAUCCUUGCAGUCUGCAAUCAAUGUUUGGCCUAAACCAAUACUACUUUUAUGGCCAAAAGCCACUUGCCACAUUCCUCUCUCCAAACUUCACCAUCAGUUCCCCCAACCACCAAUACCUCAUCCCGGCCAUCAACCGCUACCUCCGCCUUAUCCAGACAGAGCACCACAAUCCCCUUGUCACCCCUUCUGUCAACAUUUCCACCUCAUCCCCUCCUUUGCAAACUCUUACCAUCAAUAUAAUUGAUCUCACCGCCCCCCUCCAACAUGGGUCAAUGAAACCUACGCCCUCUCCAUUUCUGAAGUAGGUGCCACCGCCUAUUUGACAGCUGCAACUACAUGGGGUGCAAUGAGGGGCCUAGAGACGUUUUCCCAGCUGGUGUGGGGUGAUCCCUCAGCUGUUCCGGUAGGCUUGUACGUCUGGGAUGCUCCCUUGUUUGCUCACAGGGGAGUCAUGUUGGAUACAUCAAGGAAUUAUUAUGGGGUGGAUGACAUAUUGAGGACUAUUGAAGCAAUGAGUGCUAACAAGCUUAAUGUGUUCCACUGGCAUAUUACUGAUUCACAUUCUUUUCCUCUAAUGGUGCCUUCGGAGCCUGAGCUUGGUGCCAAGGGAUCUUAUGGACCUGACAUGAUAUACUUUCCCUCAGAUGUGGCUAGGAUUGUUCAGUUUGGCUUGGAACAUGGGGUCAGGGUCCUACCAGAAAUCGAUUCACCGGGUGAGCUUGUCAUAACAGUAACUUUUUCCUUCUAAAAAAGCGUGGUAUGACUGUUCAUUUUUAUAUUAACUGAUAAUAAUAGUUUCAUGCUUUUAUAUAUCAGUUUAUAAAUUGACAUUUAUGUAAACUUUUUGUUAUAUUUUAUGAUUUUAGAGUUGAGUGAAGUCCAAUUCUACGAAAACAAAGCACUCUCUUUGCACACUGGACACAAUAUGAAAUGAGAUUAUCAAAAUAUUUUUCGAUUGCAAUUGCAGGCCUUACGGGAUCAUGGGCAGAAGCCUACCGGAGAUAGUGGCAUGUGCAAACAUGUUCUGGUGACCAGCUGGAAGUCAAGGGGAUGACAGGCUUGCAUCUGAACCAGGAACUGGGCCAUCUAAACCCCUUGAACCCCAAAACCUACCAAGUUCUCAAGAACGUAAUUCGUGACGUAGCCAUGCUAUUCCCUGAACCAUUCUACCAUGGAGGAGCUGAUGAGAUAAUUCCUGGAUGUUGGAAAGCUGAUCCAACCAUUCAAACUUUCCUUUUCGACGGUGGAACUCUUAGCCAGCUCCUGGAAACCUUUGUGAACUCCACUUUGCCUUACAUUCUAUCCCUUAAUCGUACUGUAGUCUAUUGGGAGGAUGUUUUAUUAGAUGAAAAUAUCAAAGUAGACCCCUCAUUUCUUCCAAGGAAACAUACCAUUUUACAAACAUGGAACAAUGGCUCAAACAACACCCAAAAAGAUCGUUGAAGCGGGAUAUCGGGCAAUUGUAUCAUCUUCAGAAUUUUAUUAUCUGGAUUAUGGCCAUGGAAAUUUUCUUGGCAGUGAUGGCCAAUAUGAUCAGCAAACAACGGCUAACUCUGGAAAUGGAGGGUCUUGGUGUGGACCAUUUAAAACGUGGCAAACUAUUUAUAACUAUGACAUAACUUAUGUUGAGUGAAGACGACGCUUGGAGAGGUGGCAUUGUGGUCAGAACAAGCUGAUCCUACAGUUGUGGAUGCGAGGAUUUGGCCAAGAACUUCAGCAAUGGCAGAGACAUUAUGGUCAGGAAACCGGGAUGAGACAGGGAAAAAGAGGUAUGCUGAGGCAACUGAUAGGUUGAAUGAAUGGAGGUAUAGAAUGGUAAGUAGAGGGAUCAAGGCUGAGCCAAUUCAGCCACUGUGGUGUGUUAAGAAUCCGGGAAUGUGCAACACGGUCAAUCCCUUUUGAUUUCAUAGAUGUUUAAUUGUUUUAACAGAGACUUCAGAGACCAGUGAAAAAAGAAAUUGAUUCUGUAAUUCUCUUUCAUUUUCAACUUGUAUUUUAAUUGAUUAGCAAAAGAAUUGUCCUAUAAAUUGCAUAUGUGCUAAAUUUCUUGUUAGUUCUAGCAAUAAGUAGUAAAAAGGAUAAAAACAAACAUCUGUUUUUUAGGAAGAAAAUCAUGCAAGAGAGUGAAACCCAAAGGCAGGAACUUUUGAGAGAAAUUAUGCAAGUGGAAGAUAGAUGAGGGCAUGAGUUACUUGAAAAAAAAUGCAUUCAAAGGGAUAAAUACCCAUGAAAUUUGAAAGGAUAAUAAAAUUGAGACCCACACCAAUGAAAUGAAAGUUACAGGGGAAAUAAUAAAAAAAAAAACGAAAAUAUUAAAAAAUACUGUUGAAAGAGACUAAAAUCCGCCAAUAGUAUAUUAUAUAAAAGAGAUUAAAAAAAAUUAAGAGAAAUUCUUUCAUUAACAAUUAGUAGUAUUUGAUAUUAAUGGUCACUUCAAAAAUUAUGAUAAUUUAUAUACAAUGAUUAGAUCAUCAUUUUUGAUAAAUAUUUAAUGAUCCUAUGUGAUUGUGAUUUUGAAGGAUAAUCUAAUUGCCAUUUGAAAUGAUGAAAAGCUUUUAUCAUUUUAAUAUAUAAAAUUAGUAAUAAUCAAUAUUACUUAUUUAAUAUGUGAAUUAAAAUUUUGAUUUAUCUUAAAAUUAUAAUUAUUUUAUAUUAUAAAUUUUUAUAUUUUAAACUAAUAUUCAUUAUAAACAAAUUAAAAAUAGUUUGAGUAUUUUUUACUUUUUGUGUUUAUAUAUAAUAAAAUAUCUUUUUAUUAUAAUUUUAAUAGAUUAAUUUAUUUUUUAAUUCAAUUUUUUUACAUAAUUUAUAUUAUAAAAAUUAGUUUAUUUAAUAAAUAAAUAUAUUUAAUAAUUUAAUUAUAGUAUAAAAUAAAUAAAAUAUUGCCAUUUUUUAUGAAUUAUUAUCUUUAAAUAAUAUUUAAAUCAUUAAUUUGUAAUUAUUACAAUAAAAUGGUUAUUUUGUAUUUUUAAAUAAAUAAUAUUUUAUUUUUAAUAAUUCAAAUAUAAUGAUUUUUAUUCGUAUGAAUUAAUUAUUGUUAACAAAAAAAUGAUUUCAAAUCACGAGUAAUAAAACUUGUAGUUAUUAAUUUCAUUUUGAUAUAGAUCAAUAUGCGACAGCUAUAUCAAAAUACAAUACACUUAGAGAUGAUUUUUGUACUAAAUUUGUUACAAGAUAAAACUAAUUGUUUUUGGUAGUUUUCAGUAAGUUUUAAUGAAUUUUGGUGGAAUAAUUUAUUUUGAUUAAUACGUAAUGUGAAAUAUAUUUUAUAAUUUUUAAUUUAGCCUUUAUAGUUUAAUUAUUUUAAUCUAAUAAAAAUAAAAUUAAUUGACAAAAUAAUCUUUAAAAGUUUAGUUUCUUUAUUUUUUAUUUUAAUUUAUUUUUUUAUACUUUAUCUUUUCAAAUCAAAGUUUAUAAUUUUAUAAUUUAUUUUUUCAAAUUAAAAUUUAUUAAUAUUUCAAUUUUUUUAAGAAAGUAAUUAUGCUCAUUUUAUAAAGUUUAACAAUCAUAAAGCCUUGGUUAACUUUUUUAUUCUCUUUGUUUUUAUCUUAAUAUUUACAUAAAAAAUAUUUAUUUAAAUAACAUAUGAUCGGAUUAAGUGUUUGAAAAUAUUAUGAAAAAUUCAUGAUAUUGUUUCUAAUACUUUUAAACUUAUUUAUUUGAUUUUUGAAAAUAUUGCAUACUUAAUUUGUAAAUUAUUAAUAGUAUUAUAAUGUACAAGUUUAUGUAUGUUUAUAAAUAUAUUUGUACUAAAAUAAAAAAAUCUAAAAUAAUAUAUCGAAAUAAUUGGUACCGAUAUAUAUUAUUUAAAAAAAAACUGAAAUGUUAUCCAAUAUGAUAUUAAUAACUUUAACAAAAUCACCUUAAUAAUAAAAUCAUUUAGAUGAUUAUAUUUUCAUGAUAAUAUUAAAAAUAACAUCUAAUGAUACCCUUAUUAUAAUUUUUUAAACUUCUUAGGACAAAUUAAUAAGAUAACACAAAUGUAUUGAAAAUAAAAAAUAUAAUUAGAAAUCAAAAUAUAUUAAUCUUUUAAUUUCGUGGGUGAAAUUAAAAAAUUACACAAAUAAUACAAAAAACGAACUCAAAAAUUAGAUGAAAGUAAAACAUUUGACACAGGAUUCUGUGGGCUAUGUAAGCCUUUAGAUUUUUUUUUCCAGAAUUCACGGUGGGCUAAAACCCAAUAUGAUCCAAAAUUCAGGUUCUUGGAUCCAUAGUUUAAGUAGCCUAAGAACCCAAACUUAGUCCACGAAAAUCUGUUAACUUUUCAUUUUCCAAACUACUUUUCAAAUAAUAUUUUUUUAAUUUCUUUUACCAGCGAGUCAGCCACCUGAUUCCGUGAUUCGAUCAACAAACCCAAACGUUUCGAAAUUACAGAACCAAAUCCUGAGAAUCUCAAUUUCCCAUCUCUGAUUAUUUUUUUUCUAACUUGUUUUUUCCCUAUUUUCUUUAUGAAAUUAAACUACUAAAAGAUGCAGUCUCUUGAAAGCAUCACAGAUUCCUCAUUUCCUCAAAACCCUAACAAUUCUUCUUCUUCUUCUGUUAAUGGGUUGUAUCGAUGGCUCUUUGAAUGUCAUGGAAUUUGGCAUAACUUAGCUCUUGUUAUUCCUUCUCUUCUAUUUGUUCUUUUCUUAGGUUUUCAAGCCAAAAGAAGCUUCCAAAAGCUCUCUCAUGGCAGGUCUUAUAUCAUGAUUUCUUAUUACGGUUGCCUUGGCUUGUUAGCUCGCUCAAUCUUGCUUGGUGUUCUCUUCAGGUUGAGGGUUUUCUUUUUUCUCUAAGUCGAUUUUAAACAUUUGGGUUGUUCUUGAAUUAGCUUGUUGAUUUCUUAAAGGAUGAAAUUAAAUUGCUUUUUGUUGUUUCUAGGAAAUGAAUGCACUUUUUAUUUUUAAUUCUUCACAAGUUUGUUUAGUUUAUAUCCAAAAUACUCUUUUUUUCUUUGCAUCUAUGGCAUACGCAACAACUAAAUGGUACCUAAAUUAGUGGAAUGUAAUUUGGGUGUCUUGGGUUCAUUAGAAAUGGCUUGAAAGUUACUAUACUUGAUGAUUUUUCGCGUUAUGGUAAAUUACAAAUUGGAUUAUUGGACAGUUUUCAAGUUUUAGUUUUUAGGUUAGGCUUCUUUGAUGUCGUAUGUAAGAACAAUGCUCAGAAGCCAAUAAUGAUAAUAUAUAGAUCAGUGAAAUGAAAAUAUGUAUAGCAAAAGCCUUCUUUGUCGAGCUUAGAUGUUCAAUAGAUGCGUCUAGGCACUAAGCUUUUGGUAUGGCAUGAGUUUGCGACUAACUCAUUCAUUAUCAUGAAUGGUGUAUAAUAUCAUGAUUGUUCCUUUUUCAUAGUGUAUGUUUCCGUUUCGUAAGCAUGAGUAAAUUUUUUUUUUUUUUACUUUUUUUUCCAUAUGAAUUGUGUAUUGGUUGAUCCUUAACAGAUACUGUUUUCUGCUUAAUCUGGCUUCUUUAAAAAUGAGUUGUGUUAAGCAGCUUGGCUGCUUAUCCUUUUGAUAGUUUGAAGAGUUAGGGUACUAAAUUAUAUGCUUUGAGAGAACUCAUAUCCACUAGGAUUUAUGAAACAUGACCUGCAUUGACCCUUGAAGAUUCUUAUUCUAGUUGCGAGUAAGUUAACUUUUUCUACUUCAUAGCUGGAUGGCUAGGUUUACACUAUUUACUGAUUGAUGCAGGCCUGGGAAUGCAGUCCUGGAAAGGAAAUGACAUGGAAUAUCUUAUCGUUGUUUACAACUUCUGGGAUGCUGUUCCUGGAAGUUAGCUUGGUGGCAUUUUUACUUCAAGGAAAUUAUGCUAGUGGGUUGGAGGCUUUGACUCGAACAUUUGUUGUUUCGGGGCUUAUUGUUGGUUUGGACUUACUUCUGAAGGUACUUCUUUUAUUCUUGAAUAUUUUAACCUUCUUUGAAGUUCCAUAUCUGUUGCUGGUGAAUCAGACGGUGGUGGAAAAACAAAACAGUUUCUUUCCUUACUGUACUUUACUAAAUAGCAGAGUCACCGAUUCCUGUGGCCUAUAUUUAGAUUGUUGACCUACUUUAACUUCUUAAGCAAUCUAGAAUGCUAAGUAUGAUUGUUUAUACGUGUUUAAGUUGUUUUAUUUUCUAAUAUGGAAAGACACACAAUGUUAUUCCUUUUUGUGUUUUUCCCCUUUUGAAUUCUUUAUAAUAUUUUUGCAUCAAUGCUUAAUAUGUUGUGAUAUUAAUAUUUCAAUGGUCUUUUCCCUCGUUUAGGCUAUUUACCUAUUUGGAUUUGGUGUCCCUAUGUUCACUGACAACACCGAACAUACACAUCAAGUGAAAUGGGGCUUGUGGGUUGUUCACAGGCUAGUGCUGACUGCUAUUUAUGGCUUCAUACUGUUUAUGUACCACUCUAAGUGGAGAGAAAGGUUACCUGGUAUGUUAAUCUAAGUCACAUACAUUUGUGCAGGUUAUUUAACAGUAGUUGCAUAGUUGUGUCACCUGGAAUCUUCUCUCUUAUUCUGCAGCAAGACCUGCAUUCUACAAAUAUGUUGCAAUCAUGUUCAUCUUGAAUGCACUAGCACUGAUUACUUGUGGACUAACUGGAAAUGGUGCUAGUUUUGGGUUUUGGUAAAUACAAGCUUGAUGCCCUUUUUUAAUUGAAGAAUUAUGUUUGUUAUUUAUAUUGGUAUAUUAUGUUCUUUUCCAAGGGUUUUUUUUUAAAAGAAUAGGAUUGACAGGUUGUACAGUGCCACAAUUGUUUGCUACCACGCCUUGUACCUUCCUCUUCUGUAUAUAACUUUUCUGGCAGAUUUUUUCCAGGUAAUCAUUUAUUUCGGAUUCAUAGCAAAAAUUUUAUCUUGUUAUUGAUUCUUUAGCACCUUAUAAUAUGUUAGUACGGUAAAAGUAUCUCCAAUGCCUGCAGGAGGAAGACUUGCACUUAGAGAAUGUGUACUUUCAGAGAUGAAAGAUGCUGGUUUCUUUGAUGCUGACUGGGAGUGAGCACUGUAUCAACUUUGAAUUACUAGAUUCCCUUUUCGUUAGGAUCUGUAAAUGAAAUUAAAUGCAAUUCAGAUUGUAAAAUGUCUGAUCAAAGGAUGGUUGAUCGAUCCAUGCAUGUAGUAUUUAUAGAUACUGCUCUGGUAAUGGCGACAGUAAUCCUAUAGCUCGUAUAUUUGUAAUAAUCUCCUGUUUUAUAAAUUUAAGUUGAUUGCAAAUAAAACUUGUCCAAUCUUCUUGUAGCAAAAAAACUAGAAGCAUUGUGUACGUUCUUGUAGAAUUUCUCUUUUAGUUUUUGUGUUAUUGUAAUAAAAUUCCAAUUAACAGCUUCAUGUUGAUGGUGUUUAUGCAUACUAAUAGAUUGGUUAUCCUUCACGGUUUCCCUUUGCAUUAUUACCGCAGGUUUGUUGAUAUUUACUCUUUGCCUCAGCUUAAUGGGGCUGAGGCAUCAAAUAUCCGAAACAUUAGCCGUAUCUUAUUCUCUUCGGGCUUCAUUGUGUCGGUUUCUUUAAGAGUGUAAAUGAAAUAUUAGUAUUUAUAAAUUAUUCGAAUUUAAUAUAAAUAAAAUUUUAAUUUGGAUUCAAUUAUUAUCGAGUUGUCGAGUUCGAGUUCGAGUAGCUCGACUUAUCGAUCGAGUUGAUUUUAAGUAUUUUUAUAUUUGAUUCGAGUAGUUCACAAGUUUAAUUGAAUUUUAUAUUUUAAUAUAUUUUAAUUAUUUUAAUUGAUAAAAUAUUUUAAACUCAAGUAUAAAUAAUUAAGUUUUUAUCGAAUAUAAGAAUUGAGUUUAUUUUUAUAUAUUAAUUAAGAUUAAUCAAAUGAAUUUUAAUAGUUAAAUUUUAUUUCGAAUCAAACUUAAAUUAAAAAAAUAAAAUUCGAUCGAAUUUGAAACUUUAAAUUUGAAAUUAAAAUUGAUUUAAAUUUAAUGUAUAUUUAUUCAAACUUUAUCGAUUACACUCUUAAUUUUAUCUAUGUUAGUGAAGCUACGGACAUCUUUUUCUAAGGCCUCAGUUGGAUUUAACUGAAGCUUCAGUGUGUUGCGUUUUCUUCACUUUUUUCCUUCAAUCUCACCGUGAUUCAUAUUUGGAUAACAUCAAUGAUGGUGAGUUUACUAGCGUGAAUCGCACUAAAACAUCAGUUGAAGACAGGACUUUUGGGGUUCAAUGGAUAACUAAUAUCCCAAUAAAUCUUUUUUAUUCACAUUAUUUUUUUUACAUUCUUAUCAUGCCCUUAAAUGAGUUUUUAGUUAAAAAAACCUAAAAUAUGAUUUUUUUAACUUAUUUCUCUCUCUUUCUGUUUCUGUCACCAUCUUAAAUUUUUAACCCUAAAUGCCUCCUCCUUCGUAUUAUCGCCCCUUGCUACUGUCACUUGUUCCAUUUCCCCUUGCUAUUGUCACUUGUUCCAUGUUAAGGACAUUAGAUAAAAAUAUUAUUUGAUAUUAAAAAAUUUAAAAUUUUGUAAUUAUUUAUUAAUUUAAAAAUAUUAAAUAUAUAUAUUUAUUAUACAUAAAUUUUAAUUUAAUGUUAAUAUAAUAUUUUAAUAAUAAUUUUUAUUUUUAUUAUAUUUUAUUUCACCAUUACUAUUAAUUUUACAUUUAAAUACAUAUUUCACUGUUGAUAUUAAUCUCAUCAUUACAAUAUUCAAUCUCAUCAUUAUAUUAACUAAUCUCACUAUCAUCAUAAAUUUAAUCUUACUAAAAUCAAUUCACUACCUAUAUAAAUGAACCCUAAACUAGCAUGAAAAACUUUACAUUAUGGAGCUUGUUGGAUUAAUUGUGGGUUAAAAUAUAAAAUAUAAAAUCAUAACUUACUCAUUAAAAUUUUAAUUAAAUUAAAUCAGACAACUCUCUUUAUUUUUAUUUUUUAUUUAUUUUUUUUUCUCGGUUUCAGCGUCACUCCACUUUUACACCUAAACAGCUCCCACUUCUUUAUUAUUUAAAUCUUUCAUUUCACGUUAAGUUAAAAAGGCCUUGCCCAUGAAUGGUCAAAACCAAAGAACGAGGCAAGACCCCACGUUCUUAACAUCUUUUGCAAUGGACCGACAAUCGGGCAUUACGCUUAAAAGUUUAAAGUUGAAAUUUUGAACUUGAUUUAUCAGUCUAAUACAAAAUCAGGUAUACAAAAUUUAUUCGAUUUCCACAGCCUAAAUUUCAAAAAAAAAAAAAAAAACAAAAAAGAACUUCUUGAAUAAAGUAGGAAUAUACAAAAGUCAACUCUUUUUCCAUCAAGAUUUUUUCAGAGUAUUAACAUCAGUAUAUUGUUGUGUGUUUCAUCAAUGGAAAGAUUGUAUUUGUAGGCAAACAAAAAAUAUGUCAUUUUCGAUAAAUAAAUGAUAGUGACUUACACUAUCAUCACGCAGUUGAUGCGUCUAAUAGUAUAAACAAAUGAUAAUGCUUAUACCAUUAUGUACCAAUAAAAGGAAAAAAAUUAGUGUAAUUUUUUAGAGUGAAAUUAAAUUCUAUCAUUUUAUUAAGAUUUUUUACAUUUACACAUUGAAUUUUUAAAAUUAUAUAUUAUAAUUUAUAUCAAUAAAAAAAUAAAAAAUAUAUUUUUUUAAUUUCAUUAAGCAUAUAUAUAAUUAUUAAUAAAAUUUUAAAUUAUAUUUUUUUAUAUAUUUUUUGUCAUAUUAUGAUAUAUAUUUUAAAUUCAUUAGAUCUAAUCAAGAAUAUUUUUUGACCGUGUACAUUUUNNNNNNNNNNNNNNNNNNNNNNNNNNNNNNNNNNNNNNNNNNNNNNNNNNNNNNNNNNNNNNNNNNNNNNNNNNNNNNNNNNNNNNNNNNNNNNNNNNNNNNNNNNNNNNNNNNNNNNNNNNNNNNNNNNNNNNNNNNNNNNNNNNNNNNNNNNNNNNNNNNNNNNNNNNNNNNNNNNNNNNNNNNNNNNNNNNNNNNNNNNNNNNNNNNNNNNNNNNNNNNNNNNNNNNNNNNNNNNNNNNNNNNNNNNNNNNNNNNNNNNNNNNNNNNNNNNNNNNNNNNNNNNNNNNNNNNNNNNNNNNNNNNNNNNNNNNNNNNNNNNNNNNNNNNNNNNNNNNNNNNNNNNNNNNNNNNNNNNNNNNNNNNNNNNNNNNNNNNNNNNNNNNNNNNNNNNNNNNNNNNNNNNNNNNNNNNNNNNNNNNNNNNNNNNNNNNNNNNNNNNNNNNNNNNNNNNNNNNNNNNNNNNNNNNNNNNNNNNNNNNNNNNNNNNNNNNNNNNNNNNNNNNNNNNNNNNNNNNNNNNNNNNNNNNNNNNNNNNNNNNNNNNNNNNNNNNNNNNNNNNNNNNNNNNNNNNNNNNNNNNNNNNNNNNNNNNNNNNNNNNNNNNNNNNNNNNNNNNNNNNNNNNNNNNNNNNNNNNNNNNNNNNNNNNNNNNNNNNNNNNNNNNNNNNNNNNNNNNNNNNNNNNNNNNNNNNNNNNNNNNNNNNNNNNNNNNNNNNNNNNNNNNNNNNNNNNNNNNNNNNNNNNNNNNNNNNNNNNNNNNNNNNNNNNNNNNNNNNNNNNNNNNNNNNNNNNNNNNNNNNNNNNNNNNNNNNNNNNNNNNNNNNNNNNNNNNNNNNNNNNNNNNNNNNNNNNNNNNNNNNNNNNNNNNNNNNNNNNNNNNNNNNNNNNNNNNNNNNNNNNNNNNNNNNNNNNNNNNNNNNNNNNNNNNNNNNNNNNNNNNNNNNNNNNNNNNNNNNNNNNNNNNNNNNNNNNNNNNNNNNNNNNNNNNNNNNNNNNNNCUAGUCAAACACAAAACUUGAUCAAGCAGACUACUGGUAGAUGUAGAACUUCAAGUGCCUCACCAUGCCUUUGAAAUUUCACAACCUUCAAGUCUGCCUCAUGCUAUAUGUACAAGAUCCAUCAACACCAAAGUUAUUCUACAUUUUUAAAAUAUAAAAAGAGACUUGUUUUCUCACAAUGUUAUUACUUUCCCUAAAUCAUAAGAGUGUGAAGUACUUUAUCCAAGACCAUACUCCUAGGGAGAAGACUAGCUGAAGAUUUCUUGUGACUAAUCGCUUUUAAAAUGCUUGCAAUGAAGAUAAACUUGAACAUAAGAGCCAAGAGAAAAAAAUAAUUAGCUUCGAGCCUUAACAACAUUAUAAUUUUUCUUAGCAAAAGAAGUUAGUAUAAAGGAAACAUCAUACCUGCUUAAAACGAACAUCUUCAGACUCCUCUUGGCUCAAUUCUGAAAGAAAAUUUCCUUUAUUUCAGUGCUUUUGUUUUUGCUUGGUUUAGGAAUAGUUAUUAGAUCCAAAACCCAAUUACCAUAAACGGGAGUAAACAGAAUACAGGAAUAGAUGCAUAACAAACACUUCCAUUCACUUAAGCAAGCACAUUACUGAGCUUAAGACGAAAAAAGGUUUAUAUUAAUCAGUACUAGGAAUUGAGAUUAACUUACCAAAUGCCUCAAAUUGACCCUCAGUUGGUAGUUUCACCUCAUCUGCAAACAUGAUAACAGUAAAAAGGAAAAAAUUGUUAAGCAACCGACACAUCUUCUGCAUUUUAAAGCAUGCCACUCAUGCACAACUUUGCAUUGACAAUGAAAUAUCAAUUCUAAAGAUGUUAUUACAUGCCAAUAGAAUGGCAGAUUCUCCCUUUAUUAAUAGAUGUCAUGUUGUUCGAAAAGGAAAGAAAAAUAAUACCAGUUUUUAGCAAAUUCUGGCGUCGAUUUUUAGCCAUUGCAAAUGCAACUGCAUCCUCUACCUUCAGAAAAGAUAAAUUAUUUAAAAGAACCACCAAAUACAGGGGAAAAUAUUCUUUAAGACUGCAAGCAAACUGACCAUGUCAUGUGAUAUUAUCAUUAAAUUGAUAAAAAAUAAUAAUAAGAAAGCGCAUAAGAAGGAAGAUAGCAUGUGCUAUUACAUCCAUAACUCUUGAUGAAUUGAUGAUAAGUGAGAAGAAGAUAGAUGAUAUCACAACUGCAAACACAAGGGAUACGGCAGAAGAACCCUUAAAUAAAGCCAGUUCCCUUAGACCGUUUCUAACUAAAAGCACUGCCUUUCAACAUUUCUCUCUCCAGAUACGUGCACCAAAGUCUUGCAGGACCUUUUCUCUUUCUUCUAAAUCAUUGUUCGCUGUUCAUAUGGAGAUAGACAACAAAGAUUAAGCAAAACUGAGGACAUUUAGUUUUCUCUCCACUAGAGAGAGAGAGAGAGAGAGAAUUUGAGGACUCUAUAGAGCAUAAAAAACCAAAUGGAAAAGAUCAUCGAAAUAGUUCAUUUUCCAAUCCUAUCAAAAGGUCAGAUGGAAUAUAUGGAACGUGGUUGAAUUAAAGCAUGCCAGAUCAAAUGGAAAUCUUACAUUGAAGAUUCCUCCCUCUUUGGCCUCUUUGCCCAGCAGCUAAUACUAUUUCAACGGAAGAGGAGCAAAUGAUGACCCAAUAUUCAUGUUUUGCCCCAGCUAUCUCUGCCUGAAUACCUGCAAAAGGUCAUGUCCUUGAGAAAUCUAAGCAGCUUCAUACAAAAUGUACAAAAGACAGAAUUAUGGGUUUGCACAUUAAAGAAACUGACUGCAGUUGCCAACUUUAAUUACUCUCAGGAUUCACCUAACCAUUUUAUAUUGGAACGCAGUGCUUUAACUUUUAUGGUGAUUAUUAGAGGCAACUGUUUAUCCAAUACAGCAGCAUCAACUCAAAAACAAUCAGGAAUUUCACGUAUUUAAAUAUCAACACUUUACCAUGUUCCACACAUAAACUCCAAUAACGAGCAAGCCAGCAUCUCUUUAAAACAACCUCUUCCUAAGAUGAAAACUGCAGAUUACGUAACUAUGACAUAAAGGAGUAAACUGACAAAAUGAUUUCUGCAAGAUUAGAAAUAAAGUCAACCAUCUCUUCCUCAGUCAGCAUCAUCCUUUGAGUUACUGUUUGCAGAGAUUUGAUUUCACACUCCGCUUCAUGGAGCUUAUCUAAGGCAGAUGUUGCUUCAUCUCUGGCAAUCUAGCUCAUAAUUAUAGAACAGAGAAAAUUAAGUUAAGCAAGAACAUUUCCCCCUUUUUAAGAAUGGUAAAAUUCAAAAGAAAAAGCCAGAGCAUACAACAUAAAAUUUCAAAAUACCUCAGCCUCUGUCCGAAGAGAAGCAAUCUGUUCGGGUAUACCACCAUGAGUUUGCGUUGCAGCUCUUAAAGCAGCCUGCAAGAAGAACAAUGUCAUAUGCUACUCAGCUGCAGUUCAUAAACCAUGUCCAGACUAAAAUGUAAAAGUAAAAGAAUUAAAGUAGCACAAUGAUUUUUGCAAAAAGAAGUCAGUUAUAAGCAACAAAGCAGGACUAGAUAGAUCUACAAAAGCAAUGAAACUAUUGAAGAUGUUAAGAAUGAAUAAAGCAUGACCUCUGGCAAUCCUUCCUACAGAUCUAAAGCAAACACCAACUUCUGUGCUUAGUGUCUAUUGACUGUUGAGUCGGCAUUUAUUUUUACAUAUCAGAUUCUCAUUUUAAAAUUUAUGCUAAAAAUUUCAUGCACAUGCCUGCUUCAGGUGUAUAUAAUAAACCUAUCUAUGCAUGAAAGCAGUACCAUCUCACAAAGAGAGAUGCAUAAAAAGAUGCAGAAAUAAGCAUAAAUAAACUCAGUAAACACACACUUACAAGACAAAAGAAUGUCUUUUAAGGCUCAUAGUUAUCGAGUAUUAUGUAAUUUUCCAUGCAUAAUGAGACUGAUAACACAUGCAGAUUAGUUUGAGACAAGAAAAGAGUGGCACUCUUUAGAAGUACAAACCUCCCUUUCCUGCAGGGCUGCCUCCUUUCUGAAGAGGAAGACAAAUAGCGCAUAAGAAAAAGGAAAAAUAAAUCACAAUAUAACAUUAAAUUCUUGUAAGCCAUAAACUUGCCUGCUUAAAAGACGUGCUUCUAAAGUUACACCUUCUCCAAGAUUAGCAAUCUAUAUUGAACAUGUUAUGAAUCAAGUAAACAAAUACAUAAUUUUGCUUGCUGGAGCGGUAUAAAGUUCAUUUACAUUUCUCUUGUUUAGUUUUCUUUAAACUGAGAAAAGUUCACCUGUUUCUCAAGCUGCUGAGCUCUUGCUUCUGCUUCCUCACACCUCUCCUCUGCAAGUUGAAGCUGGGAAGGCAAAUAUCAUGGGCAAAAAUAACAGUAUAAGACUAUUAUUAACAUUUUCCGUAGGCCAAAGCACUUAGUUGGCUAACCUAAUUACAUCAGAGUUUUUGGGAGAAAAUGGUGUUGCAAAAGUUAUAUCCAAAUGCCAGUAUUCAGAUAGAUUAUGCCCGUUCAUUUGAAGAUAACUGUUGCAACAAUUUAGGAUAUUGGCUCAGUGCUUGAAGAUGAUGGAGAGCCAAAUUGAUGUGCAUGAAUACAAUAUCAUUUUUCCAAAUAAAACUUUUCAUACAACUUUACUAGAUACAACAAUAGAACAAGUUACAUAACAAAGAAGAAAAAAGUUGCUGGAAUCACCUUUUCAAUUAAACUUUCAUUUUCAUCCUGUAGCAUAUCAAGCUGCCAUGAAAUUCACACCACAUUACUGGAAGAUAAAAAUAAACAUUUUCCUAAGCUUCUUCAUGUGUUUGAUCACAUAGACUGAAAAUUGAAGUGUUCAGACUUGAACAAAUUAAUUAGGUUUUUGAAAAAGAAGAUAUGAUGACCUAUACACCUGCUUUCAAAUAAUUCCUUAGAAACAAAAAAGAAAAAAAUAAAAUUGCAACGAAUAUAUGCUAGAAGGAAACACAUAUUUAGCUUAACGUGACUGUACCUCAUCUUGUAAAGCAGAAGUAGACUGCUGUCUUCCCCUAUCUUUCAAACUGCUCAUACUCCCAAAAUCUGAAGACAAUCUGCUUACACUAUAAAUUUUAGAGCACUAUAGAUGAAACAAAGAAAGAACCUAAACCAGUGCAAUGGGCAUUUUACAUGAUCCCAGGAUCUUGAGACCCUAACAUUAUUAAUUGAGAAAAACGCAUGACGGUGAUGGGCUUAAAUAUUUCCAGGGGAGGGCAUUAUGCAUUCUUGAAUACUGGAAGAGCAGCAACAAAGCCUUUCUUACUGUAGAGAUGAAAACAUAAGGACCUGAAUUACUCAUAUAUAUCUAUUAUCUUGUGACUAUGUUAUAUAAGAAUGUUCUUAAUGUUGUUUAAAUUUAUGACACUCAAUCGCUUCUAAAUCACGAAUCAGAGAAGUUGCUCCAUUUGAUGGCAGAUUUCCUCAUUCUCUUUCUAAUAUAUCUAAAACUUCAAAGACCAAGUUAAAAGGGAAAAUUCACAUUAUAUGUAUAAAACUAACAAAAAAAUAUAAGGGUGACGAAAGAAAAAAAUUGGAGGGGAUUACGAUAUGGAUGAUAACUUCAUCCUUCAAACUGAAAUCACACCAGCUUAGAGCUAUAAUAUACUGUUUAUCUCUCCGAUUAUCAGUUGAAGCCUCUGUUGAACUAACAGAUGAGGUUGGCUUCAGUGGCAUAGGCACUGUAUGAGGUAUCACAGGAACUGCCUUGACUCCUAAAUGUUGGCGACCUGAUGCUGUGGAACGAGCAGAUAAAGGUUGCUCUAUGGAUCUGGUUAAUGGACAUAACCGGCCAGCAGUUGGCUGUUCUGCAGAACCCUGCAGAGAUGGUUGUCCGCCUGAAAUGGAAUAAGGAGACAUGGGUUGCUCCACAGAGCUGAUAGAGUGAGAUGGUUGGCCACUUGAAUAAGAUGAUAAUGGUUGCUCCAUAUUGUUGACAGAUAGAGAGGUUUGACUGCCUGGUGUGGAACGUGUAGAUGGUGGUUGAUCCUGAUUGAUAUGAACUGACUAAUAGCAAAUUUAAAGUUACAAGUAAGAAUUACAUUCAUAAGUAAUAUAAGCAUUAAACAAACAAAAAAUUUAGAUAACUGAGCAUACUCAGUUAACAGACAAAUUACCGAGGGAGAAGAUGAACGUAUUGCUUUUCCACAAGCAAGUCCAAUGGUUGCUGUGCCACUCGCUGAACUAUUAUUAUUUGCAAGGUCAUCCACAUCAUUGUCCUCAUCACCUGGUUGCUGUGCUACUUGUUGCACAGGCCUUUGAGCCAUAGUUUUGGCCUGUGUUUACGAAUGGAAGUCCAUAUAAGAAUGCAUUUCUCAGUAGCAUAAAACUCCAGCAUUAACCGUAAAUCUUUUCCUUAAACUCACAUCAUAACUUGUCUGCUCAAGCUCAUGCUUCUUCUCUCACAUUAGCAUGACAAGCAAGAAAUAGCUAAAACAAAUUCAUAAUAGGAAAUCACAUAAUUACCAUAGAAGGGCGUGACUGCAUUGCCCUACCACGAGCAAUACCAAUGCUUGCUCUGCCACUAACUAAAAGGUCAUCCUCAUCAUCGCCCUUAUCAGAUGCUUUCCGUGUAGUAACUUGUGGCAGCCGCUUCUGAGUUAUGUUUUUAGUCUGCAAAAUUAUACAGUGCUAGUCCACUGAGAACAUAUUUGUUGGUAGCAUCAGGCUUUUGCAUGUAAUGUGUAAGUCACAGAAGUUACAAACUAACGAUUAGACAUCUAUGAAUUAUCUUAUUCAACAAAUUCCUUUGCAACUUAAUAUUAAACUUUCUUCCCUAAACACAUUUCAAGCAGCAACCCAAUUAUAAACAACAAUAUGUUCAAAUCACCAAAUUUGUACUGAUAAGAAAAUCAAAUAAGUAAUUUUGCACGCAAGACCCAUAUGGUUACCAAACAACUAGUCAGCUGAAUAAUACACUUCUCUUUGUAAUAAGUAAUAAUGCAUUAAGGAAUAUUCGGAGUCCUUAAAGACUAAAUCAGUCAAUUACUGAUUUCCAGUGCUCAAGCAUGCAUGAACAGGUCACUCAAUUAUUAGCUUACGACUUAUCUUGUUCACACUCUCACGUUCCAUUUCAUACAGUGUUGACAAAAUGUUACAUUUAUCAGAGACAGCUCAAGCCAAGCUUAUAAAAACACAGUACUUUCAUAGCUCCAAAAGUUAAAAUGACAAAAAGAUAAAUUUAAAAUUUUAAGUCUGAAACUUAAACAACUUGAGCAAUUUUAGAUAAAACCUAUUAUAUGUCCAGAGAAUUUAAAAUUUGUUAUAAAUGUAGCUCAAACUAAGAAUUUAACUUGUCUAAUUGCAUUCAUUUUCUUUCCCUGAGGCUCACUAGACAAACAUGUCUAUCUAAAUCAGAUAGUCAUAUAAUUACCGCAGGAGAGCAUGACUGCAUAGCCCUUCCACCUGCGAGCCCUAUGCUUGAGGUACCACUCACUAAAAGGUCAUCAUCAUCAUUGUCCUCAUCAGAUGGUUGUUGUGGUGCUCGCCUUUGAGCUAUGUUUUGUUCUGGGUUUUACAAGAUAACUUGCAGUAAGAACAUAUUUAUUUGCAAUGUAAAACCAGCUAGCAUGCUAACAUGAACAAGCUUUAGAGCAGCAUAAGAGAGUUUGAAAUACAUUACAAUGCAUGACAAAUUGAUAAUACAGUUAAUAGUGGUCAAAAAAAUCUUUUAUAGAGAAGUGUUAUUUUAACUUGUCAAAUGGAAUUUAUUGAACUACAACAAGUUUGUGCGUCUCACUUUGACACACAUGCAGCUGGUAUAGCUAAAACCAAAUUUGUGUUAGAUAAUUACUGCAGGAGACUGUGACCGCAUUGCCCUUCCACCAGCGAGACCUAUGCUAGCUGUGCCACUGACUAAAAGUCCAUCCUCAUCAGCUGGUUGUUGUGUCAUCACUACUGGAGCUCGCCUUUGAGGCAUGUUUUUGUGCUGGAUUUUACAAUGCAAGUCCAAGUAAGAAUAAAUUGACUUGCAAUGUCAUAAGUCAUAACUCUACCACAUGCAACCAUGAACAAAUUUAGAGUUUAGAGCAGCAUAAGAGAAUUUAAUACUUAAUUGAGUCAUGAUCAUAGCUAAGGAAAGUGUCUUUUAACUUGCCUAAUUCAACUCGCUCUUUUUUCUCUUACCUCUCACUUAACUAACAUAGCAUAGGUCAACCUAAACCAAAUUCCUAGUAUUAGAUAAUUCGAUAUAAUUACCAUAGGAGAGCGUGACUGCAUUGCUCUUCCACCACCAAGCCCUAUACUUGGCGUGCCAGUCACUAAAAUGUCAUCCUCAUCAUUGUCCUCAUCAGCUAGUUGUUGUGUCAUUGCCUGUGGAACUCGCUUUGAGCCAUGUUUUUGUUCUGGAUUUUACAAAGUUAAACCCAGCUGGUAAGAAGUAAGAAUUAUUUAUUUCCAAUGCCAAGCUCUUGCAUAGCAAAAUAGUGUUGAAAAUGCCCAUUAAAGAAAAGUGCCUAUGACAGAACUGAUAAGGGGGUAAGUUUAAAAAAAACAUAUAAAGAUAUUUUAAUCCAUUGUUUCACUUCUUAAACAGUUCAUUAUUCAUACUGAUAUGAAGCUUUAAUCUCAAAAUUAAUGUAAAAAUUGUCAAAACCAUCAUGUUUCGAACACAUACUUGUAUCCGACACCCUACCCCUGAGAUCACGUAACAUUAAAUUACCAUAGGAGAACGAGCACGAGUUGCUCUUCUACCAGCGAGUCCAAUGCCUCCCGUGCCAUUAAUGUUAUUAUAAUCAAGCUGGUCAUCAUCAUCACCCUCCACGUUUUGCUGGUGUGCCAUAACAGCCGCCAGCCUUUGCGCCGCCGCUUUCGUUUGCGCUUUCUUCAUGUUCCCCACGCUUGCGUAGCUUGAUCCCGACCGUCCGUGGCGGUGUAUCGGCGACGAUGAUGUCAGUGGUGAUGCCGGCGUCCCUGGCGUCUCCGAGUCCACCGUGGUCUGAUGUCUCUCGUAUGCUAACUUCCUCCUAUUCAUAUUGACUGCAAUAAACAAAUUGAAAGCAAAAAGAAAAAGAAAGAUAAAUCAAUCCAUAUUAAAAGAAACAAAUACAAAAAACUUAAGAGUUGAACUUAAAACUUACCAGGUUGAUCAAAGAGAAGACUCUGUUUUUCAGUAAAAGGUAAGAAAAACAAGCAUUGUUCCGUGACACAAAAUGGAAAAGAAUGAGAAAAUGGUGAUUAGUUUUCCACGAAAAUGUGGGAAAUUGGAAUAGUUUACGGGGACGCAUUUGAAGUGAAAAAUGGUAAACCAAAGGAUCCGAUAAUUAAGGCAAGAAAAGAGGAAGUUUUAACGGUCCAUUAUUUUUUCUUUUUCUAGAACUGAAAGAUUUUCUUUUACAUGUCAAAUACGUCCCUGUGGGGUGAAUGUCUAAUUUCAUUAUAUUGAGGAAUAUUUUUGCAAUUACCUAAAGUAGUAGUGUUAUACGCUUGUACUGACUCGUUCAAUAAACACUUUUUUAAACAAUAUAACAAUUGAAAGUGCAUUGUUUUUCAUUUAACAACUUUUUUUUUCAUAUUUGAUACUCCUUCUGUUUCAUAUUUUAUGUUCUUAUUUGUUUUUUGGAAUUAAAAAAAAAAGAGAGAUUUAACAUGCAUUAUUAACUUUAAUUUUUUGUAAAAUAUAUAAUUCCUAGUUUUUAAUAUCAAAAAAUAAAAAAUUAUGAAAAAAAAAGUUUGGAAUAUAAAAAAAUUAAGAAUUUUAGGUUUUUAAAAAAAUAUAUAAUUUUGAAAAAAAAAUGAGAUUGAAAGAGUAAUGACAAUACAAUAGAAUUCUUUUAAUUCUUCUAUAAAAAAAAUGAAAUUCUUAUAAAACCUUUUGUAGUGGUAGAAAUGUUUAAGUAAAAAUCAUUUGUCUUAGGCUAUGUUUUCCAUGCACUACCAUGUUAAAUUCAAAUGGUAACAAAACAAGAAUUUUUUUACUAAAUUUUUUUUAUUAAUGUUUUAUUUGGAUGACCAAUAGAAAACGAUUCCUACCACAUCAUCAUUAGAAACCGGAUUGCGACAAUGCAAGCACUGAUCACUCAGUAAUCUGAACUGGAAACCUGUUCUUUUUCUUGCUUUUGAAACACCAUUGGUGUUUUUUCGUACAAUUGCGAGCGAUUAACAGUAAGAACCAGGUCAAUAAUGUUGGAAUUUAAAAAAACAAAUAGGAAUGAAUAAGCAAAACUGAUAGAAGAAAAUAUCAAAAGAAAAAAAAAAAAUCUUUGACUUUAAAUGCAAAACAAAAUAGGAAAAACACAUAGGUUAGCAAAGACAUGUCACAACAGCAUUUUGAUGCAAUAUUUCUGGAAGACAGCAAUAAAAUGUUUUACCUGCAUACAGUAAUAAACUCAAUUUUUAUUUAAGCAUAAGUGACCAUUCGCUAUUCAACACCCAAUUAAACACAGAUGCAGAGAGAAAACACCAAUUUAGAACGCCUGAUACCAAAUAGUCCAACAAAAAAACAUUUCCUCGAUGUAACAUAGCAUGCUAAAAUGACAAAGUUCCUUCACCUUGACAGGAAGAUGGCAGUCGGAUUUCCAGGGGAUGGAGGAUUCUGCUUUAGCAGGGAUGCAUGAGGACCAGCUUGAACAUAAGCAUCAGGAUCAGUGGCCGACAAGACUUCUACCUCUUCAAGACCAAGUUGUCUUUUGAUCAAGUCCAAGUUCUCCUUAAGGACCUGAAUCUCUCCAAAGGGCAGCUUCAAAUCCAGGACUUGGGCACCAAUUUUAAUAGCCUCAUCCUUCUUGAACGUCAAGAAUGGCAUACAACGUUUCUGGAUCUGUUUAAAGUCUGCUGCCUGACCAACAGUGCUCUCCUGCAAUGCGUUCAUUAUCUCCCCGUCUGAUGCAAAAGUAUGGGUCUUAUUGUCGAACUUGCUUUGGAGAAUCUGCAAACACUCUGCUUGCCAUCCUUCAAAUUGCUCAUUCACAAAGAUUAGGCCUUUUAACUUGUCCUCAGUUAGCGAUGUAACAGGAGCACCUUUCUUAUUAGCUUUCUUUGAUCCCAAAAUCUGCUUCUGGAGCAGCUUUCUCAUCAACACAAUGGAAUCUUGCAAAUACUUAUCGGCACUCUUGAGUUGCAGAUCUGGAGAAUCUGCUGUGGGCCAGCCUGCUUUCACCACAAAGCCAUCCUUCUUCAAAAGCUCUCUCCAAACAAACUCCGCAUAGUGAGGGCAGAUUGGAGUGAUAAGCCUAGUCUGCACAUCCAUAAACCGCCAUACGAGGUCACGGUUCAUGCCCCCACUGCCACAAGAGAACCUAUACUCAUCCCUGGCAGCUUGAAGAUCAUAAAAGCCAGUCUUGAGAGCCUCCCGAAACAUGUAAUCCCUAUAAUUCUGCUCAGUCAUUUUGACAGCAAUGUUUAUCUCAUUUUCAAACACCCGAUCAGCAUAGGUAGAUGGGGGAUCUGUCCUCAAAGACGAUUCUGCAGCCAGAAUCUCUUCCAUCCAUGCAAUCUCUUUUGUAAGCCGUAAGAUUGCAGCAUUGGCAGUCUCAAACACAAAGUUUGCAUCAUCUACACCAUCCCCAGCAUCAGCCAGAGAGAAUCUUGUAGCAUCAGCAGAGAAUUCCUCAAUUGCCUGAUGCAGUGUCCUGAAAUUUCCAGUAGACUUGGACAUCUUCUCUGAAUUAAGCAUAAUAUGUCCAUUGCACCUGAAUCCACGAGGCCAGUGAUCCUUGGACAUGAUUGCUGUGUGAUUGUAGAUGCAAAAUGUUAAAUGGUUCUGGAUAAGGUCUUUUCCAGAAACUCUAAGAUCAAAUGGAUACCAGUACUCAAACUCCUGCUUCAUCUUGUUAAGAACAGAGGAUGGGAUAUCAGAAGAUUUGGGAUACUGACCACCACAGAAGAGAAAUUCCCAGACCUCAUCAGUCAUCUGGGCAGGUUUAACCAGAUCGGCACUUUUUCCGUACAUGUCCCCAUUUUGUAAAAGAUGAGCAACUGUGUAAUAAGCCAUGUAAAUGGUUGAGUCAGAUAAUGACUCAACAAGGAAUUCUGCAUCCCAAGGAAUGCGAGUCCCAAGCCCAAAGGAUCGUGAGCAAGCCCAUUGGUUCAGCCAUCCUAAAGUAUGUUCAAAGCCAUGUCGUGUCUCAUCAGAGUAUAGAUUCAUGUUGGAUAAGCACUCCUCAGCUACUUGUUUCCAUUCCGGUUCCCCAUAUGUGAUGUACCAUUGAUCUGUAAGAGCCACAACACACUCAUCACCAGACCUUGACAUAACCUUCUUCUCAGGCUCACUAUAAAUUAUUGCCUGGCCUGUCUCAAUCAGUUUGGUCCUUAUCAGUGCCUUAGCUUCCUGGACUCUUCUUCCUGCAUACUCUCCAACAGUCAUGGUUCCCUCUGUAAAACCUCUCAAGUACACCAACCUCUUCGCCUCAGCAAGCUUUUCUUUCUCAUUCUGACUUUUGAUUUUCAGAUCCACACAAACUUUUUCAGCUGCCCUGUCUCCAAAUUCUGGAAUGUCAAUGAUGGGUAUAAUCUCAAAUGGCAAUACCCAUUCAUCCUUCACCCCAAACUUUGCCCGAAAAGCGGGUUUUGCUUUCAAAUCAUGUAAGGCCAUAUAAUCAUCAGGAGCAUCGCUAGGAACACUGGUCACGAUCCCUGUACCUUUGUCUGUUAGAAUUGUCAUCAUUGGAAGAGCAUAUAUGAUCUCAUUAAAUGAGAGAGGAGAUUUUACAGGAAGACCAAUCAGAUCAUAACCAGUCAGUUCAACCAAGCAAUUAGGUUUUUCAGGGACGCGGGAGAGCUUCUGAUAAGCAAGGUUGAGUGCUGCUCUCUCAGUCAGAAUAAAUAUCUCAGUUUCAUUGAUUUCAAAGGCUCCGUAUUUCCCAUUAGGCAAAACCCAGCAGUUUGUUUGCCCAUACAUGGUCUCAGGCCUCAAUGUUGCAGCAGCCAAAAACACUUUUUUCCCUUCCAAAACACGCAUUUUAGCUGGAAAAGGUGGCACCACUUCCAUUUUAAUAAUAGUAUACUCUUGAGGCUGAACUCCUUCACCAGUUGCCCUAUCAUGAUCAGCACAUGGCUGACUAUCCAAUGGAGAAUAUAUAGUAUACCUCAUAUCUUUAACAAUCUUACCCAUCGAUUUCAACUUCCUCAUCUGCCACUUAACAAACGAAUCAAAAAACGGAUUCAUAUCUGUGGUCACAAAUGACCUUCUCCAAUCACAACCUAAUCCAAAAGCCUUGAGGUCUUGAACAGCCAAUGGCGGAAAGAACUUCAACCAUUCAUACGGGUUCUGAAACUUUGAUAUCUCACUAUCUGAAAGUCCAAAACUCCUCAUAAUUUCCCACUGAAACAUCUGUCCACUAGAUUUCGAUGCCGCCUUAGACUUUUUACCUUUAAACUUAUCAGGCGCCACAUUGGCAUCUUCAUUUGGGUCAGAUUCUUCUGUUGGGUUAGGUUCCUCAUCCACUACCUCAUGAGGAAAAAUGGGUGGAUCACCAAAUUGUUUGAUUUCCCUAGCAAGUUUAUCAGCUGAAGCCUUGAUUGGCAUACCGGUACAGUGAAAAGCAAAAGGCAAUAACACAUUGGCACCUCUUAAUCUAUGAUAAGCAGCAGCAAACUCGAGUUUCGAAAGCGAAAAGGCAUGGCCCAGAUGUAAAAAACCAUUCAUAUAAGGAAAAGGAAAGUUCCCAAAGAAUUUUUCACCUGGUUGAGGUGGUUUUUCAUUAGGUUCAGCUUUAAACACAUCUUUUUCUUCCCACCAAACUCUAACCUUUGACUCGAUUUCGAGGAGUUUGUCUCUCCUGGCAUAGCUCUUGCCUCCCUCUGUUGCCAUCUCGUGAAACCAAUGGAAACUGUUCAAAACCAAAACAAAAUAAAAUUCAUGAAAAUGAAACAGAAAGAAAACCAAAAAAAAAAAAAAAUGGAAGAAUCUUUGGAAAGGAAAGUGCCUGAGUUUAUUGAGGAAGAUGGUGUUGUGCCUACGAAGAAUCUUUGCUGAGUUGCAACGGAUAUAGAGCAAAUGAGUGGAGAUGAAGGAGGAUAAAGAGAAAAGGGGGAGACUGCGUUGAGUUUCAGUUCCAGUUACAGGGCUAGAUUCUCAUUGUUUGUUUUUACAGGUUUUUAGGGUUUUAAUGAUUAUUAAUUUUAAAUUAAAAAGGCCUGCCCCAACUUUUUAACAGAUCAAGAAACAGACCCAAUGUAGGAAAUAACCCAAUUUCAACAACUUUUAAUCAGACUGAGAAAGAGAAGCCCAACUAGGGGGGCAACUAACUGAACUGGACCAAUCCCAAUCUUAUGCUUAAGCCGAAACCAAAUUCGUGCCAUUUUUCUAUAUUAAAAUGCAGGAGGGGCAAUUUUAAAAAUGAGUAAAACUUUUUAGGUUGUAAAAUUGACAAAAUUUUUAUAUAAGUAUGAUCAAAUUGUCAAAUAUAUUUUGUAUUUGAUAUGUUCACACUGAUUGUAAUAAUAAUUUUCAUAUUUUACUUGACAUGAAAUAAAUAUAAUAUAAAUAUAUAAAUUAUUAUGUCUAGAUUUAGUCUGUUGCCUAAAUAAAAAAAUCUAAUUGUUGUAUAAAGAUAGUUUUUCAACCUUUAUGCUUAUUGCUUUGGAUCAUCUGAAAUUCUCGUAGCCAUAAUUAACCAAAAUUCUGCCAAAUGCUAUGGCCCCAAAAUUUGUUUCUCAUCUCAUUGAAAUAGAUAGUUGCCGACUAAGGGAUCACUUUGUUGGCUUCCAUUUGUUAUCCUGGUCAGUCUGCACUUUUGAGCAAUUUCAUUCGUUCAAAACUAAGCAGGAAUCUGCUAUGCAAAAGUACAAAUCUGGUAUUACAACCAGACAAAACAAGAUUACAUAGGAAAAAACUAAUGCACAAAGAUUCUCCUUGAUUCAGCUUCCAACUUUGGCCGCAGAUGAAUUUAUAGGUUUGUUUUUGUAGUCAUGGACAGACAAUUAAUUCUUGUCCGUCAUUUUUAUUUUCUUGUUUUGGUGAAUACUAAAUAUAACUAUUAUUAUUUGUCCUUCGAAAAACAAGGUCAUUGUACCAUAAUAUUAAGUGUAGCCAAUUGGCAAAGCUAGAAACAAAUACUAAGUAAUUUCAGUAUCUGUUCUCAAGAAGGAAGCUGAUAUCCCUUGAUUGCAGGACGGCGGAUUCUUUGGUGGUAAGGAUAGAGUUGACUCCUGAAAAUUUUCCUGGGAAAAUUUACUUCAGUUUAUAGAAGAAAAUGGCAAAGCCGGCAAUGAGAUUCCAAUAAUCAUGGACAAUUGGCAAAGCCGGCAUGUAUAUGUGAUGGGGACUUUAGCUAUGGAAACCUACUGCACAUUUGAUGUGAAGGUAAAUCAAUACUACUUUGAAAGCUAAAAAUAGUAACUGAAUAAAAGAGAUUUAAAGCAAGAAUAUUUAACAAUAUAUUUGAUUGUUGUUUUUGUGCCAAAAGAGUUUAAAAAAAAAAUGUGUCAAUAGGGAAAGCGAAACUGAUAGCAAAUCACUUUGUAAUAGCAAAGCCAAGUAAGGGCUCAUUUCUUGCACUUGCAGAGGAAAAUUAGACAAAAAUCAUGUUCUUCCAUCACCCCUUUUCACUGGAAUAGAAAAAAAUUGAAGUAUUACAACUGGUUUUCGUUGAUUUCAAAGGUAGUAGGCUGGCUCACAAUUUACCUUGGAUGAACAAUGAGUAAGGUUGGUUUAUAGAAUUCUCUCUAAUGUACAUUUUUUAAUUCCUUAGUGACAAAGACAAUGGGGAAAUUAAAGUCUUUGGAUAGACAUUUCAAAUGCAAAAUUCCAAAUGGGAAGAAAACGAAGCAAUAGUACUAUAAAAGUUGUUUGGGACAGCAAUUAGUGCAUUGAAUCAUUUAAAGCACUUCUGUCCCUUUUUUUCAAUGGUCCAAAGUCUCAACCACAAAGCAUAAAGAAGAAGGCAACCGAAAUGAGAAAUUGUGAAGGAAAAAGUUCAAUGUUCCAAGUCUUCUUUCCUUCCAUCUUAAAAUUUGUCAUCAUAGCCUGCCUAACAUUAAUUUUUCCAGCUCCAACCUUAUCCUUGCAGUCUGCAAUCAAUGUUUGGCCUAAACCGAUACUACUUUUAUGGCCAAAGCCACUUGCCACAUUCCUCUCUCCAAACUUCACCAUCAGUUCCCCCAACCACCAAUACCUCAUCCCGGCCAUCAACCGCUACCUCCGCCUUAUCCAGACAGAGCACCACAAUCCCCUUGUCACCCCUUCUGUCAACAUUUCCACCUCAUCCCCUCCUUUGCAAACUCUUACCAUCAAUAUAAUUGAUCUCACCGCCCCCCUCCAACAUGGGGUCAAUGAAACCUACGCCCUCUCCAUUUCUGAAGUAGGUGCCACCGCCUAUUUGACAGCUGCAACUACAUGGGGUGCAAUGAGGGGCCUAGAGACGUUUUCCCAGCUGGUGUGGGGUGAUCCCUCAGCUGUUCCGGUAGGCUUGUACGUCUGGGAUGCUCCCUUGUUUGCUCACAGGGGAGUCAUGUUGGAUACAUCAAGGAAUUAUUAUGGGGUGGAUGACAUAUUGAGGACUAUUGAAGCAAUGAGUGCUAACAAGCUUAAUGUGUUCCACUGGCAUAUUACUGAUUCACAUUCUUUUCCUCUAAUGGUGCCUUCGGAGCCUGAGCUUGGUGCCAAGGGAUCUUAUGGACCUGACAUGAUAUACUUUCCCUCAGAUGUGGCUAAGAUUGUUCAGUUUGGCUUGGAACAUGGGGUCAGAGUCCUACCAGAAAUCGAUUCACCAGGUGAGCUUGUCAUAACAGUAACUUUUUCCUCUAAAAAAGCGUGGUAUGACUGUUCAUUUUUAUAUUAACUGAUAAUAAUAGUUUCAUGCUUUUAUAUAUCAGUUUAUAAAUUGACAUAUGUAAAAUUUUUGUUGUAUUUUAUGAUUUUAGAGUUGAGUGAAGUCCAAUUCUACAAAACAAAGCACUCUCUUUGCACACUGCACACAACAUGAAAUGAGAUUAUCAAAAUAUUUUUCAAUUGCAAUUGCAGGCCAUACGGGAUCAUGGGCAGAAGCCUACCCGGAGAUAGUGGCGUGUGCAAACAUGUUCUGGUGGCCAGCUGGAAGUCAAGGGGAUGACAGGCUUGCAUCUGAACCAGGAACUGGCCAUCUAAACCCCUUGAACCCCAAAACCUACCAAGUUCUCAAGAACGUAAUUCGUGAUGUAGCCAUGCUAUUCCCUGAACCAUUCUACCAUGGAGGAGCUGAUGAGAUAAUUCCUGGAUGUUGGAAAGCUGAUCCAACCAUUCAAACUUUCCUUUUUGACGGUGGAACUCUUAGCCAGCUCCUGGAAACCUUUGUGAACUCCACUUUGCCUUACAUUCUAUCCCUUAAUCGUACUGUAGUCUAUUGGGAGGAUGUUUUAUUAGAUGAAAAUAUCAAAAUAGACCCCUCAUUUCUUCCAAGGGAACAUACCAUUUUACAAACAUGGAACAAUGGCUCAAACAACACCAAAAAGAUCGUUGAAGCGGGAUAUCGGGCAAUUGUAUCAUCUUCAGAAUUCUAUUAUCUGGAUUGUGGCCAUGGGAAUUUUCUUGGCAAUGAUAGCCAAUAUGAUCAGCAAACAACGGCUAACUCUGGAAAUGGAGGGUCUUGGUGUGGACCAUUUAAAACGUGGCAAACUAUUUAUAACUAUGACAUAACUUAUGGUUUGAGUGAAGACGACGCCAAAUUAGUGCUAGGUGGAGAGGUGGCAUUGUGGUCAGAACAAGCUGAUCCUACAGUUGUGGAUGCGAGGAUUUGGCCAAGAACUUCAGCAAUGGCAGAGACAUUAUGGUCAGGAAACCGGGAUGAGACAGGGAAAAAGAGGUAUGCUGAGGCAACUGAUAGGUUGAAUGAAUGGAGGUAUAGAAUGGUAAGUAGAGGGAUCAAGGCUGAGCCAAUUCAGCCACUGUGGUGUGUUAAGAAUCCGGGAAUGUGCAACACGGUCAAUCCCUUUUGAUUUCAUAGAUGUUUAAUUGUUUUAACACAGACUUCAGAGACCAGUGAAAAAAGAAAUUGAUUCUGUAAUUCUCUUUCAUUUUCAACUUGUAUUUGAUGUUUCAAUUGAUUAGCAAAAGAAUUGUCCUAUAAAUUGCAUAUGUGCUAAAUUUCUUGUUAGUUCUAGCAAUAAGUAGUAAAAGGAUAAAAACAAACAUCUGUUUUUUAGGAAGAAAUCAUGCAAGAGAGUGAAACCCAAAGGCAGGAACUUUUGAGAGAAAUUAUGCAAGUGGAAGAUAGAUGAGGGCAUGACUUACUUGAAAAAAAAGCAAUCAAAGGGAUAAAUACCCAUGAAAUUUGAAAGGAUAAUAAAAUUGAGACCCACACCAAUGAAAUGACAAGUUACAGGGGAAAUAAUAAAAAAAAAAAACCAAAACAUUAAUUAAAUACUGUUGAAAGAGACUAAAAUCCGCUAAUAGUAUAUUAUAUAAAAGAGAUUAAAAAAAAUUAAGAGAAAUUCUUUCAUUAACAAUUAGUAGUGUUUGAUAUUAAGUGAUCACUUCAAAAAUUAUGAUAAUUUAUAUACAAUGAUUAGAUUAUCAUGUUUGAUAAAUACUUAAUGAUCCUAUGUGAUUGUGAUUUUGAAGGAUAAUCUAAUUCUCAUUUGAAAUGAUGAAAAGCUUUUAUCAUCCUAAUAUAUAAAAUUAGUAAUAAUCAAUAUUACUUAUUUAAUAUGUGAAUUAAAAUUUUGAUUUUUCUUAAAAUUAUAAUUAUUUUAUAUUAUAAAUUUUUAUAUUUUAAACUAAUAUUCAUUAUAACAAAUUAAAAAAUAGUUUGAGUAUUUUUUACUUUUUUAUUGUUUUAUAUAUAAUAAAAUAUCUUUUUUUAUUAUAAUUUUAAUAGAUUAAUUUUAUUUUUUUAAUUCAAUUUUUUAACAUAAUUUAUAUUAUAAAAAUUAGUUUAUUUAAUAAAUAAAUAUAUUUAAUAAUUUAAUUAUAGUAUAAAAUAAAUAAAAUAUUGCCAUUUUUUAUGAAUUAUUAUCUUUAAAUAAUAUUUAAAUCAUUAAUUUGUAAUUAUUACAAUAAAAUUGUUAUUUUUGUAUUUUUAAAUAAAUAAUAUUUUAUUUUUAAUAAUUCAAAUAUAAUGAUUUUUUAUUCGUAUGAAUUAAUUAUUGUUAACAAAAAAAUGAUUUUAAAUCACGAAUAAUAAAACUCAUAGUUAUUAAUUUCAUUUUGAUACAGAUCAGUAUGCGAUAACUAUAUCAAAAUACAAUACACCAAGAGAUGAUUUUUUGUACUGAAUUUGUUACAAGAUAAAACUAAUUGUUUUUGUUAGUUUCAAUAAGUUUUAAUGAAUUUUGGUGGAAUAGCUUAUUUUGAUUAGUUAGUAACUGUAAAAUAUAUUUUAUAAUUUUUAACUUAACCUUUAUAGAUUAAUUAUUUUAACCUAAUAAAAACAAAAUUAAUUGACAAAAUAAUCUUUAAAGGUUUAGUUUCUUUAUUUUUUAUUUUAAUUUUUUUUAUACUUUAUCUUUUCAAAUCAAAGUUUAUAAUUUUAUAAUUUAUUUUUUCAAAUUAAAAUUUAUUAAUAUUUCAAUUUUUUUAAGAAAGUAAUUAUGCUCAUUUUAUAAAGUUUAACAAUCAUAAAGCAUUGGUUAACUUUUUUAUUCUCUUUGUUUUUAUCUUAAUAUUUACAUAAAAAAUAUUUAUUUAAAUAACAUAUGAUCGGAUUAAGUGUUUGAAAAUAUUAUGAAAAAUUUAUAAUAUUGUUUCUGAUACUUUUAAACUUAUUUAUUUGAUUUUUGAAAAUAUUGCAUAUUUAGUUUGUAAAUUAUUAAUAGUAUUAUAAUGUACAAGUUUAUGUAUGUUUAUAAAUAUAUUUGUACUAAAACAAAAAAUCCAAAAUAAUAUAUCGAAACAAUUGGUACCGAUAUAUAUUAUUUAAAAAAAAUUAAAAUAUUAUCCAAUAUGAUAUUAAUAACUUUAACAAAAUCACCUUAAUAAUAAAAUCAUUUAGAUGAUUAUAUUUUCAUGAUAAUAUUAAAAAUAACAUCUAAUGAUACCCUUAUUAUAAUUUUUUAAACUUCUUAGGACAAAUUAAUAAGAUAAUACAUAUGUAUUGAAAAUAAAAAAUAUAAUUAGAAAUAAAAAUAUAUUAAUCUUUUAAUUUCGUGGGUGAAAUUAAAAAAUUACACAAAUAAUACAGAAAAACGAACUCAAAAAUUAAAUGAAAGUAAAACAUUUGACACAGGAUUCUGUGGGCUAUAUAAGCCUUUAGAUUUUUUUUUCCAGAAUUCACGGUGGGCUAAAACCCAAUAUGAUCCAAAAUUCAGGUUCUUGGAUCCAUAGUUUAAGUAGCCUAAGAACCCAAACUUAGUCCACGAAAAUCUGUUAACUUUUUCAUUUUCCCAAACUACUUUUCAAACAAUAUUUUUUUAAUUUCUUUCACCAGCAAGUCAGCCACCUGAUUUCGUGAUUCGAUCAACAAACCCGAACCUUUCGAAAUUACAAAACCAAAUCCUGAGAAUCUCAAUUUCCCAUCUCUGAUUCUUUUUUUUUCUAACUUGUUUUCUUCCCUAUUUUCUUUAUGAAAUUAAACUACUAAAAGAUGCAGUCUCUUGAAAGCAUCACAGAUUCCUCAUUUCCUCAAAACCCUAACAAUUCUUCUUCUUCUUCUGUUAAUGGGUUGUAUGGAUGGCUCUUUGAAUGUCAUGGAAUUUGGCAUAACUUAGCUCUUGUUAUUCCUUCUCUUCUAUUUGUUCUUUUCUUAGGUUUUCAAGCCAAAAGAAGCUUCCAAAAGCUCUCUCAUGGCAGGUCUUAUAUCAUGAUUUCUUAUUACGGUUGCCUUUGGCUUGUUAGCUUGCUCAAUCUUGCUUGGUGUUCUCUUCAGGUUUGAGGGUUUUCUUUUUUCUCUAAGUCGAUUUUAAACAUUUGGGUUGUUCUUGAAUUAGCUUGUUGAUUUCUUAAAGGAUGAAAUUAAAUUGCUUUUUGUUGUUUCUAGGAAAUGAAUGCACUUUUUAUUUUUAAUUCUUCACAAGUUUGUUUAGUUUAUAUCCAAAAUACUCUUUUUUUUUCUUUGCAUCUAUGGCAUACGCAACAACUAAAUGGUACCUAAAUUAGUGGAAUGUAAUUUGGGUGUCUUGGGUUCAUUAGAAAUGGCUUGAAAGUUACUAUACUUGAUGAUUUUUCGCGUUAUGGUAAAUUACAAAUUGGAUUAUUGGACAGUUUUCAAGUUUUAGUUUUUAGGUUAGGCUUCUUUGAUGUCGUAUGUAAGAACAAUGCUCAGAAGCCAAUAAUGAUAAUAUAUAGAUCAGUGAAAUGAAAAUAUGUAUAGCAAAAGCCUUCUUUGUCGAGCUUAGAUGUUCAAUAGAUGCGUCUAGGCACUAAGCUUUUGGUAUGGCAUGAGUUUGCGACUAACUCAUUCAUUAUCAUGAAUGGUGUAUAAUAUCAUGAUUGUUCCUUUUUCAUAGUGUAUGUUUCCGUUUCGUAAGCAUGAGUAAAUUUUUUUUUUCUUUUACUUUUUUUUUUCCAUAUGAAUUGUAUAUUGGUGAUCCUUAACAGAUACUGUUUUCUUCUUAAUUUGGCUUCUUUGAAAAUGAGUUGUGUUAAGCAGCUUGGCUGCUUAUCGUUUGAUAGUUUGAAGAGUUAGGGUACUAAACUAUAUGCUUUGAGAGAACUCAUAUCCGCUAGGAUUUAUGAAACAUGACCUGCAUUGACCCUUGAAGAUUCUUAUUCUAGUUGCGAGUAAGUUAACUUUUUCCACUUCAUAGCUGGAUGGCUAAGUUUACACUAUUUACUGAUUGAUGCAGGCCUGGGAAUGCAGUCCUGGAAAGGAAAUGACAUGGAAUAUCUUAUCGUUGUUUACAACUUCUGGGAUGCUGUUCCUGGAAGUUAGCUUGGUGGCAUUUUUACUUCAAGGAAAUUAUGCUAGUGGGUUGGAGGCUUUGACUCGAACAUUUGUUGUUUCGGGGCUUAUUGUUGGUUUGGACUUACUUCUGAAGGUACUUCUUUUAUUCUUGAAUAUUUUAACCUUCUUUGAAGUUCCAUAUCUGUUGCUGGUGAAUCAGACGGUGGUGGAAAAACAAAACAGUUUCUUCCUUACUGUACUUUACUAAAUAGCAGAGUCACCAUUCCUGUGGCCUAUAUUUAGAUUGUUGACCUACUUUAACUUCUUAAGCAAUCUAGAAUGCUAAGUAUGAUUGUUUAUACGUAUUUAAGUUGUUUUAUUUUCUAAUAUGGAAAGACACACAAUGUCAUUCCUUUUUGUGUUUUUCCCCUUUUGAAUUCUUUAUAAUAUUUUUGCAUCAAUGCUUAAUAUGUUGUGACAUUAAUAUUUCAAUGUUCUUUUCCCUCGUUUAGGCUAUUUACCUAUUUGGAUUUGGUGUCCCUAUGUUCACUGACAACACCGAACAUACACAUCAAGUGAAAUGGGGCUUGUGGGUUGUUCACAGGCUAGUGCUGACUGCUAUUUAUGGCUUCAUACUGUUUAUGUACCACUCUAAGUGGAGAGAAAGGUUACCUGGUAUGUUCAUCUAAGUCACAUACAUUUGUGCAGGUUAUUUAACAGUAGUCGCUUAGUUGUGUCACUUGGAAUCUUCUCUCUUGUUCUGCAGCAAGACCUGCAUUCUACAAAUAUGUUGCAAUCAUGUUCAUCUUGAAUGCACUAGCACUGAUUGCUUGUGGACUAACUGGAAAUGGUGCUAGUUUUGGGUUUUGGUAAAUACAAGCUUGAUGCCCUUUUUAAAUUGAAGAAUUCUGUUUGUUAUUUAUAUUAGUAUAUUAUGUUCUUUUCCAAGGGUUUUUUUUAAAAGAAUAAGAUUGACAGGUUGUACAGUGCCACAAUUGUUUGCUACCACGCCUUGUACCUUCCUCUUCUGUAUAUAACUUUUCUGGCAGAUUUUUUCCAGGUAAACAUUUAUUUCGGAUUCAUUGCAAAAAUUUUAUCUUGUUAUUGAUUCUUUAGCACCUUAUAAUAUGUUAGUACGGUAAAAGUAUCUCCAAUGCCUGCAGGAGGAAGACUUGCACUUAGAGAAUGUGUACUAUUCAGAGAUGAAAGAUGCUGGUUUCUUUGAUGCUGACUGGGAGUGAGCACUGUAUCAACUUUGAAUUACUAGAUUCCCUUUUCGUUAGGAUCUGUAAAUGAAAUUAAAUGCAAUUCAGAUUGUAAAAUGUUUGAUGAAAGGGAUGGUUGAUCGAUGCAUGCAUGUAGUAUUUAUAGAUACUGCUCUGGUAAUGGCGACGGUAAUCCUGUAGCUCGUAUAUUUGUAAUAAUCUCCUGUUUUAUAAAUUUAAGUUGAUUGCAAAUAAAACUUGUUCAAUCUUCUUGUAGCAAAAAAACUAGAAGCAUUGUGUACGUUCUUGUAGAAUUUCUCUUUUAGUUUUUGUGUUAUUGUAAUAAAAUUCCAAUUAACAGCUUCAUGUUGAUGGUGUUUAUGCAUACUAAUAGAUUGGUUAUCCUUCACGGUUUCCCUUUGCAUUAUUACCGCAGGUUUGUUGAUAUUUACUCUUUGCCUCAGCUUAAUGGGGCUGAGGCAUCAAAUAUCCGAAACAUUAGCCGUAUCUUUAUUUCUCCAGGCUUCAUUGUGUCGGUCUCUUUAAGAGUGUAAAUGAUAUAUUAGUAUUUAUAAAUUAUUCGAAUUUAAUAUAAAUAAAAUUUUAAUUUGGUUCAAUUAUUAUCGAGUUUGAGUUCGAGUUCGAGUAGCUCGAUUUAUCGAUCGAGUUGAUCUUAAGUAUUUUUAUAUUCGACUCGAGUAGUUCACAAGUUUAAUUGAAUUUUUAUAUUUUAAUAUAUUUUAAUUAUUUUAAUUGAUAAAAUAUUUUAAACUCAAGUAUAAAUAAUUAAGUUUUUAUCGAAUAUAAGAAUUGAGUUUAUUUUUAUAUAUUAAUUAAGAUUAAUCAAAUGAAUUUUAAUAGUUAAAUUUUUAUUUCGAAUCAAACUUAAAUUAAAAAAAAAAAAAUUCGAUCGAGUUUAAAACUUUAAAUUUGAAAUUAAAAUUAAUUUUAAAUUUAAUGUUAUAUUUAUUCAAACUUUAUUGAUUAUACUCUUAAUUUUAUCUAUGUUAGUGAAGCUACGGGACAUCUUUUUCUAAGGCCUCAGUUGGAUUUAACUGAAGCUUCAGUGUGUUGCGUUUUCUACACUUUUUUCCUUCAAUCUCACCGUGAUUCAUAUUUGGAUAACAUCAAUGAUGGUGAGUUUACUAGCGUGAAUCGCACUAAAACAUCAGUUGAAGACAGGACUUUUGGGGUUCAAUGCCAAUAAAUCUUUUUUAUUCACAUUAUUUUUUUUAUAUUCUUAUCAUGCCCUUAAAUGAGUUUUUAUUUAAAAAAACCUAAAAUAUGAUUUUUUUUAACUUAUUUCUCUCUCUUUCUGUUUCUGUCACCAUCUUAAAUUUUUAACCCUAAAUUGCCUCCUCCUUCGUAUUAUCGCCCCUUGCUACUGUCACUUGUUCCAUUUCCCCUUGCUAUUGUCACUUGUUCCAUGUUAAGGACAUUAGAUAAAAAUAUUAUUUGAUAUUAAAAAAUUUAAAAUUUUGUAAUUAUUUAUUAAUUUAAAAAUAUUAAAAAUAUAUAAAUUUAUUAUACAUAAAUUUUAAUUUAAUGUUAAUGUAAUGUUUUUAAUGAUAAUUUUUUAUUUUUACUAUAUUUUAUUUCACCAUUACUAUUAAUUUUACAUUUAAAGAAGGUGAUAAGCUAAUGAGAUACAAAACUCGAUUGGUGGUAAAAGGUUUUUGUCAAAAAUUUGACAUUGAUUUUAAUGAGAUCUUCUCUCCAGUUGUAAAAGAUGAGUUCUAUUCAAGUAGUACUAGGAUUAGUAGCUAGUUUGAAUCUUGAGCUUAAACAACUUGAUGUCAAGACUGCAUUCUUGCAUAGUGACUUGCAAGAGAAUAUUUAUAUGGAUUAGUAAAUUUUGAUAAAAAAAAGUACUUAGUUUUGUAAAAUGAGAAAAAAAAAUGUAUACUUGAAUAAGCCCUGAUAGUAUAAAAAUUUGAUUUUUAUGUAGAAAGCUAUAAAAAAAAGUAACGAAUUUUAUGAGAAUGUCAAAAAAAGAUGGUAAUUCAUAUUAUCUUAAUAUGUGAUGAUAUGUUGAUUGCGGACAAAUUAAUGUUAUAUGGUUCAUAAGUGGAAAACAAUUAUCUAAGUCUUUAACAUGAAAGAUUUAAGUAACAAGGCAAAUUCUUGGAUGAAUAUUAUCAGAUAAAGAGCUAAAAAUUUGUUGCCAAAAAAAAUGUCAAAUGAUUUUGUAUAAUUCAAAACUAUAACAUGCUAAUAUUAGUAGUCCAUUUUCAAAAAUUUAAUGUUGAGUAAAAAAUCUUAUCUGAUGACUAAAGAAAAGUAAUUAGCUAUGUCUAGUAUUUCUUAUUCUUCUGUAGUCGAUUUCUUGAUGUAUCUUAUAGUUUGCACAUGACCUAACAUUGCUUAUGCAGUUGGUGUAAUGAGUAGAUUUCUUUCUAAUUUAGGGAAGGUUCACUGAGAAGUAGUGAAAUGAAUUUUUAGAUAUUUAAAGGGCACCUCAAAAAUAUGUUUGAGUUACGAAAUUUCACAACCAAUUCUAGAAGGGUUUACUAAUGCUAACUUAACAGAUGAUCUUGAUGGUAGAAAAUUUACUUUAGGGUAUUUGUUCACUUUUACAGAAAAAGCUAUGUCUUGAUAUUCUAAGUUGUAAAAGUGUGUUACCUUAUCAACUACAAAGGCUAAGUAUAUUACAAUAACCGAAGCAAGUAAAGAAAUGCUUUGGAUGAAACUUUUUUUUCUUGGAUUGAGGUUAAAUAAAAAAAAGUAUGUGAUAUUUUGUGAUAGUCAGAAUGCUUCAGAUUUAAGUAAGAAUGCUAUGUACCAUGCUAGAUCGAAGUGCAUUGAUUGUUAGAUGUCAUUGGUUACUUUUGAUAAUUGAAGAACAACAGAUGCUAUUGAGAAAAGUCAUAUUUAUGAGAAUGUGGUAGAUAUGUUGACUAAGAUACUUCCUAGAAAAAAGCUUGAGCUCUGCAGUAACUUGGCCAGAAUAGGUUUCUUGGGUAAGGUAAGUUCCAAAUGAAAUUGCCAUGGUAAUGAAUCUCCUUAUAUUGGGGUUAAAUAAAGAUAUUGUUAGGAAUAUGUGGGAUUCAACCCCAUGAUAUUGGUCUUAACCAUUCAAAGUUUUAGGCUACCCUAAGAGAGCCCUAGGUAAUAAAAGAAAAAAAAAGUUGUAUUUUUUGGUAAGAAACAGAGGGUUAAGUGUCAAAUACAAAAAUGAAAAGCCAAAAAAAUAAAGAGAAAAGAGAGAAAAGAGAGUUAGUUAAACAUAAUCAAUCUAUGGUUUGAUUGAGUUAAAACUUUGUCAACAUGUUUGCGAUUCAGAGUUUCACAUUCUAAACAGUAAAAAUCAGGUUUGAAGCUUUUUAGGAACAAAUUUAAGGAAUAUUUGUUGAGUCACCGAUUUGAUGAGAUUUCUUCAAUUAUCUUUCUAGUUAUUGACUAGCUCUAAUUUUAACUAGAAGAGAACUUUGUAUAUUCAUUAUUUAAUAGUAAAGAUUUUUCUAAUGGUUCGUGAAUUUUUUCCUUUAUACUGAAGGGUUUUUCACAUAAAUUUUAAUGUGCUUUAUUUUUCUUAUGUUGUUGAAUGUUAAUUAUUGUUUUAUAAUAUAUUACUUCUGCGUUGUUGUAUUUGUUGCUUUAGGUCUAACAAAUAAGACGUUUCGCCUUAGUUUGGGAAAGCUUAGAGACGUCUUAUAUGAUGCUAAAGAUGUGCUUGAUAAAUUCAGGUGUGAAGCGCUGCAAAAAGAGUUGAUCAAUCGUGGAAGCACCACCACCAAAUUGGUACAAUUCCCUGCCCUCUCUAUUCCAUUUGCAUUCCCUUUAAGGAGAAGUCAUAAAAUCAAAAGAAUCAAUGAAAAGCUAGAUACGAUUGCUAGUGAUUUCAAAAAAUUUAAUCUUGGACUUGAAGAGAAAGUUCAGAACCGACAUGUUAGUCUUAGAGAUGCCCACUCUUUCGUUAUACCCUCUAAUGUGAUGGGUCGAAAUCAAGCCAAAGAAAACAUCAUAGAUGUUUUAGUCAAGCCAACCAUUUUUUAAAAAAUACCCGUCAUCCCUAUAGUUGGAAUCGGAGGUUUAAGGAAAACCACACUUGCUCAACUUGUGUACAACGAUGAAACGAUCACUAAGGUCUUUCCCUUAAAAAUAUGGGUGUACGUGUCAAAUGAGUUUGAUCUUGCUAGGUUGCUCUGUGAUAUUAUUUACUCCAUUACGGAGGAAAGAUGUAAUGGCUUACCAGUUAAUGCAUUGCAAACUCAUUUGCGAAUGCUUUUAAAUGGUAAAACUUUUUUGCUUGUUUUAGAUGAUGUAUGGAACAAAGAUCAUGUAAAAUGGAUGGAACUGAGAGAUUUACUAAUGACAAUGGGUAACUUUCAACAAAGUAAAAUUAUUAUGACUACACGAAGUUCAAAAGUUGCUUCGACAGUGGGUACUAUUGCUCCGUACAACUUGAAUGGUCUUAGCCACAAAGAUUGUCUGUCUUUGUAAAACGGGCAUUUCAGGAAGGGGAUGAGAAAGUUUAUCGAAACCUUAUGAGAAUUGGUGACGAAAUUGUGAAAAAAUUCAAAGGGGUUCCAUUGGCGGUGAGAACUUUAGGGAGCUUACUCUACAUGAAAACUGAGCUUCAUGAAUGGGAAUUUAUAAAAGAUAAUGACAUAUGGAAACUUAAUCAAAAUGAAAAUGACAUCCUACCUAUGCUGAAAUUGAGUUAUAGUCAUUUGCCAUCUCAUUUGCAAAGGUGUCUAACUUAUUUGUCAUUGUUUCCAAAGGACACUAUUUAUGAUACUGAUUACAUCGUCCAAUUCUGGAUGGCCAUUGGACUUAUUGAAGGCCCUAAGCAAAAUGAAGAGUGAGAAGAUGUUGGGUUACGAUAUUUCAAAGAAUUAUGGUUGAGGUUACACAUUUAAAAUCCAUGGCCUAAUGCAUGAUCUCUUGUCAAAUGAGUCUCAAGAUGACUGCUUAACAAUUUAUCCUCAUACAGUAAAUGCUACUGAAAAUACUCGACAUCUGUUAUUUUUGGAUGAUAAUCCAUUAGGAGCUCCACAAUCAUUUUCGAAGAAUUUAAAAGUUGUGCGGACAUUAGUAAUCCUACCUUCUUCAGGAAGAAAUAGGAUAAUUGAGGAACAUUUUGUAAAUGCUUCUAUCUUGAAUUUCGAGUUCCUUCGGCUACUUGAUCUCUCCUCUUCAUCUUUGGAUGUAUUGCCCAAUUCCGUUGGCACCUGGAAGCAUUUAAGAUAUCUUGACUUAUCCAGCUGUCGAAGAAUGAGGAAACUUCCUACUUCUAUCCGUAAACUUCAGAGCUUGCUGACUUUACGGUUAGCUGGCGUUCCACUGAUUGAAGUACCUGAAUGUUUGCAAAGCUUGAUUAAGUCUCAGAUUUCUAGAGAUAGCCACAGAUUCUGUGUUUUUAAGGGAUAUUCAACCAGGAUGUUAGAGUUCGCUUCAGUUGUUGCUCUUGUUCGACUGUGAUAUGAUAGAAUCUAUAUUUGAUGGGACGCAACACCUCACAUCACUUGGAAGAUUGGAUAUCCAAAGCUGCUCUAGAUUGAUUUCACUGCCAAGAAGUCUGAAAUUUCUAACCAAAUUAGAGGAAAUCAAUAUCAAUGGCUGUCAAAAAAUCAAUUUGUCAAUGGAACAAGGAGAAGAAGACCAAGACCUUCAAAACUUUAACAAUAUUGGAAGCAGAAGCGCUGAAGGAUUUGCCACGGUUGCUUCUUCAAGGAUCAGCUAGCCUUUUUAAAUCCAUGCUAAUAAGGAGAUGUCCCAACUUCAAGGUACCAUCAGAAUGGAUGCAAAAGCUCACAUCACUUAACAGGUUGGAGCUUGAAAGUUGUCCAGCAUUAUCCUCUGUUCCCGAAGGACUGAAUCGCCUCACUGCACUUAGACAAGUAAAGAUUCAAAUAUGUCCUGCGCUACGCCAAAAUUGACAACCUGGGGUUGGUGCUGAUUGGUCCAAGAUUGCACACGUUCAAGAGGUUCAUAUUGAAGAUUAGUAGAUCGUCAAGCCGCGCUCAAAGUGUUUACCAAUCUCUCAUUCUUUUUUCUUCCUUUAUGAGAUUUCUUUUUUCAUAUUAAAUUUUCCAGAAUACAGAAUUAUAAGAAAAUUGCUCUAAAUGAUAUGUGCUAGUCAAUUCAUCCAUCUUCCUGAAAUAUCUAACACUUGCAUUGAUUUUGAAAUGAUCAUAGGUAAAUUGGUCCGGAUACUUUGGUAAAAAAUAAAAGUGCAAGCAGGUGAGACGAUUUCAUCCAAUCUAUUUAGCUUGUUUGUUAUCAGCAACAUUUCAUGAGAAUCCUUCAAUUUUUGCUACACUUUUUCAUAUACUAUUACUUUUAUAGGAUCUGUCUGAUUGAGAUUUUUUGCUAAUUAUCUUUUUUUUUUAUGCAUAAAGGCAAAUAAAAAUAUAAUCAUCCGUUUUAAAAGGUUACAAUUAACUAUAGCUAGGUGAUAGAAAUAGUCAUAGCUUGUGGGCUUUCUAUAAGAUGAAUGUAAUUACAAUAUUGUCUUGUGUUUCUCUUUGUAGUUACUGUCAAAUUGAGAUACUUAGGUGCAUGUGUCACGGAUCUAAGGAAGAGUCUUGAAUCUCACAUCGAACAUAAUAGGAGGGUCACUGGGGUAUAAAAGGGUUCACACCAUUUUUGCCUUGUGAGGUGCCUUUUGUAAGACAAAACCGUGAGGCCAGGGGGCUAGAGCGAACAAUACCUCACAAAAAUAUGAACCGUGAUGGUCAGGCUGAUUCGGGACGCCGGAAGGGUGAAUGCUCGGGUUCCGAAACCGUGCGGGUUCGGAGCUUAAGUCUCGACCCGUGACAAGUGGUAUCAAAGCCAGCCCUAAAUCGUUCGAUCCACGCCAAGCACCUCGAGGGAGGUAGACAGGGUGGCCAGCCUCCGUGACAAGGGCAUCACGAGAUUGGGUGCGGGAGAAUGUUAAUAAGGAAGAGUCAUGAAUCACAUAUCGAACAUAAUAGGAGGGUCACUGAGGUAUAAAAGGGUUCACACCAUCUCCGCCUUAUGAGACGUCUUUUGUAGGACAAAACCGUGAGGUCAAGAGGGUCAGAGCCAUUUGGCUUCAAAUCAAACCACUGCGGGUAGCUCUUAUGGUGUGGGAAAAUUCAGCCAAACCCUGCAAGGCGCCGUUUGUUCAAAGCUUUUACUUUCUUUGACGAUCAUGUGUCUUGAACCAGACCUGUUUAUCUGUUUGCCUAAUACUUGCGCUUUAGCUAUUUGUUUGUGUUCUAUCUGUUUGUGAUUGGAUCCUUUGGAAUGAAACCAUCAUCUCAUAACUGUUGGGUGACUCCUUAGGGACAAAAGAACUCUUCUUGCUUGAAAAGGGAACAUCAAGCAUUCAACAUGAAGUGCCCAUUUCUUAUUCAACCCAAUAAGAUUUCGACCUCCGUCGUGUAGUGUAAGAGUUUAGACUAUCUUAUCCCAAUGAAAUUCACCCCAAGUCAUUCAAGACCUUGACCUGAUAUUUGAGUUUUUGGUUUAACAGUCCUGUCGUGUCAGCUGGAUGUUGAGCCUUUUGUUUGGGCGUUACCUUUUUCAGGGCCUAAGCCCCCUGAAACUAAAAGCUACAUUGCCCAUUUCCCUAUUGUAGACACCCAAUUGGGUCCGGGCCCAGAUCAAUUGGGCCUGGCCCAAAUGGGUAAGGCCCAUUUCAAUCCUGUAUAUUUUUUUCUUUUGUAUUUUAUGUAUUCUAUUAUUAUUAUUAUUAUGUAUAUCUUUAUUCAUUUAUUUAUUUUUAUUCAGAUUAGAUUUAUAUGUAUAUUAUUUAUAUAGUUAUAUAUUUAUUAUUAUUAUUAUUAUUAUUAUUUUUGUAAGAUAUUUUUGGAUUUAUCUUAUUUUAUUAUUAUUUUUUUUAAAUUAUCUGUUCUGAUUUUUUCCUGAUUAUCAGAUAUUUUUUUACUAUAAUAUCUUUUUAUUUAUCUGUUCUAAUUAUCUAUUAUUUUUUAUAUUUAUUUGAUUUUUUUUUUUUUUGGAAGGUUGAGAUUGAAGCUGAAGAAUCCUACUGGGAGUGGGGAUUCAAUCUAAAGAGUCCAAUUGGAUUCAAAGACUGAAUCCCCGUCCAAGGAGGAGUUGGGAUUGAUCAGAAACUCCUGAUCAACCCCUAUAUAAAGGACCCUUUGGAACAGUUCAAGAACACACAGAAAACAGUAAGCAAAGCUACUGAUUUGAGAGAAAAGGAGGCGUAUAGGAAGCUAGGAAAAGUUUAGGAGUGGUCUAGGAGUGAGAAAAAAUUUCUAGAAAUUUUUGGCGAAAAAAUUUUCUGGAAAUUUCUGGGAAAUUUCCAGAUUCCGGCAAAAAUUCUGGCGAAGUUUGAAUUUUCCGGCGAUAGUUCCGGCCAAACUUGAAGUUUUCGGCAACCAGCCCAGUUUCCGGCGAAGAAUCCCAGAAACCGGCGAUCUUUCGGCAACUUCCGGCGAACUUCCGGCGAAAUUUUCCAGAUUCCGGCGAGAAUUUCCAGAAUCCGGCGAAAUCCCACCGGUGUUCUUCAGUCUUUAGAGAGAAGGCAGAGGAAAGAAGGAAGAAGAGAGAGAGAGAGGAGGGGCGGUCUGCCGAAAAACAGAGGGUAGUGCCUUUUAUACCCUCCCAAAACGACGUCGUUUUGGCUUUAAGUUAAUCAGAGGAUCCGCGCGUUUUGCCGAAAACCCGACCAGACCCGGGCGUCGACCCGCUUUCUGACCCGCGCGUUUCAGCCCCUCCGAGCCGAGCCGAGCCGAGCCGAGCCGCACCAAGCCGAGCCGCGAUCCGAGCCGCUCCAGGUUUUUUUUUUUUUUUUUUUUUUGAAUUUUUUUGAAUUUUUUUUAUUUGACUUUGAUUUUGAUCUUGAUUUUUUUUUCUUUUUUCUUUAAUUAAUCCGACGACGGAGCCUCUACAAGUAAAAACAGUAGUUUUUCUUGCAUACUCCUGAGGUGAGGGAAUUUUCUCAAUUUUCUGCUAAAAGUAUUAGAGUCAAUUGAGAAUAAUUUCCGAUAAUUAAUUACUUGGCUGAUUUUGAUUUUUUUUUUCUUUAAUUAAUCCGACGACGGAGCCUCUGCAAGUGAAACAGUAGUUUUUCUUGCAUACUCCUGAGGUGAGGGAAUUUUCUCAAUUUUCUGCUAAAAGUAUUAGAGUCAAUUGAGAAUAAUUUUCGAUAAUUAAUUAAUUGGUUGAUCUUGAUUUUUCUUUAAAUAAUCCGACGACGGAGCCUCUGCAAGUGAAACAGUAGUUUUUCUUGCAUACUCUUGAGGUGAGGGAAUUUUCUCAAUUUUUUGCUAAAAGUAUUAGAGUCAAUUGAGAAUAAUUUUCAACAACUAACUACUUGGUAAAAUUUUAAGGCUUUUGGAUAACACAAAUUUAAGCUGGUACCAUCUUUUGAUGGGCGUUGUGAGGGUGCUACAACCUUCCUCACACGUAACCGAACUCCCGAACCCUGUUCUGGUUAGUAGACCUGAACCUAUUCUUUUAGGGACUCUUAAACUGAGGCGUUCCCUAAAAGGACAGAUUCCUUAGGUGGCCAAUCGCACCUAGAUAAAAAAGAUUGGUGGCGACUCCCAAAAGUCAAUGUCUAGCGAUAGAUCCCCGGAUCUAGACGUUACGACAGCUUGGCGACUCCACUGGGGACCUUGAGAGUCAGGCCAGCAAAUAAUUUGUGUUAUCCAAAAGCCUAAUAAAAUUGAACCAUUUUUGUAUAUAUGUGUUAUUCAUUCAUGUAUUUACCUUGUUAAUUAUGUCAUUCAUGUGCAUGUGCAUAACAUGAGCUCUACACCCGAGCUCUGUCCCUCUAGGAGGGAGUAAAGUACCUAUUGCUUUCGUGAGGUCUAAUGCCUCCGCAGUGGCUAGCGAAAUACUCCCACUCAAAUUGAACCUUUUCCGCUUGUAGCCUGUAAUGGGUGAGGAUUAGGGUGCCUUACUAGUCUGUGAUGGACAAGGAUGUAAGGAACAAUUUGAGGACCUUUAGACUCUGACUUUAAAACCACAUGUAGUGAACCUUAAGAGUGCCUAACCCUAGGAUAGAGUCCUUUCUACCCAAUGAUAGAUAUACCCUGAAAUUAGGACACAAAAAAGGUGUUUAUCUAAUCAUUUUGAUUGCUUAACUUUGUGUAUUAUUUUUUGUAAUGUUAUGCAUCAGCAUUACUUUCAUUUCAUUCAUGAAACUAACUAUGUUGUUUGUCUGAUUGUAUGCAUCUGUAUUCUUUUCAUGAUCAUGUUUCAACACAAUCAUUUGCAUUCAUUUCAUGCUAGAUUUCAUUCAAAAAAUGUACAUUUCAUUUGUGUAUCAAAGCAUCAUACAUAAGGCACAGCAUAACAUUUCUAAUCAUGAGUAUGGUACUCAAGGUCCGAGGAUAGCUCCAUCUAGCGAAAACCUUGCUCAUCCAUACAACACAAGAUCCAGAGCAAGGCAAAUGGAGGAGGAAAGUUCUCAUAGAUUUGAAAAGCUAGAAAAAGCUCAGGAGAAGAUUGAAAGUGAACUAAGCAAGAUUCUGGAAGCUCUAAAUAACAUGAAUAAGGGGAAAGGAGUUGAAGGAAGUACAAGCCAGCAAGAAGUGGCUGACCCUUUGUACCCUCCAGGUUUUGGCCCAUCUCAGGUCCAGCCUGCUCAAGAGGUCCCGCCAUAUCCUGGAAUACCAUCAGCUUUCAACCCAGGGCAGUAUAAUAGCUAUAUAAAUCCUGUCUUCACUGAAAAAGUAGCAGAACCAAUUCCUGACCUAGAUGCCUUAAAGGAGAAGGAAAAAGAAAAGAUGAAAGUGGAAGCUGAGGAGAGUUCCAAGAUUAGCAUGCUAGAGCAGAGGCUACGGGCUGUGGAAGGAUUUAGCUUUUAUGGGUCAGUAGAUGCUGCUGGGCUCUGCCUAGUCCCUGAUGUGGUUAUUCCCUAUAAGUUCAAAGUACCAAAAUUUGAAAAAUAUGACGGUACCAAGUGCCCCAAAACCCACAUCACCAUGUAUUGCAGGAAGAUGGCAGCUCAUGCUCAUGAUGAAAAACUUCUGAUGCAUGUUUUCCAGGACAGUCUUACUGGCUCUGCCGCCAGAUGGUAUGUUCAGUUGGAUAGGACUCGUAUUCGCUCUUGGAGUGAUAUGGCACACGACUUCAUCAGUCAAUAUCGACACAUUAUCGAUUUGGCCCCUGAUCGUUUAUCUUUGCAAAAUUUGGAGAAAAAGUCAAAUGAGUCUUUUAAAGAAUACGUCCAGAGAUGGAGGGAUAUUGCUUCACAGGUACAACCUCCACUGACAGAGAAAGAGACCACAGUGCUGUUUGUUAGCACUUUAAAGCCUCCCUAUUAUGAAAAGAUGAUAGGAAAUGCAACAAAGAAUUUUGCUGACAUGGUGAUCUCUGGAGAAAUUAUUGAAAGUGCCAUAAAAAAUGGCAAGUUGAAAGGAGGAGAAACCAAGAAGACAUCAGAAAAGAAAGAAGCUGAAGCUCAAGCUGUGAGCUUUGAUAGACAACAAUUCAGGGGUUAUCAACCCUAUCCAUCCCAAGGCUACUCUCCAUACUAUCCCGCUGUGAAUAAUGCCUCAUCCUACCCAUACCAGUUAGCUUCACAACCAUCUCAUUCAUCCACUUACCGCCUUAACAUUCAAGCUCCUGUAAGAACUCAAGUUCGCCCUACUAACCCAGCAAGUGGCUCGCGAGAACAACGGACUGCUCGAGAAAAACCUGUAUUUGAUCCAAUCCCUAUGACUUAUACAGAGUUAUAUCGAGAGCUUUAUAAUAGCCACUUGAUUGCCCCCAGCCAUGUGGAACCUCUUAAACCACCCUACCCAAAGUGGUAUGAUCCUACAGCCCACUGCGACUAUCACUAUGGAAUUACUGGCCAUUCUACUGAAAAUUGCACUGCUUUAAAGUAUAAGGUGCAACGGUUGAUCAAUGAUGGAAUGGUAAGUUUUGAUCAAGGAAAAGCAACAACAUUCAAUGUUAACACCCUAAGUGAAAGUCAAGAACAGAAAGGAUCUGGAGAGUCACAAUGAAUUGAGGGGCAAGACGUCAAUGGGGAUUUCUUCACCUGAUCAUAUAGGGGGCUAAUUUUUAAUGGAGAUAAGGCGGGUUGAAAGUUUUUUUGUCACUUUAAGAUUUCUUUUCAAGUAAUGUUGGAUUUCUUUUUGCAAUAUGACUUUACUUGUUAUCAUUUUAAUAAAGGCAAGUCAAUGCAUUUCAUUACAUUUUUCUCUUUCAUUUGACCAUUAUUCCAUACCCUGCUACCCUUCAUAACUUCACAUUCCCAUUCUUAAAUUUCAGAUGAUGAAUAUUUAGACAAUGAUAACAAUAAUUCUGGGAUUUAAUUUUGAGAACUCAUCCACAUUAAUAUGAGAAGAUGAUUUGAACAGAAGUAAGCUAUUACUGGAGGAGAAACAGAUAUGUCUUGAAGAUGUGUAAUCUUUUAUACAGAUUCAUGAGCUUUGUUUAAUAGAUGAUGUUCAAGAAAGGUAUUCACAAUUGAGAUGAAAAAUGGCCACCUUUCUUUUACCAUUGGAAAAACCAUUUAUUGCUACCCCUUUGAGCCAAUCAUGAUUUUUUUUCUUGAAGAACCCCAACCAAGGAUCACCCUCUACACUGGAGGGUAAUUUUUGAAAAAAAAAAAAAAAAAAAAAGAGAAAAAAAAAAAAAAACACCACAAAAGGUCUCAAAAAUGAAAAAAAAAAGAGAAAAAACAAAUGCCACACAUGACUUGGGGCAAAGUAAUGAGAAUCCUUUGUGUGAUGAAAGAAAAAAGUAGUGAAAUGAUGUGGGGGCAAAAUGCCAGGCUGCAUCAAAUGAUCCUUUGGUUUUGAACCUUUUUAAUACAUGUUUUGAGCCUAUUAUAUCCAUUUCUUUUAUGACCCUUCCCCUUGGCCUACGUUACAACCUUGAAAAGUCCAUUUGGAUCAAGUGUGAAUACUCAACUUGAAUGAUCAUAUGUUGAGCGAAGGUAUGCUCAUGAGGAAGCAAUGAAAUCAUGGUCUAAAGUUGGACGUAUGAAAGAUAUCAACAAUGGAUGAAAAAAAAAUGAUGAAAAAAAAAAGAAAAAAAAAGGAAAAAAAAAGAAAAAAUGAAAAAAAAAAGAAGGAAAAAAAGAGAAAAUAAAAAAAAGAGAUUCAAAUUGAAAACCUGAAAGGGUGAUUUUAGUAAAAAAAAAAUCAAGUCAAAUGGCUCACAUGAAUGAAAGAUCAAAGACAUCUGAAGAUCCCUCAAAGACUGGGGCAGAGUUCGCCAAGCUCAAGAUGACUUCAACAGUAAAUGGAAUGAGUUUUUGAAAAAGAAUCCUAGAUUAAUGUUGAAAAUUGUCUGAAUAUUCAUCAUUUGGACAUACCAUUCACCUCAAUGACAUCCAAUUUAUUUCAUUUCCCAUUUAUUUUUUACCAAAAUAGAUCUCCAUUGAUUAUCUUUACCAUAAUUCACCUUCUGUUCUCUUAUUGUUUCACCCCUAGAAUGAAUUGAGAAAAUGCUUGAUUGCAUUGUAUUUGUCAGGAUUUGAAAUGAUAAUGAAUGAAUGAAUAUGUGCUUAAAAGAGUCUUGCAUUUAUUUGAAAAGAAAUCUAAGAUGAUGAAGAAAUGGUAGAAACCUAAUAGAGAAUAUGAUGGGGCAAAUCUUGAAAAGUGAUGAAUUGAUUGAUAUGACUUGCAAGAUAUGAUUGAAUGAUGAAGACAAUCAGUAGACAAAGUCUGUUUUGGAAUUGUUGAGGCUGAGACAAGGACCCAGUGAUGAUGGAUGAAAUUUGUUUUGAAAUUUGCUAGUGCUGAAAAAUUCAUUGAAUGAUGGUCAAGUGAUGAUCGAUUGAUGAAGCUUAUUCCAAAGUAUUGAAAAACAGAACAAGAAAGAAUGUGAGUGGAAGAGACAAUUGAGAGCUACACUGGUUCGAUCUUAGAAGAGCAGUGCAAUUGGAUCCUUGAGGAAUCAAAGGGCUUGACACCCAAAAAAAAAAAAAGCUUGAGAAACUUGAGUACCAUACAUUGAACAGGAAUUAAUUGGCCAACAUUUGCAUGGCAUGCAUUGAAAUUCAUAUGCAUUGCACAGCAUACACUACUUUCAGGAGAAUAUAGUGUACAAAUUCAAGAAGCAAGGGUGUUCCAACAUCCCACAUGAAAAAGACAGAUAUGAAAAGACUUUGCAAGUUUGAGAAGAAACUUGUCAGGUAAGUUCCUAAUCCUUGAAAUAGGAUGUCUUUUGGUAUCAGGGUUGAUUAUAAAGACCUUUGGGCAUAAUCUCCUGAAAUCCCUUCAAACACAGCUUUCAACUCCUUUGGACAUGAUUGUCAAGGAGCCUAUUAAUUUCCAAAGUUCCGUUGCCUCUGUUUAGAGGAGCAAUUUAUCUUUUCCAAAGUCGUGGUUGCCUCUGUUGAGAGGAGCAAUUUACUUUUCAAAGUCGUGGUGCCUCUGUUGAGAGGAGCAAUUUAUUUUUUUCAAAGUCGUGGUGCCUCUGUUGAGAGGAGCAAUUUACUUUUCAAAGUCGUGGUGCCUCUGUUGAGAGGAGCAAUUUAUUUUUUCAAAGUCGUGGUGCCUCUGUUGAGAGGAGCAAUUUACUUUCCAAAGUCGUGGUGCCUCUGUUGAGAGGAGCAAUUUACUUUUCAAAGUCGUGGGUGCCUCUGUUGAGAGGAGCAAUUUAAUUUCCAAAGUUCCGUUUGCCUCUGUUUAGAGGAGCAAUUUACUUUUCAAAGUCGUGGUGCCUCUGUUGAGAGGAGCAAUUUUAAUUUCCAAAGUUUCGUUGCCUCUGUUUAGAGGAGCAAUUUAUUUUUCCAAAGUCGUGGUACCUCUGUUGAGAGGAGCAAUUUACUUUUCAAAGUCGUGGUGCCUCUGUUGAAGAGGAGCAAUUUACUUCCAAAGUCGUGGGUGCCUCUGUUGAGAGGAGCAAUUUACUUUUCAAAGUCGUUGGUACCUCUGUUGAGAGGAGCAAUUUACUUUCAAAAGUCGUUGAGUCUCUGUUUAGAGGAGCUUCGGCAAAAAAAAAAAAAAAACAAAAAAAAACAAAAAAAACAAAAAAAAACAAAAAAAAAAACAAAAAAAAAAAUAAAAAAAUCAGAAAAAAUCAAAAAAUAACAAAACAAAAAUAAAAAAAAUCAAAAAUAAAAUGUUUGAGUUGAGUCUGGACUUGGGUGUCUACGUCUUUGCGCAAUUUCUGUUUCACAGAAAAUGUGCAAAGAGGGGCAGCGUAGACACACCAAUUGGGUCCGGGCCCAGAUCAAUUGGGCCUGGCCCAAAUGGGUUAAGGCCCCAUUUCAAUCCUGUAUAUUUUUUUCUUUUGUAUUUUAUGUAUUCAUUAUUAUUAUUAUUAUGCUAUAUCUUAUUCAUUUAUUUAUUUUUAUUCAGAUUAGAUUUAUAUGUAUAUUAUUAAUAUAGUUAUAUAUUUAUUAUUAUUAUUAUUAUUAUUANNNNNNNNNNNNNNNNNNNNNNNNNNNNNNNNNNNNNNNNNNNNNNNNNNNNNNNNNNNNNNNNNNNNNNNNNNNNNNNNNNNNNNNNNNNNNNNNNNNNNNNNNNNNNNNNNNNNNNNNNNNNNNNNNNNNNNNNNNNNNNNNNNNNNNNNNNNNNNNNNNNNNNNNNNNNNNNNNNNNNNNNNNNNNNNNNNNNNNNNNNNNNNNNNNNNNNNNNNNNNNNNNNNNNNNNNNNNNNNNNNNNNNNNNNNNNNNNNNNNNNNNNNNNNNNNNNNNNNNNNNNNNNNNNNNNNNNNNNNNNNNNNNNNNNNNNNNNNNNNNNNNNNNNNNNNNNNNNNNNNNNNNNNNNNNNNNNNNNNNNNNNNNNNNNNNNNNNNNNNNNNNNNNNNNNNNNNNNNNNNNNNNNNNNNNNNNNNNNNNNNNNNNNNNNNNNNNNNNNNNNNNNNNNNNNNNNNNNNNNNNNNNNNNNNNNNNNNNNNNNNNNNNNNNNNNNNNNNNNNNNNNNNNNNNNNNNNNNNNNNNNNNNNNNNNNNNNNNNNNNNNNNNNNNNNNNNNNNNNNNNNNNNNNNNNNNNNNNNNNNNNNNNNNNNNNNNNNNNNNNNNNNNNNNNNNNNNNNNNNNNNNNNNNNNNNNNNNNNNNNNNNNNNNNNNNNNNNNNNNNNNNNNNNNNNNNNNNNNNNNNNNNNNNNNNNNNNNNNNNNNNNNNNNNNNNNNNNNNNNNNNNNNNNNNNNNNNNNNNNNNNNNNNNNNNNNNNNNNNNNNNNNNNNNNNNNNNNNNNNNNNNNNNNNNNNNNNNNNNNNNNNNNNNNNNNNNNNNNNNNNNNNNNNNNNNNNNNNNNNNNNNNNNNNNNNNNNNNNNNNNNNNNNNNNNNNNNNNNNNNNNNNNNNNNNNNNNNNNNNNNNNNNNNNNNNNNNNNNNNNNNNNNNNNNNNNNNNNNNNNNNNNNNNNNNNNNNNNNNNNNNNNNNNNNNNNNNNNNNNNNNNNNNNNNNNNNNNNNNNUGUUUAAAGUCUGCUGCCUGACCAACAGUGCUCUCCUGCAAUGCGUUCAUUAUCUCCCCGUCUGAUGCAAAAGUAUGGGUCUUAUUGGUCGAACUUGCCUUUUGGAGAAUACCUGCCGAAACAUCUCUGCUUGCCAUCCUUUGCAAAUUUGGCUCAUAUCACAAAGAUAUUAGGCACGUGUAAACUUGGUUCCUCAGUUAGCGAGAUGUUAAAUCAGGAGGCAACCCUUUCUUAUCGUAGCUUUGCUUUGAUUCCCAAAAUCCUGCUUCUGGAGCAGCUUUCUCAUCAACACAAUGGAAUCUUGCUAAAUACUUAUCGGCACUCUUGAGUUGCAGAUCUGGAGGAAUCUGCUGUGGGCCAGCCUGCUUUCACCACAAAGCCAUCCUUCUUCAAAAGCUCUCUCCAAACAAACUCCGCAUAGUGGGCAGAUUGAGUGAUAAGGCCUUAGUCUGCACAUCCAUAAACCGCCAUACAAGGUCAGGUUAUGCCCCCACUGCCACAAGAGAACUAUACUCAUGCCGCAGCACUUGAAGAUCAAUAAACCAUCUGAGGUCCGAGAACAAUGUAAUCCCUAUACAUUCCUGCAUCACUCAUUUGCAGCAAGUUUCUCAUUCUUCAAACACCCGAUCAGCAAGGUAGAUGGGGCACCUGUCCCCAAAGACAUUCUGCAGCCAGUAAUUCUCUUUCCCAUCCAUGCAUUCUCUUUGUAAGCCUAAGAUUGCAGGCAUGGCAGUCUCAACACAAAGUUUUGCAUCAUCUACACCAUCCCCAGCAUCAGCCAGAGAGAAUCUUGUAGCAUCAGCAGAGAAUUCCUCAAUUGCCUGAUGCAGUGUCCUGAAAUUUCCAGUAGACUUGCGACAUCUUCUCUGAAUUAAGCAUAAUAUGUCCAUUGCACCUGAAUCCACAAGGCCAGUGAUCCUUGGACAUGAUUGCUGGUGAUUGUAGAUGCAAAAUGUUAAAUGGUUCUGGAUAAGGUCUUUUCCAGAAACCCUAAGAUCAAAUGGAUACCAGUACUCAAACUCCUGCUUCAUCUUGUUAAGAACAGAGGAUGGGAUAUCAGAAGAUUUGGGAUACUGACCACCACAGAAGAGAAAUUCCCAGACCUCAUCAGUCAUCUGGGCAGGUUUAACCAGAUCAGCACUUUUUCCGUACAUGUCCCCAUUUUGUAAAAGAUGAGCAACUGUGUAAUAAGCCAUGUAAAUGGUUGAGUCGGAUAAUGACUCAACAAGGAAUUCUGCAUCCCAAGGAAUGCGAGUCCCAAGCCCAAAGGAUCGUGAGCAAGCCCAUUGGUUCAACCAUCCUAAAGUAUGUUCAAAGCCAUGUCGUGUCUCAUCAGAGUAUAGAUUCAUGUUGGAUAAGCACUCCUCAGCUAGUUGUUUCCAUUCCGGUUCACCAUAUGUGAUGUACCAUUGAUCUGUAAGAGCCACAACACACUCAUCACCAGACCUUGACAUAACCUUCUUCUCAGGCUCACUAUAAAUUAUUGCCUGGCCCGUCUCAAUCAGUUUGGUCCUUAUCAGUGCCUUAGCUUCAUGGACUCUUCUUCCUGCAUACUCUCCAACAGUCAUGGUUCCCUCUGUAAAACCUCUCAAGUACACCAACCUCUUCGCCUCAGCAAGCUUUUCUUUCUCAUUCUGACUUUUGAUUUUCAGAUCCACACAAACUUUUUCAGCUGCCCUGUCUCCAAAUUCUGGAAUGUCAAUGAUGGGUAUAAUCUCAAAUGGCAAUACCCAUUCAUCCUUCACCCCAAACUUUUCCCGAAAAGCGGGUUUUGCUUUCAAAUCAUGUAAGGCCAUAUAAUCAUCAGGAGCAUCGCUGGGAACACUGGUCACGAUCCCUGUACCUUUGUCCGUUAGAAUUGUCAUCAUUGGAAGAGCAUAUAUGAUCUCAUUAAAUGAGAGAGGAGAUUUUACAGGAAGACCAAUCAGAUCAUAACCAGUCAGUUCAACCAAGCAAGUAGGUUUUUCAGGGACGCGGGAGAGCUUCUGAUAAGCAAGGUUGAGUGCUGCUCUCUCAGUCAGAAUAAAUAUCUCAGUUUCAUUGAUUUCAAAGGCUCCGUAUUUCCCAUUAGGCAAAACCCAGCAGUUUGUUUGCCCAUACAUGGUCUCAGGCCUCAAUGUUGCAGCAGCCAAAAACACUUUUUUCCCUUCCAAAACACGCAUUUUAGCUGGAAAAGGUGGCACCACUUCCAUUUUAAUAAUAGUAUACUCUUGAGGCUGAACUCCUUCACCAGUUGCCCUAUCAUGAUCAGCACAUGGCUGACCAUCCAAUGGAGAAUAUAUAGUAUACCUCAUAUCUUUAACAAUCUUACCCAUCGAUUUCAACUUCCUCAUCUGCCACUUAACAAACGAAUCAAAAAACGGAUUCAUAUCUGUGGUCACAAAUGACCUUCUCCAAUCACAACCUAAUCCAAAAGCCUUGAGGUCUUGAACAGCCAAUGGCGGAAAGAACUUCAACCAUUCAUACGGGUUCUGAAACUUUGAUAUCUCACUAUCUGAAAGUCCAAAACUCCUCAUAAUUUCCCACUGAAACAUCUGUCCGCUAGAUUUAGAUGCCGCCUUAGACUUUUUACCUUUAAACUUAUCAGGCGCCACAUUGGCAUCUUCAUUUGGGUCAGAUUCUUCUGUUGGGUUAGGUUCCUCAUCUACUACCUCAUGAGGAAAAAUGGGUGGAUCACCAAAUUGUUUGAUUUCCCUAGCAAGUUUAUCAGCUGAAGCCUUGAUUGGCAUACCGGUACAGUGAAAAGCAAAAGGCAAUAACACAUUGGCACCUCUUAAUCUAUGAUAAGCAGCAGCAAACUCGAGUUUCGAAAGCGAAAAGGCAUGGCCCAGAUGUAAGAGACCAUUCAUAUAAGGAAAAGGAAAGUUCCCAAAGAAUUUUUCACCUGGUUGAGGUGGUUUUUCAUUGGGUUCAGCUUUAAACACAUCUUUUUCUUCCCACCAAACUCUAACCUUUGACUCGAUUUCCAGGAGUUUGUCUCUCCUGGCAUAGCUCUUGCCUCCCUCUGUUGCCAUCUCGUGAAACCGAUGAAAACUGUUCAAAACCAAAACAAAAUAAAAUUCAUGAAAAUGAAACAGAAAGAAAACCAAAAAAAAAAAAAAAAAUGGAAGAAUCUUUGGAAAAGAAAGUGCCUGAGUUUAUUGAGGAAGAUGGUGUUGUGCCUACGAAGAAUCUUUGCUGAGUAGCGACGGAUACAGAGCAAAUGGGUGGAGAUGAAGGAGGAUAAAGAGAAAAGAGAGAGACUGCGUUGAGUUUCAGUUCCAGUUACAGGGCUAGAUUCUCAUUGUUUGUUUUUACAGGUUUUUGGAGUUUUAAUGAUUAUUAAUUUUAAAUUAAAAAGGCCUGCCCCAACUUUUUAACCGAUCAAAAAAGUGAUAUCAGAGUAAGGAUUAUUUUGAAACAUUGAUACAAAAACAACAAAUGAUAAAAGUAAAUUUUAUUUGAGACUAUGAAGAUUGAUACAGGUUUUAUGAUAAAAUUGAUAGCAUUAAAUUAUUUAAUUUGAAAGCCUAUAAUAAAAAAUUAUUUAUACUGUAAAGAUUUAUAUGAGUCAAUAUUAGAUGAUUCGACUAAAACAGUAGAUAUGAAAAAUGAAAGCUGAAAGAAGCCAUAUAAAAAGACACUAGCUACAAUCAAAAAAUGGAUUGAUAUCAACGUGUUCCAUCAUGUAGCAUAAAAAAUAGAUGUUUACACUAUUUGAAAAAAAUUGACAUUGUAUGAAAGAAAAAUAAGUAUGAAUAAAGUUAUACUUAUUAAAAAGCUAGUAACUUUACAGUACAUGAAUGAAUGAUCGAUUACAGAGCACUUGAGUAAUUUUCAAUAUAUAUUUAAUUUGAUGACUAAUAUGGAGCUUAAGAUAAAUGAUGAAAUGAAUGUGUUAUUUUUUUUAGGUUUAUUGUUAGAUAGCUAAAAUACUCUAGUUGUGACUGUUCUUAAUUUAGCUCCUGAUUACAAUGUAAUAUUAAAGAUGAUAAAAGACAGUAUACUUAAUGAAGAAGUAAGGUAAAAAGAUUUAGACCCUGAGAAUCAAGCUCAUGUCACAAAGAACAAGGGUAGAAACAUUAACAAAAAUCAAAACUUAAAAGGUCAUAGUAAAUCUAAACAUAAAUCCAAGUUCAGAGAUAAAGUGAAGUGCUUUCAUUAUAGUAAAACAGGUCAUAUAAAGUAAUACUACAAAAUCUUAAUGCAAGAGUGAAAAGAUCAGAAAGAUAUGAGUUCAGAUGAUGACAAUGUUACAUUAGCGAAUUCAAAUAAUGAUUCAGUUACUUUAAUUUGUACACAUAAUAAUUAUAAUCAUGUUGGUGAUCCUAACAUUAAGUGAAUAGUUAACAUAAGAGUGACACAUCAUUGUGUUCCUAAGAAAAAGUUAUUUAUAACUUACAAAGCAUAAGACUUUGGUUACACCAAAAUGAAAAAUAAGAGUGUAUCACAGAUUAUUAUAAUUAGUGAUAUUAUUAUAUAAAUUAGUACAAGCUACAUAUUAACUUUAAGGGAUGUCAGACACAUUUUAGAUAUAAAAAUGAACUUGCUUGUUAUUAAUGUCAUUGAUAAGGAACGUUAUUAGAGUUAACAAAAGAAUGGACAGUGGAGCUUCUUAAAAGAUCUAUGGUAGUUGCAAGAAAAAAAUUAUGCUACACAAUAUACAAGAUAUAGAUGCAAUUGAAAGGCAACUAGAUAAAUGCCAUUAAGAAUGAUACUUCAACAAACUUGUGGCACAAGAGGCUAGCACACAUAAGCAAGAAGGGGUUAUAGCUGCUCGCAAGGCAGUCAUUUAUUAUCUUAACCAAAAGUAUAUCUCUCAAUUUAUAUGAUCAUUAUCUAUUUGACAAGUAUUGUAGAAUUUUUUUUCAUAAGAGUUCUCAAAGAAAAGAAAAUAUAUUAGAAUUGAUUCAUUCUGACAUAUAUAGUCCCAUCGAGGUUGAGUCAUUGGGUGAUAGUAGGUAUUUUGUUACUUUUAUUUAUGAUGCUUAAUGCAAGACUUAAAUGUAUGUGUUGAAAAAUAAAAAUUAGGUAUUGUAGUAUUUUUAAAAAUUUCAUACUAUGGUUAAAAGGAUGAUAAAGAUGCCUUUAAAGUAUAUUUAAACUGAUAAUGGUGAGAAAUACACAUCCAAAAACUUUGAAAAGUAUUGUUCAAAGUAUGGGAUCAAAUAUGAAAUGACAGAACCUGAAACACCAUAGCAUAAUGGUAUAGCUAAAAGGAUAAACUACAUCAUUAUAGAAAAAGUCAAAUAUAUGUUAAGAAUAACAAAAUUACCAAAGUCAUUUUGGGGUGAAACAACCAAUACAACUUAUUAUUUUCUUAACAGAUCACCAUCAGUUCCUUUGGGCUUUGAUAUUUUAAAAAAAUAUAUGGAUAGGAAAAAAUGCUUCAUGCUCUUACUUAAAAGUUUUUAGAUGUAAAACAUUUAUACAUGUGCUAAAAAAAUAGAGGUCAAAGUUUGACAAUAAAAACACGUAGUGUGUGUUUGUAAGAUAUGGUGAUAAAAAAUUUAGCUACAAAGUAUGGAUCCAAUGAAGAUAAAGAUAGUCAAAAGUAAAGAUGUGAUCUCUCAUAAAAGAAAUUAUAGUAGAUCUUGAGAAAAAUAAAAAGACUACUCAGGUUAUUGUUGAAUGUGAUGUUUUAACAUCAACAAGGGUUCCACAAAAAAAGCCACAAAAAAAGACUACUCAAGUUAUUGCUGAAAUGAUUAAUGUGAUUACUAAAUGAAGCUUAACCUCGGCUAAAAGAAAGUCCAACCUAACUAUGAUCAUGGCUAUUGGCUUUUCAACAAAGAAAGAAAAAAAUUGGAAAAAUGAACCGAUCUCAUUUAACUUGAAAGAUUUGGAAAGAAUCCAACUUUCCCACAAUGAUGCUGUAGUAAUCACGGUUGUAGUAUAUAAUUAUGUGGCUAAAAGGAUCAUGUUCGAUAAUGAGAGUUCCACCGACGUCAUGUACUAUGCCACCAUAAAGAAAUGGGUAUUAAAGAGGAUUAGUUGCAAUUGAUCACCAUAACCCUAGUAAGAUUUGGGAAUGAGCAAGUACCAACAAAAAGGACUAUAAAACUACCAAUCACUUUAGGGAGGGAAUCGAAAAAUAGUCACCUUGGUCAUAGAAUUCAUGGUAGUAGAGUCUCAUCUAUCUAUUAAGUUAUCCAAACAUUGGAAAAUGAAGAAAUGGACUUUAGAAAUUAUUUUCAUGCUUACCAAAUAGAGUGUAUUUUAUCUUUUGGCGUUCCAUGGGUAAUGAAAUUCUUUGUUUGCAAAAUGGGCAUUCAACGAAAGGGAUGAAGAGCUAUAUUCGAACUUUAAGAGGAUUGGUAAUGAAAUUGUGAAAAAAUGCAUGUUAAAGUGAGUUAUUCCACGUUUAAUAAAUUUUUAAUAUCUUGUAAUCUUAUAUUCAUGUUGGGCUUUUUUACUUACUACCAAUUAGUAGUAGAUUGGAUGCUUAACAUUGUUUCAAAGCCAAGAUUUUCUUUUCGUUGUUCAUUUCUAAUUUGUCAUGUGAAAGGCUUCUUCCAUCUUCACCUACACGUGAUGAAGCCUUAUUAAAGUGGAUUAUCCCACGUCUAAUGAAUAUCAAAUAUCCUGUAGUGUUAUAUUCAAGUUGGGUCCUUUUACUUAUAAUCAAUUAGUUUUAAGUUAGAUGUGUAACAUUUUCAAAGGAUACUGAAUAUGACAUUGAUUAUAUUAUCCAUUUCUUGAUGGCCAAUGGACUUCUUGAAAUUCCCAAGCAAAGUGAAGGCGAAUGCAUGGAAGAUGUUGGGUUACAGUAUUUCAAGGACUUAUUGUCAAGGUGUUUUGUCCAAGAUAGAAACUAAUUUUAUAUCUUCAAAAUGCAUGAUCUUAUACACGAUCUCGCAUUAAAUGCUUCACAAGAAGAGUGCUUAACAGUAUAUCAACAUGUGGUAAAUGCUUCUGAAAAUAUUCGGCAUUUGUCAUUUUCUGAUCAAAAUAUUCCAUUGAGAACUCCACAACUUUUUUUGAAGAAGUUGAAUGGUGUGCGCCCAUUAGUAAUCCUCCUCCUCGAGGAUACUAUAGGAUGGUUGAGAAAUCAUUUCUGAGUGCUUGCAUCUUCAAUUUUAAGUACCAACGGCUACUUGAUCUGGAAAAUUCCUGGUUGGAGGUAUUACCAAAAUCCAUCUGCACCUUGAAGCAUUUACUGUAUCUUAACUUAACUAGGUGCAUUAGAUUGACUAGGCUUCCUAAGUCUAUCUGCUGACAUUGAGAUUAUUUGAUGUUCCAAAAUUGCAAGUGCGUGACAAUUUGCAAAGAUUGAUCAGUCUCAGAUUGCAAAGUUGGAGUUCGCUUCAGUUCUUAUUCUUCUACGAGUGUAAGACACUGGAAUGUUUGUUUGAAGGGAUGCAAUGCCUCACAUCACUUAGAAAUUUGACUAUGAAGAAAUGAUAUAGACUUGUCUUACUACCUCGAAGUCUGAAGUUCCUAGUCAAAUUAGAGGAAAUUGCAAUUGUUUCCUGCCCAAUGAUCAAUUUACGCACGGAACCGGAAGGCAGAGAAGACCAAGACCUUCACUUGAGCCUUCAGAAGUUGAUAUUACGUGAUGCACCAAACUUGGAGGAUCUGCCUGGAUUGCUUCUUGAGGGAUCUGUUGGCUGUUUGCAAUCCAUUGAAAUCCAGCAUUGCCCCAACUUUGAGAUGCUACCAGAAUGGCUAAAAAAUCUUAGUUCACUUCAAAGACUGGAGAUUCUUAAUUGUCCCAAAUUUUCCUAUCUUCCCGAUGGAAUAGACCAUCUCACUGCACUUAGACAACUGAAGUUUCAACAAUGUCCUACAUUGUGUGAAAACUGCCAACCGGAAGCUGGCGCAGAUUGGUCCAAGAUAUCACACAUCCGCAAUGUUCAUAUUGAAGACCAAAAGAUUAUCAAGUCACGUUGGAGGGUAUUUAUUUAUUGAGCAAUCUAAUCUAUCACUGUUCGAUGUACUUCUUUAUAAUUCUGAAAUACUAUUUCUUUUUCUUUUCUCCUUUUCUGAUCUCUCAGGGAAAAACUUAAAAAAAAAAAAGAGGAAAUUUCUGUUUUAUGAAUUUUUUAUAUUUUAGAUUUGAAAUUAAACACUUCAAAAUUGCUGCUGAAAAAAAUUCCCAAACUGAGAUGGAGAAUUAAUUAUGGAUGGUCUUAUUAUAUAGUACUACUAUAUGUUCUUAUGCAUGACAUUUUCGUUUGCAUUUCCUUUUAAUUUCUAGAAUUCAGAUUAACUGUCCUCUAAUUUCCAGUCAAAAAUAAAAAAAAAUAAUCAUAUAAUUUGCUCAAUGUAUACAACCUUUGCAAAUUUUAGUAAUCUGUAUUUUUUAAGUCACAGGUAAAUUAUGAACUGGAUACUUUGAUGAAAAUAAAGGAGUAGCAGGUGAGACUUCAAUCCAUCCAUAGCAUUCUACUAUAAUUAAAGUUCAUCAGCAAGAUUUUAUGAAAAUUUCAAUUCUUAUACAUUAUAUGUCAGACUUCUACGAAUUGAGAUUUAUAUAUAUAUAUAUAUACAUUCUUAUACUAAAUCAAAUAUACACAUCUUUAUGUAUGCACGUAUGUAUUUUUUAUGCAAAAUUAAAUAGAUUUUAUUAGAACGAAAAGUUUACAAAAUGUAUGUAUGUAUGUAUGUAUAUAUGUAUGUAUAUAUGUAUUUGGUACAUUGGAGCAGACUAAGUCGGAAAAAUUACACAAGAUGUUAGUCGGCAAAAUUACACAAGAUGUUUCGUUAUAUAUUAAACCUAUAGGAAUUGCAUUUUAGCUGUAUUUUUAAUUCAUUUAGUUUUAACCAAUGCAUGCAGCUCUCAAGAUGGAAAAUUCAGGGAAGGCGUGUUGGGUAUGGAAGGCUGGCAGUAAGCAUUUUACUUUGUUUGAUUUACAGUCUUUUUGCUGUUGUUAAGAUGCCUUCAAUUAAGGACUUUAUGGAAUAUUAUUGUUGUAAUAAAUGAAUGUGAUUUUAAUUUGUAUCAGAUGUAAUGUAAUUAACAGUGCUAUUCUGUAAGAUUUUGUUGUGAUAUUAUGUACCAGACAUACUUAAUUAUGUGUUUGUUGUGUUAUGACUAGUUUGUUUUAAAUUGCUCUUAGUUUAUCUGUAUCCCACUGUGGGCUUUUUCUUGGUUUGCUUCAGAUAUCAAGUCUCUUGGUUUGAUGUAACAUUUGUUGCCUUGAUGUUGCGUAUUGAUUGUAGUUCAUGCUUGUAACAUUGUUUGACCCCAUGUACCUAGAAUAUGUAUUUGUUUGCGUAAUCUACUUCAGCCAUUCAUUUCAGUGUUCUAUAUUCAGUUAUUGUUUCAUCGGGGUGAAUGAUAUUAUCUCAUUUAGAAAGCACUGGUUCUAAGCAAAAUCAGAACUUUACUUGGAGGUUGUUGCAUAACAGUUUUUUUUUUUUGAAAUUUUUCGACCGUUCGAUAAUAAUUUUGAAUCUCGAUUAAUUCAGAAUCAAAUUGAAUCAAAUCUCGUAAGUUCUUUCGAAAUUAUUUUUUUAUUUACAAAACUCAAAAACUAAAAUUUUACUUAAAGUUAACCAUCCGUGCUGCAUAACAGUUUAACUAUAACAAUCAAUGCACCCCUAAGUCGUGUGCAAAGUCUUAUAAAAGGUCACUUUUACUUGUUUUACACGACAGGGGAACGUGUGAAAUAAAAUAGAUAUUUAUUUGAAAAAUUUAUCAAUUAUCAGUAAAUUGAAUAAUUUGUUGCAUCAAAGUGAAACUCUAUGAGGUAUUCAUACAACACGAUACUAAUGAUGAUAAAAACAUUUUUAUAUAUUCUUUCUUCUCUCAAUUUAUUUGUUUUAAAAAAUUCUAAUUUUUGUAUUUAAUAUUAUAAUUUUAAUUUUUAUAAUAUUGAAGUAUCAUAUUUUUAUUGUCAAAAAAUAAAUUUUAAGUAUAAAGAUAAAAUAAAAGGUAUUCAGAAAUUUUGAAAAAUAUAUAUUUUGAAAUGACUCAAAAAUGAAAAAAAAAUGGAAGAAAUAUUACCUAUGUAAAAAUAUUCAAUGUAAAUAAGACCCAAAAUAAAAAUUUACAUUAUACCCAUAUUAAAUAAUUGAAUUAAGUUUAAGACCACACUUAAAAAUUCUUAAUUGCAAUAAAAUUAAGUUCAUUACCCAUAUUAUUUCCACCAGGUGAUGCUUAAAUCUAAAUAUGAAAUCCAUCAGUUGUUUAGUUUUCUAUCAGUUCGGCUUUAAAAAAAUUUUCAAGUAAAAUGCAUUUCGUUUCGUGUCCGUCGAUACACUCACUGAUUUUUUUUUUUUUUUUGCGUGUCCGUGGGUGUCCCUCGUGUUACGAUAGGGUGGAUGCCGUGAUUCCUGGAAAGCAUCCAUUUUUCAUUGUGCAAACAUUGAAAGCCUUUUUUUUUUUUUUGUUCUUUUGGUGGUGAUGUAGCUGAUCAUCAACCAAACCACAAGUAUAAAAGUACUGAUGGCUGCUAAAAUAAAAUAUUUACUCUAAACACACUUGUUUAAUUUCCCGGAAACAAACUUCAAUAUAAAUACUAUACUCAAUUGUCAUUUACCUUUGAUUACCUUUCCAGAGUUUAAUUAUGGCGGAAUCAUUUCUGGCCAUCGUUGCAGAACAGAUUUAGGAAAAGAUAGUAUCCCUGGCUGCCAAAGAAACUAUUUCGCUUUGGAAUGUCAGUAGUGAUUUGAGAAGGCUUAAGGAAACCAUGACCUACAUAAUGCUGUGCUGUUAGAUGCUGAAAAACGGUAGCACCAGAACGAGACGUUACGCCUUAGUUUGGGGAAGCUUAGAGACGUCUUAUAUGAUGCUGAGGAUGUGCUUGAUGAAUUCACGUGUGAAGUGCUGCGAAAGGAGUUGAUCAAUCGUGGAAGCGCCACCAACAAAUUGGUACGAUUACCUACUCUCUCUAUUCCAUUUGCAUUCCCUUUGAGGAUGAGUCAUAAAAUCAAAAAGAUCAAUGAAAAGCUAGAUGCGAUGGCUAGUGAUUUCAAAAAAUUUAAUCUUGGACUUGAAGAGAAAGUUGAGAACCGGCGUGUUAUUCUCAGGGAUACCCACUGCUUUGUGAUACCUUCUAAUGUGAUAGGUCGCAAUCGAGACAAAGAAAACAUCAUAAAUCUUUUGGUCAAGCCAAUCGAUACUGAAAAUAUACCCGUCAUCCCUAUAGUUGGAAUCGGAGGUUUAGGGAAGACCACGCUUGCUCAACUUGUGUACAACGAUGAAAGGAUCACUAGGGUCUUUCCCUUGAAAAUAUGGUUGUGUGUGUCAGAUGAGUUUGAUCUUGCUAGGUUGCUUUGUGAUGUUAUUUACUCCAUUACGGGAGAAAGAUGUGAUGGUUUACCAGUUAAUGCAUUGCAAACUCAUUUGCGAAUGCUUUUAAAUGGUAAAACUUUUUUACUCAUUUUAGAUGAUGUAUGGAACGAAAAUCAUGUAAAAUGGAUGGAACUGAGAGAUUUACUGAUGACAAUGGGUAAAUUUCAACAAAGUAAAAUCAUUGUGACUACACGGAGUUCAAAAGUUGCUUCGAUAGUGGGUACUAUUGCUCCGUACAACUUGAAAGGUCUUAGUCACAAAGAUUGUCUAUCUUUGUUUGUAAAAUGGGCAUUUAGGGAAGGAGAUGAGAAAGUAUAUCCAAACCUUAUGAGAAUUGGUGAUGAAAUUGUGAAAAAAUGCAAAGGGGUUCCAUUGGCGGUGAAAACUUUAGGGAGCUUGCUCUACUGAAAACUGAGCGACAUGAAUGGGAAUUUAUAAAAGAUAACGACAUAUGGAAACUUGAUCAAAAUGAAAAUGACAUUCUACCUAUGCUGAAAUUGAGUUAUAAUCAUUUGCCAUCUCAUUUGCAAAGGUGCCUAACUCGUUUGUCAUUGUUUCCAAAGGAUACUAUUUAUGAUACUGAUUAUAUCGUCCAAUUCUGGAUGGCCAUUGGACUUACUGAAAGCCCCAAGCAAAACGAAGAGUGGGAAGUUGUUGGGUUACGAUAUUUCAAAGAAUUAUGGUCGAGGGGUUUUGUCCAAGAUGUCGAGGUUGAAUAUACAUAUUACACAUUUAAAAUCCAUGACCUAAUACAUGAUCUCUUGUCAAAUGUGCCUUAAGAUGACUUUUUAACAAUUUAUCCUCAUACAAUAAAUGCUGCUGAUCAUAUUCGACAUCUGUCAUUUUCGGGUGAUAAUCCGUUAAGAGCUCCACAGUCAUUUUUGAAGAAUUUAAAAGGUGUGCGGACAUUGGUGAUCCUACCUUCUUCAGGAAGAAAUAGGAUAAUUGAGGAACAUUUUGUAAACGCUUCCAUCUUGAAUUUCAAGUUCCUGCGGCUACUUGAUCUCUCCUAUUCAUUUUUGGAAGUAUUGCCUAAUUCCGUUGGCACCUUGAAGCAUUUAAGAUAUCUUGACUUAUCCAGGUGUUAUAGAAUGAGCAAGCUUCCUCGUUCUAUCUAUAAGCUUCAAAGCUUGUUGACAUUAAGAUUGUUGGAUAUUGAUUGCCAAUUGCAACUGCCUCGCAAUUUGCAAAGUUUGGUCAAUCUCAGAUUCCUAGAUCUAACCGAGAUUCUCAUGGGAAAUUAACACCCACACACAACACUCAUAUACACAAAAUAACAAGCUCAAAUAAAAAAUAAAAACAUACAAAUAUAUUUGGUUCGACCCAAAUCAAAAUGAUUUACUCAAAACUCAAUCAACUAACAAUAAAUUUUUACAACUAUAAAACUUUUAGAAUGAAAAAAAUCUUCAAAAACUCUUUAUUUGAAAUUUAACCCAAAAUUUAAUUAUACCAUUUUAAUAACCUACUUAAUUAUUCUUUUGGUGUCUAACUUCUAAGACUCUCAAACCAAAACUAAAAUAUUUUAUUUAUAAGGAUGAAAUUUUUUAUAACUUUAUUAAGCUCUCAAUAUGAGAUAUAAGAUAAAUUCAAAACUCUUAAAAUUUUCGAUGUGUAAUUAUAAGAUUCAAAGCAAAUCCAAAGAGAUACUACGCAUAUAAGUGAGAUUCGACCAGGAUGUUGGAGUUCUCUUCAGUUCUUGUACUGCUACGGAUGUGAGUUGCAGGAAUAUUUGUUUGAAGGGAUGCAACACCUGACAUCACUUCGAAGUUUGACUAUAAAAUGUUGCUCUAAACUAGUCUCACUACCACGAAGUCUGAAAUUUCUAACCAAGCUGGAGUGUAUUACUAUAGUUGAAUGCCCAAUAAUCAAUUUACGCAUGGAACUGGAAGAAAGAGAAGACUGGGGAGCUUCACCUGUGCCUUUAGCAAUUGGAAAUACGAGGUGCACCAAAGUUGGAGGAUCUACCGUGAUUGCUUCUUGAUAGAUCUGCUAGUGUCACAGGUCGAGACUUAAACUUUGAAUUCGCGCAGUUUUGGGACCCCGGGCAUUCAUCCUUUCGGCUUCCCGGAUCAGCCUUCCCACCACGGUUCACACCCUUGUGAGGUAUUGUCUACUCUGACCCUCUGACCUCACAGUUUUGUUCUACAAAAGGCGCCUCACAAGACGGAGGUGGUGUGAACCCUUAUAUACUCCAGUGACCCUCCUAUUAUGUUCGAUGUGUGAUUCAGGACUCCCCUUAGGUCCGUGACAUUUAAUGCCGGAAGGGUGAAUGCCCGGGUCCCGGAGUCGCGUGAGUUCGGAGCUUAAGUCUCGACCCGUGACACUAGCACUUUGCAAUUUAUAAAAAUUAACCGCUGUCCCAACUUUGAGAUACUACCGGAAUGGCUACAAAAUCUGUCAUCACUUCAAAAACUUGAGAUUCUUGACUGCCCAAAAUUAUCCUCUUCCGGAUGGUUUGGAUCGCCUCACCUUGCUUACCCAACUACAGAUUCGAAAAUGUCCUACGUUGAGUGAAAAAUAUCAACCCGAAGUGGGUGCUGGUUGGUCCAAGAUAGCACACAUCCAAGAGGUUCAUAUUUAAGAUCACAAGAUUUACCAGGUAUGGUUCGUGGUACUUAUUAAUUUCUUUAUCUUUUAUCCCUUCAUUGCUAGUUAAAAUUGACCAUAUCAGUUCCUCUCUACGCAUGUAUUAUGCAUACAACAUUUGCAAAUUUUAAUGAUUUGUGCCUUUGGUCGCAGGUAAAUUUUGAAGUCGAUGCUUUGGUGAGAAUAAAGGAGCGGCAUGUGAGACUUCAAUCCACCCAUUUCCACAAGAUUCAUUCGAACUUAGCUUUUUUUUUUUUUUUGGAACAUUGCUUGGAAUUACUUUGAGUUGUAUUUUUAACUCAUUUCAUUUAGUUUUGAACUACUGCAUGCAGCUCUCAUGAUGGAUGAUUGAACCAAAGCCUGUCGGUAUAAAGGCUAGCGCUAGCUGGAAGCUUUUUAGUUUUUACUUUCUUUGAUUUAGAGUCUUUGUGCCAAUGAUUUGUUGGCUUCAAUUAUGGACUUUAUGGAAAUAUACUAUAAAAUGUAUGGCUGCGUAUAACCAGAAAAAUGAUUACUUGAAAUGCGUACCAUUUUAUAUGUUUCAACUAGCAAAGCAAGUUAAGAAUAAGAAUAUGCCAUCUAUCUAUUAUCUAUCAUAAAAUGAAACUCAACUAGAGAUGCAUAGUUGGGUGACACUAUGGGUGGAGAUUCAUCAUUUAUUCAACCUUAUGUCAAUACUGACUUUUUGCAAAAAAAAAAAAAAAAAUCUUGGAAGGAGAAAAAAAAAAACAGAAAGAUUGAGUCUGAAAAAGAAUGAACGGUGGAAAAACAAAGAAAACAACAAUCAAAAUUUACUAAAACUCAAAUCGAUCCAAAAAUUCACGCAUGCAGACAUCACAACCUUUUCCAACGCCUAUAACAAGCAAAUCACAUUUAAAGAAAAAAAGGGGGAAAAAAAGAGAACAUCAGAAAAACAAAUUGAGAAAAAAAAUUGUUUAGGUUGUUUUAAAGUUACAAUGCCCACUUGGUACCUCUCUUGAAUGGUUAGGUUCUGUUUUAUAUAUAGCUAGCUGUUUCCUUCAUGUUUCCUUUCCUUUGAAAUGGGCAUGGCAGACAAACCAAAAAUGUCGUUUUCAUUAAAUAAAAUGAUAGUGUUAUUGCAUCUUUCAUUAAAUAAAAUGAUAGAGUUAUUACACUAUCAUCACUCUGCGGUCCAUCUAAAUCUAAGUCUAAUACCAUCAUUGUGUUAUUGCACCUUUCAUUAGAUGAUGUACCUGCAUUACUUGAUGUAAUCAUCCUUGGAAUUGACCCAUUAAUUAUGAGUGUUCCCAUAUUUUUGUAAUUAGCAUAAAGAAGGAUGAUAACGGGUUAAAUCAAAGUGAAUUUUUAUUUAAUUUAAUUUUAAUUUAAUUUUUUAAUUUUUAUACUCAAUUUUAAUUUUAUUCGACAUCAAAAUAUUAUUUUAUUCAAUUUGAUUAAUAUAUUUAUAAAUUACGACGAAUUUAUUUCGAUUCAAAAUUAAUAUAAUAAUUUAAUUUAAUACAAUAUCAUAAAAUAUUAUUUCUAAAUAUAAAUUAUAUCUUAGUUAUAUAUAAUAUAAAAUUUUUAUUAAAUCAAUAUCUUAAAUUAAAAUAUUAAAUAAUUAUUUUAUUAACGUAAUAUAUAUAAACAUAAAAUUAAAUAAAUAAUAAAAAUAUUUUUUUAUAUACACGCAUCUAGUGGAGUUGGAACAACUUAAAAUCCAACUUCAACUUAAACCCAAUUUAAAGAAAAAAAAAAAAAGGAAAUCCAAUCCACUUUUGAUCUGAUUUUUUAUUUAAAAAAAUUUUAUUUUAUUUAAAAUUAAUUAAAAUCUCUAAGAUAUAAAUUAUUUUAUCACCUAAAUAUAAUUUUAUAAAAUUUCUCGAUGUUAAAGUAUAAGGCUUAUAUCUUUUUAUACACUCUGCUUCAACUGUUUGUCGUGUUCUGAUUCAUUAAUUAAACGAUUAUCUCAUUCAAGUAUCUCCAUUUCGCAUAAAUUCAUCCAUUAUUGUCUAUCGAGAAGGCCCAUAAAAGGUGACUAUAAGUUAAAUCGCGAUUUGGAUUCGAAAGUAUCCCUAGCAUAAAUAUACUUGGCAUGAAAAAUUGUGCAAACGCAUUGAACACGCAAUUGGAUGUCCAUCACGAAAUCAACUUUUACUCGUUGAAUUUUUUGGUUUUAGUGGAUGAACGCUCGAUUGCAUUUUUUUUUUUUUACCAUUUUAAUUGUAUUGAAGAGACAAAAAAAUAUUUUUAUAAUUUAACCUUUUAUUUUUUUUAUUUAAUAUAAUAAAAAUACUAUUUGAUAAAUUAUUAUUUUUAUUAAUUAUCAAUUAUUUAUUAAUAAAUUAUUAUUUGACAUAAAUUAUUUGAAUAAAUUUAUAAUUAUUUAUUAAUUUUAUAAAUUUUAAAUUUUUAAAAUUUUUUAUUAUAUAUAAUUUUUAAUUUAAUAUCUUAUAUGAUUUUUUAUUCUCACUAUAACUUAAUUUAUCUUUAAUAUUUUUGUUUUAUUCAAACACAUAUCUCACAACUAUUUUUACUCUUAUUAUUAUUAUAAUUAUUUUUACUUUUAUUAAUAUUUUUAAUUUAAUCAAAAUCAUUCUUAUCAUUCAUUCAAAUUAACUUUAACACAAAGAAGUAGAAUAGUAAUCAAAAUCCUAUUACUAACUUAGCGUGAAGGAGGAAGACUUCGUCGAAAUUUUUUUUUUUUUUUUUAAAUUGAUUAGUUCCACAAUAUUAAGAAAUUUGAUAGAGAGAAAUCUUAUUAACUUGCUGGGGAGUGGAUGGACCGUCAACGUCUAGUCGUUUGUGUACAGUUUUCGCCAAAUGAAUAAAUUAUUCGAAAAUAUAUACAUCUUGGAAAGCUAUAUAUGAAGAUCAACUGGCUGGCUCAAGGGCAAAGUCAAUGAACUGCUCAGAGAAAAAGAGAGCGUUGACCUGUCUUUUAACUUAAUAACCUUCGUCUUUUCUUUGAUUUCAGAGUUCAGAUAUGAAUGAAUUAUUCUUAUUCGAGAUUGCAGCAAGUGUUUUGGAGAAGAUAACUUCCCUUGCUAUUGAGGAAGUUCGCUUGGCAUGGUUUGUCGAAAGCCAUCAGCAAAAGCUUCGGGAGACCUUGACCUUGUCAAUGGAAAAGACAAUAUACACGUGCAUGUGCAGCCGGCUAGCUUUUGUCAAGGCAUUUCCUUUUUUUCAUGCCUUGUGCUAGGUUUUUUUUUUCAGUUCAAUAGUUCCAGCUUUGACAUUGAUAGCUGAAAAGUGAGCAGAUGUGUUCCAUUUGCCAACCAUGACUUUCGACUAUGAACUUUUCCAGCACCUGGUGUAACCUUUGUUGCUCCACAUUAGCACAAGCACACAAAAUUUGUCCCCAUACUCAACGUGAACAUGCAUAAUUUUGGAUAGGUAAAUGUAGCUUCCGGUUAUUUCCAUGCAUGAAUGAAAGCCACUAUAUCCAUCAUAUCGAACACUGUGAACUUAGUCAUAUGACUUUUCCGGUAACUGCCACUCAUCAAAACAUUAAGAAUAUUGUUGCCACUUAUAAUCUAUUAUUUCGAACAAAAUUAAAUAUUUAUAUUCACUUAAUAUCUCUUUUGAUUGGUUAGAUUCUGUUUUAGUGCUGUUUCUUUGUAUUUUUUUUUUAAAAUUUUGUUGGAUAUGAAGUGACAAACAAAAUAAUAUAUCAUAAUAAAUUUGUAGCAAUAAAUAAUAAUUAAUAAUUAAUAAUGUAGGAAAAUAAAAUACAUCAAAAUUUAUUUAAAAACUCUUUUAAUAUAGAAAAAAAUUAUAGAUCACCAAAAAAUUUUUUAUUAUUGAAUAAUAAAUAUAUAAAAUUAUCUUUUAGUUAAACUAAAAUUAAUCAACAACUAAAAAAAUAAUUUAAAAAAUUUCACUAAAUAAAAGACUCAAUAAAUAUAUUUUAAAAAAAUUUUAAAUUUGAUUUUUACUGUUUAAAAUAUAAAAUACAAAAUCAUAACUUACUCAUAAAAUUUUAAUUAAAUUAAAUCAGACAACUCUCUUUUUUUUUUUCUAUUUUUUUAAUUUUUUUUUCUCGGUUUCAGCGUCACUCCACUUUUACACCUAAACAGUUCCCACUUCUUUAUUAUUUAAAUCUUUCAUUUCACGUUAAGUUAAAAGGCCUUGCCCAUGAAUGGUCAAAACCAAAAGAACCCCACGUUCUUAACAUCUUUUGCAAUGGACUCGACAAUCGGGCAUUACGCUUAAAAGUUUAAAGUUGAAAUUUUAAACUUGAUUUAUCAGUCUAAUACAAAAUCAGGUAUACAAAGUUUCUUCGAUUUCCCUAGCCUAAAUUUCAAAAAAAAAAAAAAAAAGAACUUCUUGGAAUAAAGUAGGAAUAUCCAAAAGUCAACUCUUUUUCCAUCAAGAAUUUUUCAGAGUAUUAACAUCAGUAUAUUGUUGUGUGUUUCAUCGAUGGAAAGAUUGAUUUUGUAGGCAAACAAAAAAUAUGUGAUUUUCGAUAAAUAAAUGAUAGUGACUUACACUAUCAUCACGCAGUUGAUGCGUCUAAUAGUAUAAACAAAUGAUAAUGCUUAUACCUAUUAUGUACCAAUAAAAGGAAAAAAAUUAGUGUAAUUUUUUAGAGUGAAAUUAAAUUCUAUCAUUUUAUUAAGAUUUUUUUACAUUUACACAUUGAAUUUUAAAAUUAUAUAUUAUAAUUUAUAUCAAUAAAAAAUAAAAAAUAUAUUUUUUUCAAUUUCAUUAAGCAUAUAUAUAAUUAUUAAUAAAAUUUUAAAUUAUAUUAUUUUUAUAUUUUUUUGUCAUAGUAUGAUAUAUAUUUAAAAUUCAUAGAUCUAAUCAAGAAUAUUUUUUGACCGUGUACAUUUUAUUUUUUUGGCGUGUUAGUGGUGCCUCACUCGUUUCUCGAUAGUAGAUGCCGUGCUUCCUCGGAAAGCAUCCUUUUGCAAACAUUGUAUGCCCUUCUUUUUUUUUUUUUUUUUGUCUUUUUUUAAUCUUUUGGUGGCGAUGUGGCGGAUCAUAAACCAAACCACAAGUAUAAAAGUAGUCUGGCUGUUAAAAUAAAAGUACCGUCGGUUGUUAAAAUAAUUUUAAAAUAAAAGUACUGUUAGCUGUUGAAAUAAAAUUUUUAUUUUAUUUUAAAAUAAAGGAAGUGGUGGCCGCUGAAAUAAAAGCUGUUCGGAAAAUAAAUAAAUAAAUAACUCUUUAUUUUAAAACAUUGAGAAAAUAAAAAAUGGAAGAAAUAUUAUUUAUUGUAAGAAUAUUCAAUGUAAAUAAGAUCCAAAAUAAAAAUUUACAUUAUACCGAUAUUAAAUAAUUAAAUUAAGUUAAAGUCCAAACUUGAAAAUUCUUAAUUGCAAUAAAAGUUCAUUACUCAUUAUUUUCAAAAAGAAUGUAAUCAAGUUAAGUCAAUAUAUUACAAUACUCGAAUUAGAUUCAAAAAUUAAAUCAAAUUGAUCGAAUUUUAUUUAUUAAGCUCAAAUUAAAAGCUCGUUCCAUAAAAUUUAUUAUCUAAUCAAAUUUAUAAAUUUAAUCAUAUGCUUAAAGUAAAAUUUAAUUAAUUGAUUUAAAUUUUAAACUAAACUUAAAUCGAUAUUUUUUUUAUAAAUAAUGAUAUUUUUAAAAUAAUUUCGUAACAAUAUAACAUACUCACCAUCCAAUUAAAAAUUUUUCUAAACAUUAAAAAAAAAAAACCCAAACAACCAAAUCCAAGAAUUUCUUAAAAGGUUCCAAUUUAACUAACAAUAGCUCUCACUAAAACUAUACUAAAAUUGAAAACAAAAACAGCACUAAAACAAGCAUUAUUGCCAGCAUAUAUUAUUCAAACAGUUUCUUUUUUUCUUUUAAGUAGUUAAAGUAGAAAUAAACAAUAUUCAGUAGCUAUCUUUUAGACAAGGGCCAUAGCUAAAGGUUUAGUAAAAUUACUUGCUAAACCUUCAAAGGUUUAGCCUUUGAUUUUUCUAUGUAAAUUGAUGUUGAUCGAAGGUAGGGAUAAGCAUGUGGAUAUAACUUACUGUAUAUGCAGACAGCUAUGUUGAAAUAAGGCAUGAAGGAAGAGUGCUAGAAAGGAAAGGUGUGGUUGCUAUUGGUGUCCCACUAGUUACGAGAGAGUGGAUGCCCCCUGGAAAGCAUCAUUAUUCCUUGUGCCAACAUUUGAUGGUUUUUUACUGCUGGCUGCUAAAAUAAAAUAUUUACUGUAAACUCACUUGUUUAGUUUCCCUGAAACAAACUUCAUCAUAAAUACUAUACUCAAUCGUCCUUUACCUUUGAUUGCCUCUUCAGAGUUUAAUUAUGGCGGAAUCAUUUCUGGCCCUUGUUGCAGAACAGCUUUUGGAGAAGAUAGCCUCCCUGGCUGCCAAGGAAACUCUCUCCCUGGCUGCCAAAGAAAUUCUAUCACUAUGGAAUGUCAGUAGUGAUUUGAGAAGGUUUCAGGAAACCAUGACCUACAUCAAAGCUGUGCUGUUAGAUGCUGAAAAACGGCAGCAGCAGAAUGAGACGUUGCGCCUUAGUUUGGGGAAGCUUAGAAACGUCUUAUAUGAUGCUGAGGAUGUGCUUGAUGAUUUCAGGUGUGAAGCACUGCGAAAGGAGUUGAUAAAUCGUGGAAGCACCAAGGUACGAUUCCCUUCCAUCUUUAUUCCAUUUGCAUUCCCUUUAAGGAUGGAUCAUAAAAUCAAAAAGAUCAAUGAAAGGCUAGAUAUGAUUGCUAGUGAUUUCAAAAGAUUUAAUCUUGGAGCUGUAGAGCAAGUUGAGAACCGGCGCACUAGUCUCAGGGAUACCCAUUCCUUCGUGAUAACUUCUAACGUGAUUGGUCGAAAUCAAGAUAAAGAAAAUAUCAUAAAUCUUUUAAUCCAGUCAAGCGAGGGUCAAAAUAAUAUUCCCGUUAUCCCUAUAGUUGGAAUAGGAGGUUUGGGGAAAACUACGCUUGCUCAGUUGGUGUACAAUGAUGAAAGAAUCACUCGGUGUUUUCCAUUGCAAUUAUGGGUGUGUGUAUCAGACUUGUUUGAUGUUUCCAGGUUGCUUUGUGAGAUUAUUUACUGCUUAAGUCGUGAAAGGUGUGAUGGUUUACCAGUCAAUGCACUGUUCACUCUUCUGCAAAGUCUUAUAAAAGGUCAAAAAUUUUUACUUGUUUUAGAUGACGUGUGGAACGAAAAUCGUGUUAAAUGGUAUGAAUUGAAAGACAUGUUGGUGAAAUUGGAUGAUUUGCAUCAAAGUAAGAUCCUUGUAACCACACGGAGUUCAGAGGUCGCAUCAAUAGUGGGUACAGGUGCUCCUUAUGAAUUGAAAGGUCUUGAACAUCAAGAUUGUUUGUCUUUGUUUGCAAAAUGGGCAUUCAAGGAAGGAGACGAGGAGCUAUAUCCGAACCUUAUGAGGAUUGGUAAUGAAAUUGUGAAAAAAUGCAAAGGGGUUCCUCUGGCAGUGAGAACUCUGGGGAGCUUACUUUAUUCAAAAACUGGGCAACGUGACUGGGAAUUGAUAAGAGAUAACGACAUCUGGAAGCUUGACCAAAAGGAAGAUGGCAUCUUACCGGUCCUAAAAUUGAGUUAUAAUUAUUUGCCACAUCACUUGAAACGAUGUCUGGUCUUUUUGUCUUUAUUUCCAAAGGAUUCUGACUAUGACACUGAUUAUAUCAUCCAAUUCUGGAUGGCCAAUGGACUUCUUGAACGUCCCAACCAAAACGAAGACGAACGCAUCGAAGAUGUUGGGUUACAGUAUUUCAAGGACUUAUGGUCAAGGUGUUUUGUCCAAGAUGUCCAAGAUAGAAACUCAUUUUAUAUCUUCAAAAUGCAUGAUCUGAUACAUGAUCUCUUAUUAAAUGUUUCACAAGAAGAGUGCUUAACAGUAUAUCAACAAACCGUGAAUGCUUCUGAAAAUAUUCGGCAUUUGUCAUUUUCUGAUCAAAAUAUUCCAUUGAGAACUCCACUUUUUUUGAAGAAGUUGAAACGUGUGCGCUCAUUAGUAAUCCUACCUUCUCCAGGACACUGUAGGAUGGUUGAGAAAUCAUUUCUGAGUGCUUGCUUCUUGAAUUUUAAGUACCUACGGCUAUUUGAUCUGGAACAUACCUUUUUGGAGGUAUUACCAAAAUCCAUCUGCACCUUGAAGCAUUUACGGUAUCUUAACUUAACUAGGUGCAUGAGAUUGACUAGGCUUCCUAAGUCCAUCUAUAAGCUCCAGAGCUUGCUGACUUUGAGAUUAUUUGAUGUUCCAAAUUUGCAAGUGCGUGACAACUUGCAAAGAUUGAUCAAUCUCAGAUUUCUAGAGAUUACUGCGGCUGAUAUGCAGUUAAAGGAGAUUCGACCUGGGAGUUGGAGUUCACUUCAGUUCUUAUACUUUUACGAGUGUAAGACACUGGAAUGUUUGUUUGAAGGGAUGCAAUACCUCACAUCUCUUAGAAAUUUGAUUAUGAAGAAAUGUUAUAGACUCGUCUCACUGCCUCGAAGUCUGAAGUUCCUAGUCAAAUUGGAGGAAAUUGCAAUUAUUUCCUGCCCAAUGAUCAAUUUACGCAUGGAACCGGAAGGCAGAGAAGACCAAGACCUUCACUUGAGCCUUCAGAAGUUGAUAUUACGCGAUGCACCAAACUUGGAGGAUCUGCCUCAAUUGCUUCUUGAGGGAUCUGUUGGCUGUUUGCAGUUCAUUGAAAUCCAGCAUUGCCGCAACUUUGAGAUGCUACCAGAAUGGCUAAAAAACCUCAAUUCACUUCAAAGACUGGAGAUUCUUAAUUGUCCCAAAUUAUCCUCUCUUCCCGAUGGAGUAGACCAUCUCACUGCACUUAGACAACUGAAGAUCCAAAAAUGUCCUACAUUGUGUGAAAACUGUAAACCGGAAGCUGGCGCAGAUUGGUCCAAGAUAUCACACAUCCGGGAGGUUCAUAUUGAAGACCAAAAGAUUAUCAAGUCACCUUAGAGGUAUUUUUUUAUUUAGCAAUCUAAUCUAUCACUGUUCGAUGUACUUCUUUAUAAUUCUGAAAUACUAUUUCUUUUUCUUUUCUCCUUUUCUGAUCUCUCAGGGAAAAACUUAAAAAAAAAAAAAGAGGAAAUUUCUAUUUUAUGAAUUUUUUAUAUUUUAGAUUUGAAAUUAAAUACUCCAAAAUUGCUGCUGAAAAAAAUUCCCAAGUUAAGAUGGAGCAUUAAUUAUAGGAUGGUCUUAUUAUAUAGUACUACUAUAUGUUCUUAUGCAUGACAUUUUCAUUUGCAUUUCCUUUUAAUUUCUAGAAUUCAGAUUAAACGUCCUCUAACUUCCAGUAAAAAAUUAAAAAAAAAUGAUCAUAUAAUUUGCUCAAUGUAUACAACAUUUGCAAAUUUUAAUAAUUUGUAUUUUUGAUGUCUAAGGUAGAUUAUGAACUGGAUGCUUUGAUGAAAAUAAAGAAGUAGCAGGUGAGACUUCAACCCAUCCAUAGCAUUCUACUCUAAUUAAAGUUCAUCAGCAAUAUUUUAUGAAAAUUUCAAUUCUUAUAUAUUAUAUAUCAGAAUUUUACGAAUUGGGAUUUUUAUAUAUAUAUAUAUAUACAUUUUUUAUACUAAAUCAAAUAUAUAAAUCUUUAUGUAUGCAUGUAUGUAUUUUUUUUGCAAAAUUAAACAGAUUUUAUUUGAAUGAAAAAGUUACAAAAUGUAUGUAUGUAUGUCUUUGGUACAUUGGAGCAGACUAAGUCUGCUAAAUUACACAAGAUGUUUCGUUAUAUAUUAAACCUAAUAGGAAUUGCAUUUCAGCUGUAUUUUUAACUCAUUUAGUUUUAACCAUUGCAUGCAGCUCUCAUUAUGGAAAAUUCAAGGAAGGCGUGUUGGGUAUGGAAGGCUGGCUGUAAGCUUUUUACUUUCUUUGAUUUACAGUCUUUUUGUUGUUUUUAACUUGCCUUCAAUUAAGGACUUUAUGGAAUAUUAUUGUUGUAAUAAAUGAAUGUGAUUUUAAUUUGUAUCAGAUGUAAUGUAAUUAACAGUGCUAUUCUGUAAGAUUUAUUGUGAUAUUAUGUACCAGACAUACUUAAUUAUGUGUUUGUUGUGUUAUGACUAGUUUGUUUUAAAUUGCUCUUAGUUUUUCUGUAUCCCAUUGUGGGCUUUUUCUUGGCUUGCUUCAGAUAUCAAGUCUCUUGGUUUGAUGUAACAUUUGUUGCCUUGAUGUUGCGUAUUGAUUGUAGUUCAUGUUCGUAACAUUGUUUGACCCCAUGUACCUAGAAUAUGUAUUUGUUUGCGUAAUCUACUUCAGCUAUUCAUUUCAGUGUUCUAUAUUCAGUUAUUGUUUCCUCGAGGUGAAUGAUAUUAUCUCAUUUAGAAAGCAUUGGUUCUAAGCAAAAUCAGAACUUUACUUAGAGGUUGUUGCAUAACAGUUUUUUUUUUUGAAAUUUUUCGACGAUCGAUAAUAAUUUUGAAUUUUGAUUAAUUUAGAAUCAAAUUGAAUCAAACCUCAUAAAAAAAACUAAGUUCUUUCAAAAUUAUUUUUUUAUUUACAAAACUCAAAAACUAAAACUUUAAUUAAAGUUAACCAUCUAUGCUGCAUAACAGUUUAACGAUAACAAUCAAUGCAUCCCUAAGUCGUGUGUAAAGUCUUAUAAAAGGUCACUUUUACUUGUUUUACACGAGGGGGGAACGUGUGAAAUAAAAUGGAUAUUUAUUUGAAAAAUUUAUCAAUUAUCAGUAAAUUGAAUGAUUUGUUGUAUCAAAGUGAAACUCUAUGAGGUAUUCAUACAACACGAUACUAAUGAUAAUAAAAAUAUUUUUAUAUAUUCUUUCUUCUCACAAUUUAUUUGUUUUAAAAAAUUAUAAUUUAUGUAUUUAAUAUUAUAAUUUUAAUUUUUUAUAAUAUUGAAUUAUCAUAUUUUUUAUUAUCAAAAAAUAAAUUUUAAGUAUAAAGAUAAAAUAAAAGGUAUUCAAAAAUUUUAAAAAAUAUAUAUUUUGAAACGACUCAAAAAUGAAAAAAAAAUGGAAGAAAUAUUACCUAUGUAAAAAUAUUCAAUGUAAAUAAGACCCAAAAUAAAAAUUUGCAUUAUACCCAUAUUAAAUAAUUGAAUUAAGUUUAAGACCACACUUAAAAAUUCUUAAUUGCAAUAACAUUAAGUUCGUUACCCAUAUUAUUUCCACCAGGUGAUGCUUAAAUCUAAAUAUGGAAUCCAUCAGUUGUUUAGUUUUCUAUCGGUUCUGCUUUAAAAAAAAUUUUCAAGUAAAAUGCAUUUCGUUUUGUGUCCGUCGAUAUACUCACUGAUUUUUUUAUUUUUUUUGCGUGUCCGUGGGUGUCCCUCGCGUUACGAUAGGGUGGAUGCCAUGCUUCCUGGAAAGCAUCCAUUAUUCAUUAUGCAAACAUUGGAAGCCUUUUUUUUUUUUUUUUGUUCUUUUGGUGGUGAUGUAGCUGAUCAUCAACCAAACCACAACUAUAAAAGUACUGAUAGCUGCUAAAAUGAAAUAUUUACUCUAAACUCACUUGUUUAAUUUCUCGGAAACAAACUUCAAUAUAAAUACUAUACUCAAUUGUUAUUUACCUUUGAUUACCUCUCCAGAGUUUAAUUAUGGCGGAAUCAUUUCUGGCUAUCAUUACAGAACAGUUUUUGGAAAAGAUAGUAUCCCUGGCUGCCAAAGAAACUCUAUCGCUUUGGAAUGUUAGUAGUGAUUUGAGAAGGCUUAAGGAAACCAUGACCUACAUCAAAGCUAUGCUGUUAGAUGCUGAAAAACGGCAGUAGCAGAAUGAGACGUUGCGCCUUAGUUUGGGGAAGCUUAGAGACGUCUUAUAUGAUGCUGAGGAUGUGCUUGAUGAAUUCAGGUGUGAAGCGCUGCGAAAGGAGUUGAUCAAUCGUGGAAGUGUCAUGCCUUGGGCGGGUGCACCAGGCACAUCUGGCGCACCAACACGCGCAUUUGAGGUUGAGGCCCACGCACUAGGUGCAUUGGCAGGAGUUAGUGCCCAAUGCCUUGGAGGCAUGGCCAGAAUGCCCGCACAGCCUGUAGGCCAGCCCGCAAGGCCAAGGUCUAGCCUGCAUAAUGCCUGUACCAUAUCUAGUAGGGCCCAAGAUGAGAGAUAUGCAAGGGGAUCUUUUGGAAGAUCAUAGAAUCAACAAGAGCUUUCUAGUAGAUCUGGUUAAUCCUUAGAAUCAGGAGAUAGAAUCCUGAUUGAUUGUAAUAUUCGUAAUUCCUUUAUUUUAACCUUGAUUCUAGGGAUUUAGCCAUAAGUAUAGCUGGGAGCCUCAACUAUGAAUAGAGGGCUGCUCCACCUUCAUUUGUACAUCAUCAUACACUUCUGUUUCAGUGAAUACAAAGCAUAUUCUAGCAAGCUAUUUUGUUUUCUUGUUUCUUUCAAACUUACGCAUUUAGCCCUUCCCAUUAUUUUAGUGCCCACACGCUGGUGUUUUAGGCUAACUUAGGCUACAAGGAAGUGAUUCCAAGCCUAAGGCCGCACGGAUUCUGAGUCUAAGGUCAGAGCCCGUGACAGUUGGUAUCAAAGCAAGUUCGCUUCUGCGUGUUUUUAUUGUUCAGGUUAGAUCACAGUCGAGGAGAUGGCAUCCUAGAGUGACGUUGCUAGCCAACAACCAAAGGCCCAGGAGCAGGGGCAUGAAAGAGGCAAGAAGGCUAACUUAAGAGACAUCUGGUCUACCAUGGACGGUAGGUUGGCCAAGGUGGAGGUGAGCAUGGGCAACAUGCAAGAGAAGCUUAAGGAUGUGGAGACUCACGUUGAAAUGCUAGACUCCAUGAAAAAGGAGCUCAGUGGCGAGUUACAAGCUGCUUUCAAUAAAGGCAUGAACGUGAUCACCCAAAAGAAUAAGAUCUUAGAGGCUGUGGUGGAGACCAUGUGCGAUGGCAUGGAGGCUAUGAGCAAGAAGAUAGAGGAGCUCACCAGCGAGCUCAUUGUUUGCAAGACUGCCAUUGGGAAUGGCAUGUUUGCUGGAGUGUCUAAAUCCAGGAUGGAUGUCUCCAAGCCUAAAGAGUUGAAGGAAUUAAAGUGGCUAAAGAAGUAGACAACUACCUAUGAGGUAUGGAGCAGUACUUCCAGGCCAUGGGCAUGCAGGAUGAGGCAAUAAAGGUAAGCACUACUACUAUGUAUCUUACUGAUAUAGCCUUAUUGUGGUGGAGGCAUAGGUAUGAUGAUGUUAGGCAUGGCAGCGCCAAGAUUGGAACCUGGACAGAGUUUCAAAAAGAGUUCAGAGAACAAUUUUACCCAAAGUAUGCCAAUGAUGAGGCGCAGGCAAAGUUACGUAGGCUGAGCCAACAAGGGGACAUAAGGGAGUAUGUCUAGAGAUUCUUUAAACUGAUGUUACAAAUAUCAGAUCUAGGUGAAAUGAUGCCUUAUUUACUUUUAUGGAUGGGCUGAAGCCGUGAGUGAAGCAUGAGCUACAACGGAGGGGAGUUCAUGACUUGGCUAAAAUCAUGACUACUGUUGAAUCUUUAAUAGAGUUUAAGCCUCUGAACAAGUUCGAGUCUUCCAAACCCAAGGGUAAAGACAAGGAUGAGAGGGACCGAAAGAAGUAGUCCAAAGGGAAAUACCGUGAUUGGGAGUCCAAGGAUGAGGAUCGAGACCGUUCAACUAAUGAUGGCAAGAGGAAACCACCAAUAGGCAAUUGAAAAGCAAAGGAAGAUCGAGAACCAUUAGCAUGCUACUUAUGUGAAGAGAGCCAUACAGCACGCAAUUACCUACAGAAAGGUAAACUAGCUACUGUAGACAAAGAGUCUGACGAGGAGCCAGAGAUAGGGGCAGCAAAGCUUAGGUCGUUGGUGCUCAAUGUUGUCCAAAGUAAGGGGAACCUCAAGCCAAAGGGCUUGAUGUUUACGGAUCUGAUGGUUGCAGGUCAGAAGGUGAGCACACUGAUGGACACAGGUGCCUCACAUCUUUUUAUUUCAAGUGAUGGAGCCUAGAAGCUCAGACUAAAGGUACAAAAAGAGACAGGUACCAUUAAAACGAUGAACUCCAAAGAUAUUUCAGCCAUUGAAGUAGCGCGAAGAGUGGAGUUACAGCUUGGAGACUAGAAAGACAAGAAGACCAUAGAGGUAAUACCCCUUGACGACUAUGAAUUUAUGAUUAGGUUAAAUUUUCUUGUUCGGAUUAACACCCUCUUUGUGCUUUUUACCAAUUGUAUUUGCAUCUUGAAUGCAUGGUGCCAAUGCCUAGUGCCAUUGAGGAGAGGGUUCGAAGUUGGGUCACAAGUGGUGUCAACUAUCCAAUUUGCCAAGCGAUAAACAGAAAAGAAGACACCUUCUUGGUAGCCCUAAAAUAUGAGAAGCCAAGGGAGAAGGAGACCAAGUCACCUUUGGAAGUGCUGAAGGUACUGAAGACUUUUAGUGAUAUGAUGCCCGUAAAGUUGCCUAACCAGCUACCACCUAAGAAAGAGGUGGAUCACAAGAUCGAGCUGGUGUCCAAGGCCAAGCCACCAGCUAGAGCCCUUUACCGAAUGUCCCCACCAGAGUUGGAGGAAUUAAGGAAGCAACUCAAAGAGUUAGUUGAUGCUGGCUUCAUCAGGUCAUAAAAGGUACUAUAUGGUGUAUCAAUUUUAUUCUAGCGUAAGCAUGAUGGGUUAUUACGAUUGUGCAUAGACUACCGGGCUUUGAACAAGCUGACCGUCAAGAACAAGUAUCCUAUCCCACUCAUUACGGACUUGUUCGACCAACUUGGAAGCAUAAGGUGGUUCACCAAGCUGGAUUUGAGGUCGAGCUAUUACCAAGUCAGGAUCGCGAAGGGAGAUGAGCCCAAGAUAGCAUGUGUCAAUCAGUAUGGUUCGUAUGAGUUCCUGGUCAUGCCAUUCGGACUCACGAAUGCCCCAGUAACAUUCUGUACCCUUAUGAACAAGGUACUUCAGUUGUUCCUUAAUCGAUUUGUUGUGAUUUAUUUGGAUGACAUUAUGAUCUACAGCCAAACUUUGAGAGAACAUGUAGACCAUUUAAGAUAAGUGUUCGUGGUGUUGUAGGCGUACAAGCUAUUUGUCAAAAGGAAAAGUGCUCAUUUUCCUAGCAAGAGAUCUCAUUCUUAGGCCACAUAGUGAAAGGUAACGGGAUACACAUGAAUGAAGGUAAGAUGCACGCCAUUCUGGAGUGGGAAUCGCAAGCCAAGGUCAUUGAGUUGAGGUCAUUCCUUAGGCUGGUUAACUACUACAAGCACUUUAUGAAAGGUCACUUAGCAAUAGCCACGCAAUUGACUGAUUUGUUUAAAAAAUAGAGAGUAUAAGAGUGGAGCACAGGGUGCCAGAAAGCUAAGAAGCCUUUGAUAGGUUGAAGCAGGCUAUGACCAAAGAGCCAGUCUUGGCCUUGCCAGACUAUGCCAAGCUGUAUGAAGUGCAUACGGAUGCAUCAGACUUUGCUAUAGGGGACAUGUUGAUGCAGAAAAGACAUCCAAUCGUGUUCGAAAGCAAGAAGCUUAACGAGACUGAGCACAAGUACAUGGUCCAAGAGAAAGAGAUGACUGCAGUGGUGCACUGCUUGUGCACUUGGUGCCAUUACCUGUUGGGAUCGAGGUUCGUGGUUAGGACAGACAAUGUGACGACCAGCUACUUUCAGACGUAAAAAAAGUUAUCCCUUAAGUAGGUGAGAUGGCAAGAUUUUCUUAUGGAAUUUGAUUUCCAGAUGGAGUACAAGCCAGGAUGGGCGAACCUGAUGGCAGACGCCCUAAACAGAAAGGCUAACCUUGCUGUCAUUAGCCAACCAGAGGAGUCACUGGUGCCACGCAUCAAUGAGGGACUUGCGCAUGAUCCUAUAGCCAAGGCUCUUAUAGAGUAUGCCCAACAAUGUAAGAUUAAGUGGUUUUAGGCGCAAGAUGGUUUGUUGUACACCAAGGGUAGUAAACUGUUUGUACCACAGCAUGAAAAACUUCGUAAGGAAGUUUUGUAAGAGUGUCAUAAUUCAAGGUGGGUUGGACACCCAGGAGUGAGCUGUACCUUGGCAUUGCUAGAGGAUCAGUACUAUUGAUCGUAUAUGAGGGACGAUGUGAAGGCCUAUGUGAAGACUUGUCUUGUGUGCCAAUAGACAAGGUAGAGCUCAAGAAAUCAGACGAUCUCUUGGAGCCAUUGCUAGUGCCAGAGCGACCAUAGGAGAGUGUUUCUCUAGACUUUAUAGUUGGUAUACCCAAAGCAGAGGGGUUUGAAAGCAUCAUGGUAGUGGUGGACAGGUUUUCCAAAUAUGGAAUCAUUAUUCCAGCAACCAAAAAGUGUUCAGCUGAAGAGAUAGCUCGAUUAUUCUUGAAGAACAUGGUUAAGUACUGGAGAAUGUCGAGGACCAUUGCUAGUGAUCAGGAUGGACGUUUCACGGGCAGGUUCUAGACUGAGUUGUUCAAGCUGUUGGGGUCAGACUUGAACUUUUCCACCAAUAUGCAUCAGUAGACCGAUGGGCAGACUGAACGUGUGAAUGAACUAUUGGAGGUCUACCUCAAACACUAUGUGAGUGCCACGCAAAGGGAUUGGCCAAAGUUGCUAAAUGUUGCAUAGUUUUCUUACAACUUGUAAAGGAGUGAGGCAACGAACCAGAGCCCAUCUGAGGUUGUGAUAGGUCAACAACCAUUAACACCCAGGUCAAUUGCUACAGGUUAUACAAGGCUGAAUCCAGCAGCAUACAAGUUUGCCAAGGCUUGGUAGGAGUAAGCUAACUUGGCCAGAGUCUGUCUACACAAAGGGACAAAGAGGUCGAAAAAAUGGGCAGACCAGAAUAGAUGGGACGUGCAGUUUCAAGUGGGAGACUUGGUGUUGGUAAAGCUGCAUCCCAUUAUGCAUCACAGGGGGUUGCACAAAGGCCUAAUCCGGAGGUAUAACGAACUUUUUCAAGUAGUCAAGAAGGGAGGCAAGGUUGCCUAUAAGCUGGAUAUGCCACCCAAGCUGAGGGUACAUUCGAUGUUCCAUGUAAGCAUGCUCAAGCCGUUUUAUAAGGAUGAGGGAAAUCCAGGACUGGCAAAGUCAAAGCGUGCAGCAUUGAGAGCAAGAGCCUCAUAUGAUAAGGAGGUCCACAACAUCAUAGCUGACCAAAAAAUGAGACAGAAAAAUUGCCAACCAAGAUAAAAGUACUUGGUGCGCUGGAAGGAACUUCCAGACAAUGAGGCAAGUUGGGAACCGGCAGAAGGACUUAUGGCAGUUUGGGGAUCAGAUCAUGUAGUACCAUACAGAGGACGCAAUGAGGGCAUAGUGUAAUCAGGUGGGGGAGAAUGUCACAACCCUAGGUGGGUGCACCAGGCACAUUAGGCGCACUAGCACGUGCACCUAAAGUUGAGGCCCGCGCACCAAGUACAUUGGCGAGAGUUAGCGCACAAGGCCUUUGGAGACAAAGCUAAAAUGCCUGCACAGCCUGCAGGAUAGCCCACAAGGCCAAGGUCUGGCUUACAUGAUGCCCGCACCACAUCCAGCAGGGCCCAAUAUGAGAGAUACGUAAGGGAAUCUUUUGAAAGAUCACAGGAUCAGUAAGAGCCUUUUGAUAGAUCUGGUUGACCCUUAGAAUCAGGAGAUAGAAUCCUGAUUGAUUGUAAUCUUUGUAAUUCCUAAUUUUAGCCUUGAUUCUAGGGAUUUAGCCAUAAGUAUAGCUGGGAGCCUCAACUAUAAAUAGAGGGCUGCUCCACCUUCAUUUGUAUAUCAUCAUACAUUUUAUUUUAGUGAAUACAAAGCAUAUUCCAGCAAGUUAUCUUAUUUUUUUGUUUCUCUCAAACUUGCGCAUUUAGCCCCGCAUGCUGGUGUUUUAGGCUAACUUAGGCUACAAGGAGGUGAUUCCAAGCUUAAGGCCGCAUUGAUUCUGAAUCUAAGGUCGAAGCCUAUGACAGAAGCACCACCAACAAAUUGGUACGAUUACCUGCUCUCUCUCUCUAUUCCAUUUGCAUUCCCUUUGAGGAUGAGUCAUAAAAUCAAAAAGAUCAAUGAAAAGCUAGAUGCGAUAGCUAAUGAUUUCAAAAAAUUUAAUCUUGGACUUGAAGAGAAAGUUGAGAACCGACGUGUUAUUCUCAGGGAUACCCACUGCUUUGUGAUACCUUCUAAUGUGAUAGGUCGUAAUCAAGACAAAGAAAACAUCAUAGAUCUUUUAGUCAAGCCAACCGAUACUAAAAAAUUCCCCGUUAUCCCUAUAGUUGGAAUUGGAGGUUUAGGGAAGACCACGCUUGGUCAACUUGUGUACAACGAUGAAAGGAUCAUUAGGCUCUUUCCUUUGAAAAUAUGGGUGUGUGUGUCAGAUGAGUUUGAUCUUGCUAGGUUGCUUUGUGAUGUUAUUUACUCCAUUACGAGAGAAAGAUGUAAUGGCUUGCCAAUUAAUGCAUUGCAAACUCAUUUGUGAAUGCUUUUAGAUGGUAAAACUUUUUUACUCAUUUUAGAUGAUGUAUGGAAUGAAGAUCAUGUAAAAUGGAUGGAACUGAGAGAUUUACUGAUGACAAUGGGUAACUUUCAACAAAGUAAAAUCCUUGUGACUACACAGAGUUCAAAAGUUGCUUCGAUAGUGGGUAUUAUUGCUCCGUACAACUUGAAAGGUCUUAGUCACAAAGAUUCUCUGUCUUUGUUUGUAAAAUGGGCAUUUAGGGAAGGGGAUGAGAAAGUGUAUCCAAACCUUAUGAGAAUUGGUGAUGAAAUUGUGAAAAAAUGCAAAGGGGUUCCACUCAGAGUGAGAACUUUAGGGAGCUUGCUCUACAUGAACACUGAGCAACAUGAAUGAGAAUUUAUAAAAGAUAACGACAUGUGGAAACUUGGUCAAAAGAAAAAUGACAUUCUACCUAUGCUGAAAUUGAGUUAUAAUCAUUCGCCAUCUCAUUUGCAAAUGUGCCUAACUUGUUUGUCAUUGUUUCCAAAGGAUACUAUUUAUGAUACUGAUUAUAUCAUCCAAUUCUGGAUGGCCAUUGGACUUACUGAAAGCCCCAAGCAAAAUGAAGAGUGGAAGAUGUUGGGUUACGAUAUUUCAAAGAAUUAUGGUCGAGGGGUUUUGUCCAAGAUGUCGAGGAUGAAUAUACAUAUUACACAUUUCAAAUCCAUGACCUAAUACAUGAUCUCUUGUCAAAUGUGUCUCAAGAUGACUGUUUAACAAUUUAUCCUCGUACAAUAAAUGCUGCUGAUCAUAUUCGACAUCUGUCAUUUUCAGGUGAUAAUCCAUUGAGAGCUCCACAGUCAUUUUUGAAGAAUUUAAAAGGUGUGCGGACAUUGGUGAUCCUACCUUCUUCAGGAAGAAAUAGGAUAAUUGAGGAACAUUUUGUAAAUGCUUCCAUCUUGAAUUUCAAGUUCCUGCGGCUACUUGAUCUCUCCUAUUAAUUUUUGGAAAGUAUCGCCCAAUUCCGUUGGCACCUUGAAGCAUUUAAGAUAUCUUAACUUGAGCUUUUGUCAAAGAAUGAGGAAACUUCCUACUUCUAUCAGUAAACUUCAGAGCUUGUUGACUUUACAGUUGACUGGCAUUCCACUGAUUGAAAUGCCUGAAUGUUUGCAAAGCUUGAUCAGUCUUAGAUUUCUAGAGAUAACUAUAGAUUCCACACUUUUAAGGGAUAUUAAACCAAGAUUUUGGAGUUCACUUCAGUUCAUGCACUUGUAUGGAUGUGGUAUGAUAAAAUCUAUAUUUGAUGGGAUGCAACACUGUCGUAACGGUUUUGAGUCCGUCAGACAUAAAAUGAGUUUUAAAAUCGAGAGAAAUAAAAAGAAUCAUCACCAAUCUUUGUUAGAGUGUGAUUGAUCACCCAAAAGUUUAUCCUUUGAAUAAAACUAUAAAAACAAGUUUAAAGUUUAUUAAAAAGAUAAAUUUCGAUCUACGAAAAAUCAGGUUAGGUCUGAAAAUCGGUUACGUGUGGGGAACAAUUAGCACCCUCACAACGCCCAUAAAUUAGUAUCAUUUAAUUAUGCGUUAUUUUUUAUAUUGGAUAAAAAUGGUUUUAAUUUGAAAUUUGACACUAAUUCCCUUCAUUUGAAAAAUAAAAUUUUGCUAAAAUUUUUAUUUAGAAAUAUUGAAAAAAUUUUUAAGUUAAAGAAUUAUUUUAAAAUUCUCCAACAUCUAGGCAGAAUUUAAAAUAACUCUUUUCGCUUAAGAUUUAACACAACAAUCCUUAAAAUGAAAUAACAUUCUUUAUAAAAAAUUGUUGGUGACUCUCCAACAUCUAGGCAGGAUACCAAGAAUUAUUUCUGUCGGAAUGUUAUUUUUAUUUUAUUUUGUAAUAUCACAAUUUUUUUUUAAAAAAAUGUAUAAUUCUUUUUUCAUUAUAAAAUAUUUUAUUAUCGAACAGUAAAUUAAAGAGAGAAUAAUGCAGACAAUUAUCGAUGAUAACAUAUUAACGUAUAUAUGCUAAUAAAUGUCAUAUAAAAUGAAAUGUAAUUUAAAAGUUGGAUUCUUAAGUAUAAUGAGGCCACCCCGACUCUCCAACAUCUAGGCAGAGCUUAGGUGUGACUGUUUAUAUUUAAAAUCUCAAUUUACUAUUAUACUUUUUAUUUAUUAAUCUUAUUAUCAAUACGAAUUACGAAAUCGUGUGAAAAGACUUAACGAAGUAAAUUUUCCUAAAUACCCCAUCAUCUAGGCGACAUUCGGAAAAAAUUACUUCAAUAGAAUUUUUACACGUGUUCUUAGGACUUUUAGCAGGUUUCAAAUAAGGGCUUAAGUAGAGGUUUAGAAGGUUUGGUUUUAAGGUUUUUAGGGUUUUAAAGCUUGAAUUUUAGGAUAAUGAAGGUUUAGGGUUUUAAUUUUAGAGUUUGGAAAUUUUAGGGUUUAGGUUUUGAAAGUUUAAAGGUUUUGGAUUUCGGAUUUUGGAGGGUUUUGGAUUUAAGGAGUUUGGAUUUAAGGGAUUUUGGAUUUAAGGGGGUUUGGAUUUAAAGGGUUUUAGAAACCUAGGAUUUUGAAAAUUAAAAAUUAGUGUUUAAGGUUUCGUUUUUAAGACAAUACGAACAUCUCUAAAAAUCUCCAAUAUCUAGGUGGAUUUUCGAAACAAGUUUGAUUUUAAUAAUUUUUAAAAUUAAUUUAAAAUUUCUUAUAAUUAUUUUUUUAUGAAAAUUUAUUAAUAAUAAUUCCCCCACAUCUACUCGAAAUUAUUUUUUAGAAAAAUAUUUUUAUUCCCUCCAACAUCUAGGCAAAGAAAAUAAUAAUAAUAAUAAUAAAUAUUUUUUUGAACAUUUUUAAUAUAUAUUUUUAAUCAUUUUCAAUUUUAUUAUAAUUAAAACAAUUAAACAUUUAUUCUAACAAAUUUGAAAAUUUAUCAUGCAUCAAUAAAAAAUACUCAAAAUAACAAAAAAAAUAAUAAAUUAAAAAAUUUAGAAAAUUAAAAAAAAAAUUUUUUUACUUAAACUGAACCAAUCAACGGUCCGAUCAACGUUGGUCUGAGCUGGUCGGAUCGGUUCGGUGGUUCGAUUGGUGGUUUAAAAGAUCCAGCAGUUCAGAUCGGUUCACUGACAGUUCGUCUAAAUCGGUCCAAGGUUGGCUAAGAGGGUCGGUGGGUCGGGUUAUACGGAUCUCGGGUCAAGUUCGAUCCACGCGUUGAUCCUUUACUCUUGAAACGACGUCGUUUUAGUCCUAUGCCCAAAACGACAUCGUUUUGCCCUUAUGUUUUCUAUAUAUAACUGAAAAAAAAAUUUUGUUCAUUCUUUUAGUUUUUUAGAAAAAAAAAGGGGGGGGGGAGAGGGAGAGCUCGCCGUCUGGUCGUCGAACCACCACGCUGGUCGCCGCCUGGGUCGCCAUCGGCAGGGUUGCCGGUGGUCGCCAGUGGUCGAAAAAUUUUAAUAGUACUCCCAGAAGCGCUCUUCGACACACUCUUCCUGGAUCUGACGUCCGUUUUACCGGAAACAGCUCCGAUCAACGUAGAUCGGGGCUCAAAGCUUUCGGUCUCCUUUCUCUUUCUCUUUUUUUUUUUUUUUAAAAAAGGACAUUGAUGAUUUCUUUGCUUAUUUGCAGGGCUUUCUGGCGCUGAGGUUCCUCCCUACGGGGAGGACUGUUUAACUCUUUUUUUUGUUUCUGUUUUUGUAUUUCUGUUUUCGAUUUGGUGUGGGUGUUUGGGGUUGUUGAAAAUGCUUUGAAGGGGGUAACUCGUUUGAGCUUGGUGAUUUUUGGUAUGGGUGAAAUGAAUGGGCUCUUGGGCGUCCGAGAGAGUUUUUGAGACGGGGGUCCAAGAGAGUUGAAAGGGAGAGGGACUAGGGAUUUUAAAGAACUCCAAGGUGGCUGUAGGGUGGCUGUAAGUGACUGUAGGCUAGUGGGUAGACAGGGGCUAGUCGGGUUGUAGGGUGGCUGGUCGGGGGCUGAGGAUUUUAAAGAACUUCAAGGUGGCUGUAGGGUGGUUGUAGGUGGCUGUAGGUUGGUGGGUAGACAGGGGGCUGGUCAAGAAGCUGACAGAGAGCUGGUCGGGUUGUAGGGUGGCUGGUCGAGGGCGACAGCAGCGCCAGCCACCCUACUUUCUGUUUUUUUGUUUUUUUAUUUUUUUUUGUUUUUUAUAUUUUUAUAUAAUUAAUAAUUAUUAUUUUUUAAAAUUAAUAUUAUUAUUAUUAUUAUUAAAAUAUUAAUAUUAUACUAAAAUGAGAAUAGUAGACCCGGACGAAACCGGUGUCUACAAACAACUCACAUCACUUAGAAGAUUGGCUAUCCAAGACUGUUCUAGAUUGAUUUCACUACCAAGAAGUCUGAAAUUCCUAACCAAAUUAGAGGAAAUCCAUAUACUUGGCUGCCAGAAAAUCAAUUUGUGCAUGGAACAAGAAGGAGAAGAAGACCGAGACCUUUACUUGCGGCUUAAAACUUUAACAAUAUCGGGAUCAGAAGCGUUGGAAGAUCUGCCACGGUUGUUUCUUCAAGGAUCAGCUACCACUUUUAAAUCCAUGAUAGUAAGGAAUUGUCCCACCUUCAAGGUACUACCAGAAUGGAUGCAAAAUCUCACUUCACUUCAGAGGUUGGAGCUUGUACAUUGUUCAGCAUUUUCCUCUCUUCCCGAAGGACUGAGUAGCCUCACCGCACUUAGGCAAGUAAAGAUUCAAAAAUGUCCUGCGCUGAGCCAAAAUUGUCAACCUGGGGUUGGUGCUGAUUGGUCCAAGAUUGCGCACGUUCAAGAGGAUUAUAUUGAACAUUAGAAGAUCGUCAAGCCACGCUCAAGGUCUUUACCAAUCUCUCUCUCUCCUUUUCUUCCUUUAUGAGAUUUUUUUUUCAUAUUAAAUUUUCCAGAAUACAGAAUUAUAAGAAAAGUGCUCUAAAUGAUAUGUGCUACUCAAUUCAUAUAUCUUCCUCAAAUAUCUAACAUUUGCAUUUAAUUUUGAAGUGAUCAUAGGUAAAUAGGUUGGGUGCUUUGGUCAAAAAUGAAAGAGCAAGCGAGACGAUUUCAUUCCAUUUAUUAAGCUUGUUAUCAGCAACAUUUCUUGAGAAUCCUUCAAUUUUUGCUACACUUUUUGACAUACUAUUACUCCUAUAGGAUCUUUUUUAUUGAGAUUUUUUACUAAUUAUCUUUUGUUUUUGGAUGCAUAAAGGCAAAUAAAAUUAUAAUCAUCCAUUUUAAAAGGUUAUAAUUAACGAUAGCUUAGUGAUGGAAAUAGGCAUAGCUUGUGGGCCUUCUAUAAGAAGUAUGGAAUUACAAUAUCGUGUUGUGUUCCUCGUUUUAGUUACUAUCAAACUUAGAUCCUUAGGUGCAUGCCUGCCUACCUAGGAACUCACUUUCAGUUGUAUUUUAAGAUCAACUCAUUUGGCUUCAAAUCAAACCUCUGCAGGCAGCUCUUAUGGUGUGGGAAAAUUCAGCCAAACCCUGCAUGGCGUCGUCCGUUCAAAGCUUUUACUUUCUUUGAUGAUCAUGUGACUUGAACCAGACCUGUUUAUCUGUUUGCUUAGUACUUGCGCUUUAGCUAUUUGUUUGUGUUCUAUCUCUUUGCUAUUUGAUCCUUUGGAAUGAAACCAUCAUCUCCUAACUGUUGGGUGACUCUUUAGAGACAAAAGAAAUCUUCUUGCUUGAAAGGGGAACAUCGGGCAUUCAACGUGAAGUGUCCAUUUCUUAUUCAACCAAAUGAGAUUUCGACCCAUGUCGUCUAAUGUAAGAUUUCAGACUAUCUCAUCUCAAUGAGAUUCGACCCAAGUCAUUCAAGACCUUGACCUGAAUGUUGAGGUUUUUGAUCGGACGUUACCUUUUUAUACACUUAUUUAGGAAUGUAAAUAAUAUAUUAAUACUCAUAAAUUAUUUAGAUUUGAUUUAAAUAAAAUUUAAAUUUAAUUUUGUUUUAUUAAAUCGAGCUUGUACUCGAGUAGCUUGAUUUAUCAAUCAAAACAAAAUUCAAAUAUUUUUAUAUCUGAUUCGAAUAGCUCAUGUUUUAAUCAAAUUUUAUAUUUUAAUAUAUUUUAAUUAUUUUAAUUAAUAAAAUAUUUUAAAUUUAAAUUCGAACUUGAAUAUAAAUAAUCAAAUUUUUAUUAAAUAUAAAAAUAAAGCUUAUUUUUACAUAUUAAUCGAAUUUAAUCGAAUGAAUUCAAAUAAUUUAAUUUUUAUUUUGAAUUGAAUUCGAAAUAAAAUAAUAAAUUUAAUCAAAUUUAAAUUAAAUUUCAAAUAUCAAAUUUAAAAUCAAACUCAAACUCAAUAUAAUAUUCAUUCAAAUUCGAUCAAUUACAUUUUUAAACCCCACCUUCCAAAACUAAAACCUACAUUACCCAUUUCCUAAAAAUGUAUGGGCAGCUUAUUAAAACCAAAAAUCAUACACUACCAAGUAGGCAAGUACCAAUGUAAAAAGAGCGACACAAACAAAUCAAAUAGUAUUACUUGACUUACAACACAAAAAGUUAAAUCCUCAAUAACUAAAAAGCCCAACAACUUCGAGCUUUUCUAGAUUGAACAAAUAAAGCGUUCACAACAAGAUUGGCAAGUACUAUACAUAUAGCAGGCUGGUAAGUGACAUCUAUAUGGGUAAUGGCAAAUGAGCCUCCGACUUCAGUCCUUGUUUCUAGGCACUUUUCUUGCUGCAAAGUUUCUCAAUAAGAUCUACUUCGUCUUGAACAGUUGCGAUGUUUUGGGCAUUGUCCUCUUCCACAGUGAUUCCAAACUCUUCCUCGUGUCCUAUCACAAUCUCAACCUGAAAAAGCAUUCUUCCAAUUACAACACGAACUACAAGCAAUAACCUUCAAGCAAAGGAAACAACCAAUUGAUAGAAGGUACAACAAAGAAAGGGGUAAAGUGGGAGAGAGCUUAGACUUGAUGAAGAAAUAACAAAAUCAAUGUCUAUUGUUCUAGCCAACAUGCAACAAAGCGUGACUUCGCACCUCAUGUGAUUUUUUUUUAUUGUAUAUAUUUUUAAUUGAAUAAAUUUUAUAAUAAAUUAAAAUAUAUCAAUUGAUAAAAAUUAUAAGAUAAUUCAUAUUCAACAUAUUUUGAUCAAUUUUGAUAUAAUAAGAGAUGAUUUUUUAUAUUGAAAUUGACAUGAAAUGAGUUGAAUUUUUUAAAAAAAUUAGGUCAAAAGCAUAUUUAAUACAUUAUGUCUUAACCUAUUUCAAGAUAUAUAUAUAUUUAUAUUUAUACAUAUAUAUUUAUUGUAUUAAUAAAGCUUUUUUUUACCUUAAUUUAAAAAAUUAAUAUUUUAAUUUCAAUAUAAGAUGUUAAUGUAGCACCAUCAGUGAGCUCUUUUUUUAUUUUUCUUUUUUUUUUUGCAUUUUCUCGUUUUUACUUUUUUCGAUCUUUUUUGUUUUUAUAUUUAUUUUUUAAUUGGAAAAACUUUAUAAAAAAAAGGAGGCCAAUUAAAGAAUUCAUGUGUCAUUGGCAUUUAUUUUUUUAUCUUUUGUCUUUUUGGAGGUUUUUUAAUUAAAUAAAUUUUACAAAAAAAUACAGUAAAUAGAGAUAACAAAAAAAAUUACCCCCAAUUGGUCACUGAUUAUUGCCAAAAUGUUGUGCUUCAAAAGAAUAAUUAAUAUAAUCGAAAAAAUAAACAAUAAAAAUAAAAGACAAAUAGUAAAAGCAUCAAUUGAGCUUUCAAAAUAAUAAUAAAAGUUCAAAUGCAAUUUGAUCUUGAAUAAUAUCACUUUUCAUGAUUUAACAUUUAAAAAAUUUACUAUUAAAUAUUUCAACUUUGCUUUCGUUAAACACUUUAAACCACUGUUUAAUAUCGUUAGUCAAAAUAUUGAAAAAAAAAUUAUUCAUAUGUUAUUUUAAAAAGUAGUUUUUAAUUUUUUAAAGAAAACGAAUAAAAACAUUUUUAGAAAUUAAAAAUUAAAAAAUUAUAAAUUUUUAUAAAAGGACCAUCUUUCCCCUUCCUCCUACCUAGGGCUGUAAACGAGCCGAGCCGAGCCGAAUAGUAAGAAGCUCGGGCUCAAGCUCGACUCACAACUCGGGGCUUGAUACUCGGCUCGAGUUCGAUCGAGUUUUAUUUUUCAAGCUCGAGCUCGAUUCGUGAUCGAAUUCGGCUACUCGAGCUCGCUCGAUUAAGCUCGAUUAAUAUGUAAAAAUAAGCUCGAUUCAUAUACUCGAUAAGAAUUCGAUUAUUCAUGCUCGAACUCGAACUCGAACUCGGACUCGAAAUAUUUUAUUAAUUAAAAUAAUAAAAAUAUAUUUAAAUAUAAAAGCUCGAUUAGACUCGCGAGCUACUCGAGUCAGAUAUAAGAAUACUCGAAUUCGGCUCGAUCGAUAAGUCGAGCUACUCGAGCUCGAGCUCGACUCGACAAUAAUCGAACCGAAUUCGAAUUUUUUUCGAAUCGAACCAGAGUAGCUUGCGAGUACUAAUGUAUCAUUUACACCUCUACUCCUACCCUUCUCUUUCUCUGUGAUCCCUUUCUCUCUUUUUCUUUUUUUUUUACUUUUUCUAUUUUUUUUUUUUAAGUUCAAAAAUUAUAAAAAAAUUAAAAUUGAUGUGAUACUUUUUUAUCACAUAUCAUAAUAUUAUUAAUUAUAUUUUAUCCAAGUUAACUUACUGUUUAUAAAGUUAAUGUUUAUUGCAAAAUACUUAACAAAUCAAAAUUUAGUUACUUAAUCGUGAUUCCUUUAUAUGUACAAAAUAGUAAAAAGCGAUAUAAUUCAAAAACUAAAUUGCAUAUUAACCCUAAUAAUAUUAACAAUUACUUUCGAUGUAGAAGAUAAUCAGAUCAAAUAGCAUGGCACAUAUGAGCAUAUAUUGAAGUACAGAGAAAACAGGGGAAACUACCAAGAUCAUGGUUAUUGAAUUAGUCAAAGUUGAAAAAAGCUAGGAACGAGGGCACAGAUUUAUUGUGCCGUCAAGAUACGUAAGUUACAAAGAAGUUUCCUUGUUUGAAUUUGGACAAGCCUAAUGAUGUCCUAGGGAGAGUAGGUAAGAUUUAAGCAAUGAUCCUUUAAGUAAAGUUGUUAAAAGUUUUUUUUUUUAAAUGAUCAAAUAAAUAUUAAUUUAAUUUGAAAAUUAAAAUUUAUAAAUUGAUAGAGUUUAUUAAAAAUAUAAAAAAUUUUAUUAAUCAUUAAUUAUUAAUUUCAAUCCAAUUAACAUUAAUUAAUUUAUAUAGAGUUCAGUUUAAUCCAAACUUUAUGAAUAAAUUUUUAAUUUAAUAUAUAUUAUAUUACAAGCAUAUCUAUAAAGUUUGUCAAAUAAAUACUUAUGUGAAUAACUUAUAUUUUUUACACAUAGGGUCCUAUAAGUAAUUCUAAAAGAUAAGAUUAAUUGAAAAAUAAUCCUAUUUAAUCAAUGUUAUUUAAAUCAAACAAAAUUUAUCUCUCAAUUAAUCUUUUUCUAAUAUGUAUGACAUUUAAAAUGCAUUUAGGUUUUUCAAAUAUGUAUAACAUUUAAAAUUCAAAUAGCUUUAAAAUUAAAUAGUUAAAAAUUAUCUAUUCUUCGUAAUUGUCAUCUAAGAAUUAUCCUAUGCUUUUAAGUUUAUAAAUAGUAUGUGCCAUAUAUUUUUUUCUUUUUUAAUUUGCAAAAGUUGGUUCAAAGGUAUAUCAUUUUUUAUUUUUUCUCUAUAACUUAAAUGAUAAGUGAAGGUAUGUCAAUAUUUUUUUAAUGAUUUAAUUCAUCAUUUAAUAAUAUAUUUGUGUGGAUUCAACAUAUUUAAAUAUAUAAAAUUAAUUCAUAUAUUAUACGGAUCACAAACUAAUUUUAUAAAUUAUUUUUACUAAACAAUGUUAAGGUAUUUUUUUGUGGCAUAGUGCCCUGAGUUCGAAUAACUUUAACAAAUUAUUAUUAUUUUCAAAACAGUAGGUUAUUCAAUGCACUCUUUUUUUUUUUUUUUUAAAUUUUUUCUUAUAGAAGAAAAUGUGACUGAGGACGAAGACAAACCUUUUAUUUUUUUUAACGAUAACACAUGUUAAUAACUCAAAUCGAUUACUUUAAGUUAACGCCAAACCUCGUGUAAACUUCAUUGACGCACUCAAUCUCUUUUCUUUGGAAAAAACAUCCAUUAGUCUCUGUCGCAACUCGCAAGACUAGAUGCUUUUCCUUUUGUUUUCUCUUUGUCGCAACUAAGAAGACUGGAUGCUUUUUCUUUUUCUUUGGUGGUGAUAUAACUGAUUAGAAGGCACCCCAAAAAAAUUCCGAAGUCACGGCUGCUACAAUUAAAUAUUUACUCUAAACUCACUUGUUUAAUUUCCCUGAAACAAACUUCUUCAUAAAUACUAUACUCAAUUUUCCUUUACUUUUGAUUGCCUCUCCAGAGUUUAAUUAUGGCGGAAUCAUUUCUGACCAUCAUUGCAGAACAGCUUUUGGAGAAGAUAGUCUCCCUGGGUGCCAAAGAAACUCUAUCGCUAUGGAAUCUCAGUAGUGAUUUGAGAAGGCUUCAGGAAACCGUGACCUACAUCAAAGCUGUGCUGUUAGAUGCCGAAAAACGGCAGCACCAGAAUGAGACGUUGCGCCUUAGUUUGGGGAAGCUUAGAGACGUCUUAUAUGACGCUGAGGAUGUGCUUGAUGAAUUCAGGUGUGAAGCGCAGCGAAAGGAGUUGAUCAAUCGUCGAAGCAUCACCACCAAAUUGGUACGAUUCCCUUCCCUCUCUAUUCCAUUUGCAUUCCCUUUGAGGAUGAGUCAUAAAAUCAAAAAGAUCAACGAUAAGCUAGAUACGAUUGCUAGUGAUUUCAAAAGGUUUAAUCUUGGACUUGAAGAGAAAGUUGAGAACCGGCGUGUUAUUCUCAGGGAUACCCACUCCUUUGUGAUAUCUUCUAAUGUGAUAGGCCGAAAUCAAGACAAAGAAAACAUCAUAGAUCUUUUAGUCAAGCCAACUGACGCUGACAAAAUUACCGUCAUCCCUAUAGUUGGAAUCGGAGGUUUAGGGAAGACCACGCUUGCUCAACUUGUGUACAACGAUGAAAGGAUCACUAGGUUCUUUCCCUUGAAAAUAUGGGUGUGCGUGUCAGAUGAGUUUGAUCUUGCUAGGUUGCUCUGUGAUAUUAUUUACUCCAUUACGGGGGAAAGAUGUAAUGGCUUACCAGUUAAUGCAUUGCAAAUUCAUUUGCGAAUGCUUCUAAAUGGUAAAAAAUUUUACUCGUUUUAGAUGAUGUAUGGAACGAAAGAUCAUGUAAAAUGGAUGGAACUGAGGGAUUUACUGAUGAUAAUGGGUAACUUUCAACAAAGUAAAAUCCUUGUGACUACGCGGAGUUCAAAAGUUGCUUCGAUAGUGGGUACUAUUGCUUCGUACAAGUUGAAUUGCCUUAGUCACAAAGAUUGUUUGUCUUUGUUUGUAAAAUGGGCAUUUAGGGAAGGGGAUGAGAAAGUAUAUCCAAACCUUUUGAGAAUUGGUGAUGAAAUUGUGAAAAAAUGCAAAGGGGUUCCAUUGGCAGUGAGAACUUUAGGGAGCUUACUCUACAUGAAAACUGAGCUACAUGAAUGGGAAUUUAUAAAAGAUAAUGACAUAUGGAAACUUGAUCAAAAUGAAAAUGACAUUCUACCUAUGCUGAAAUUGAGUUAUAAUCAUUUGCCAUCUCAUUUGCAAAGGUGUCUAACUUAUUUGUCAUUGUUUCCAAAGGAUACUAUUUAUGAUACUGAUUAUAUCGUCCAAUUCUGGAUGGCCAUUGGACUUAUUGAAAGCCCAAAGCAAAACGAAGAGUGGGAAGAUGUUGGGUUACAAUAUUUCAAAGAAUUAUGGUCGAGGGGUUUUGUCCAAGAUAUCGAGGAUGAACAUACAUUUUACACAUUUAAAAUCCAUGACCUAAUACAUAAUCUCUUGUCAAAUGUGUCUCAAGAUGAUUGCUUAACAAUUUAUCCUCAUACAAUAAAUGCUGCUGAAAAUAUUCGACAUCUGUCAUUUUCGGAUGAUAAUCCAUUGAGAGCUCCACAAUCAUUUUUGAAGAAUUUAAAAGGUGUGCGGACAUUAGUGAUCCUACCUUCUUCGGGAAGAAAUAGGAUAAUUGAGGAACAUUUUAUAAAUGCUUCUAUCUUGAAUUUCAAGUUCCUGCGGUCACUUGAUCUCUCCAAUUCAUUUUUGGAAGUAUUGCCCAAUUCCGUUGGCACCUUGAAGCAUUUAAGAUAUCUUGACUUGAGCUUUUGUCGAAGAAUGAGGAAACUUCCUACUUCUAUCAGUAAACUUCAGAGCUUGCUGACUUUACGGUUACUCGGCGUUCGACUGAUUGAAGUACCUGAAUGUUUGCAAAGCUUGAUCAGUCUCAGAUUUCUAGAGAUAACCACAGAUUCUCUGCUUUUAAGGGAUAUUCAACCAGGAUGUUGGAGUUCGCUUCAGUUUUUGCUCUUGGUCGACUGUGAUAUGAUAGAAUCUAUAUUUGAAGGGAUGCAACACCUCACAUCGCUGAGAAGACUGGUUAUCCAAGACUGUUCUAGAUUGAUUUCACUGCCAAGAAGUCUGAAAUUUCUUACCAAAUUAGAGGAAAUCCAGAUACUUGGCUGUGAAAAUAUCAAUUUGUGGAUGGAACAAGAAGGAGAAGAAGACCAAGACCUUCACUUGCGGCUUGAAACUUUAACAAUAUUAGGAUCAGAAGCGUUGAAGGAUUUGCCACGGUUGCUUCUUCAAGGAUCUGCUAGCACUUUUAAAUCCAUGCUAAUAAGGAGAUGUCCCAACUUCAAGGUACUACCAGAAUGGAUGCAAAAUCUCACAUCACUUAACAGGUUGGAGCUUGUAAAUUGUCCAGCAUUAUCCUCUCUUCCCGAAGGACUGAAUCGCCUCACCGCACUUAGACAAGUAAAGGUUCAACUAUGUCCUGCGCUGAGCCAAAAUUGUCAACCUGGGGUUGGUGCUGACUGGUCCAAGAUUGCACACGUUCAAGAGGUUCAUAUUGAAGAUAAAAAGAUCGUCAAGCCACGCUCUAGGUGUUUACCAAUCUCUCAUUCUUUUUUCUUCCUUUAUGAGAUUUUUUUUUUCAUAUUAAAUUUUCCAGAAAACAGAAUUAUAAGAAAAUUGCUUUAAAUGAUAUGUGCUAGUCAAUUCAUAUAUCUUCCUGAAAUAUCUAACAUUUGCAUUGAUUUUGAAAUGAUCGUAGGUAAAUUGGUCCGGAUGCUUGGUCAAAAAAAAAAAGAGCAAGCAGGUGAGACGAUUUCAUUCAAUCUAUUAAGCUUGUUUGUUAUCAGCAACAUUUCAUGAGAAUCCGUCAAUUUUUGCUACACUUUUUCAUAUAUUAUUACGCUUAUAGGAUCUGUUUGACUGAGAAUUUUUGCUAAUUAUCUUUUGUUUUUGGAUGCAUAAAGGCAAAUAAAAUUAUAAUCAUCCGUUUUAAAAGGUUACAAUUAACUAUAGCUAGGUGAGGGAAAUAGUCAUAGCUUGUGGUUCUUCUAUAAGAUAAAUGGAAUUACAAUAUUGUCUUGUGUUUCUCUUUGUAGUUACUGUCAAACUGAGAUACUUAGAUGCAUGCCUCUGCCUACCUAGGAACUCACUUUCGGUUGUAUUUUAAGAUCUAAAACUCAUUUGGCUUCAAAUCAAACCACUGCGGGUAGCCCUUAUGGUGUGGGAAAAUUCAGCCAAACCCUGCAGGGCGCCGUCUGUUCAAAGCUUUUACUUUCUUUGACCGUUUGACGAUCAUGUGUCUUGAACCAGACCUGUUUAUCUGUUUGCUUAAUACUUGCGCUUUAGCUAUUUGUUUGUGUUCUAUCUGUUUGUGAUUGGAUCCUUUGGAGCGAAACCAUCAUCUCAUAACUGUUGGGUGACUCCUUAGGGACAAAAGAAAUCUUCUUGCUUGAAAAGGGAACAUCAGGCAUUCAACAUGAAGUGCCCAUUUCUUAUUCAACCCAAUGAGAUUUCGACCUAAGUCGUGUAGUGUAAGAUUUUAGACUAUCUCAUCCCAAUGAGAUUCACCCCAAGUCAUUCAAGACCUUGACCUGAUAUUUGAGUUUUGGGUUUAACAAGUCCUGUCGUGUCGGCUGGAUGUUGAGCUUUUUGUUUGGGCGUUACCUUUUUCAGGGCCUAAGCCCCCCCAAACUAAAACCUACACUGCCCAUUUCCCUAUAACUGUAUGUGCGGCUUAUCAAAACAAGAAAUUAUACACUACCAAGUACUAAUUUAAAACAGCGACACGAUCAAAUCAAAUCAUUUUAACUCGACUUACAGCACAAAAAGUUAAAUCCACAAUUUAACCAAAAAGCCCAACAACUUUGAGUAUUUUCUAGAAUGAACAAAUAAAUAGACGAGAGUUCACAAGAAGAUUGGAAAAUAUUUUAGAUAUAGCAGGCUGGUAAGUGACAUCAAUAUGGGCAAUGGCAAAUGAACCUCCAACUUGGGCCUUGUUUCUAGGCACCUUUCACGCUGCAGAAUUUCCCAAUAAGAUCUGCUUCUUCUUUAACAGUUGCGAUGCUUUGGGCAUUGUCUUCUGCCACGGUAAUUCCAAACUCUUCCUCAAGUCCCAUCACAAUCUCAACCUGAAGGGGCAUUCUUCCAAUUAUAACACGAACUAUAAGCAAUAACCUUCAAGUAAAAGAAACAACAAUUGAUAGAAGGUACAACACAGAAAGGGGUAGAGUGGGAGAGAGCUUAGACUUGAAGAAAUAACAAAAUCGAUGUCUAUUGUUGUAGCCAACAUGCAAAAGCGUCGACGUGGCAUCUCUCUUUUUUUUCACUUUUUUUAAUAUUUUUAAAUUAAAUAAAUUUUAUAAUAAAAUAUAUCAAUCAAAAAAAUUAUAAAAUAAUUUAUAUCCGACGAGUUUCGAUCAAUCUUGAUCUAAUAAAAAAUGAUUUUUUAUAUUGAGAUUGACAAAAAACACAGUUUUUUUUUUUAAAAAAAAUAAAUUCAGGUCAAAGACGUAUUUAAUCUGCUUCGUCUUAACCUAUUUCAAGAUAUAUAUUUUUUAUUAUUAUUUAUCAUUUAUUUAAUUUUAUACAUGCAUUUAUUGUAUUAAUAAAAUUAUUUUUUAUUUUAAUUUAAGAAAUUAAUACUUUAAACUCAAUAUAAGAUGUUAAUGUAGCACUAGCUAUGAGCUUUUUUUACUUUUCUCAUUUUUUUUAUUUUCUCAUAUUUUACUUUUUUUAAUCUUUUUUGUUUUUUUAUUUAUUUUUAAUUGGAUAAUUUAUUUUUUAAAAAAAGAGAGGUCAAUUAAGGAAUCUAUAUGUCGUUCACGUUUAUUUUUUUAUCUUUCGUCUUUUUGGAGGUUUUUUAAUUAAAUAAAUUUUAUAAAAAAAAGAUAAAUAGAGAUAACAAAAUAAAACAAGAUUUACCCGUAAUUGGUCCUAGUUAUUUUCAAAAUGUUGUGCUUCAAAAGAAUAAUUAAUAUAAAAAAAUUAAAAAUUAAAAAAAAAAGGAAAAGACAAAUAGUAAAAGCACCAAUAGAGCUUUAAAAAUAAUAAUAAAAGUUCAAAUGCAAUUUGAUCUUGAAUAAUAUCAAUUUUCAUGAUUUAACAUUUAAAAAAUUUACUAUUAAGCAUCCCAACUUUGCUUUCGUUAAACACUUUACACCACUAAUUAAUAUUGUUAGUUAAAAUACUGAAAAAAAUGAUUCAUAUGUCAUUUUAAAAAAUAGUUUUAAAUUUUUUAAAGAAAAUGAAUAAAAACAUUUUUGGAAAUUAAAAAUUAUAAAAUUAUAAAUUUUUAGAAAAGGACUAUCUUUCCUCCUCUUCCUACCCUUCUCUUUCUAUGUGAUCCCUUUCUCUUUUUUUCUUUUUUUAACUUUUCUUAUUUUCUUUUUUUUUUAAGUUCAAAAAUUAUAAAAAUAAAAUAAAAUUGAUGUGAUACUUUUUUAUCACAUAUCAUAAUAUUAUUAAUUAUUUUUUAACCAAAUUAACUUACUGUUUAUAAAGUUAAUGUUUAUUGCAAAAUACUUAACAAAUCAAAUUUUAGUUACUUAAUCGUGAUUUUUUUUUUAUGUACAAUAUAGUUAAAAGCAAUAUAACUCAAAAACUAAAUUGCAUAGUAACCCUAAUAAUAUUAACAAUUACUGUAGAUGUAAAAGAUAAUGAUCGGAUCACACAGCAUUGCACUUUUGAGCUUGUAUUGAAGUAUAGAGAAAAGAGGGGAGAACUCCCAAUUCCAUGGUUAUUAAUGUCAAUCCAAUUAAUAUUAAUUAAUUUACAUAGAGUUGAGUUUAAUCCAAAAUUUUAUGAAUAAAUUUUUAAUCUAAUCUAAUAUAUAUUAUAUAUCACAAGGUAUAUACAUGUCUGUCAAGUAAACAUUUAUGUAGAUAAUUUAUAUUUUUUACAUGUAAGAUUCUAUAAAUAAUUUUUAAAUUUACAUUGUUUUUCAAAUAAUCCUAUCUAAUCAGUUUUCAAAUUUUAAAAAUUACAAAAAUUAACUUUAUUUAAGUCUUUUAAUCCAUCUAUAUUUUAUUUUAUUUAAAUCAAACAAAAUUUAUCUCUCAACUCAUAUUUUUCUAAUAUGUAUGACAUUUAAAAUUCAAAUAGCUUUAAAACCAAAUAGUUAAAAAUUAUCUAUUCUUCAUAAUUGUCAUCCAAGAAUUAUCUUAUGCUUUUAAGUUUAUAAAUAGUAUGUGCUAUAUCAUUUUUUUUCUUUUUUAAUUUACAAAAGUUGGUUUAAAGGUAUAUUAUUUGUCAUUUUUUCUUAAUAACUUAAAUGGUAAGUGAAGGCAUAUCAAUAUUUUUUUAAUGAUUUAAUUCAUCAUUUAACAAUAUAUUUGAAACUAUAAAAAGUGCUAUAUGUCCAUUUCCAAUAAAACUAACAAUUUUAUAUUUCAAAAAAUUUGAUUAUCAACUCUUUCUUUUCAGAUUCAAUAUCUAAUAUUGCGACCAUUUUAUAUGUGAAAGAAUAUACCCAUAAUAUCAAACAUAAUUUCAUAUUUUGUAAUUUUUCAACAAAUUAUAAUUAUUAAUUAGAUUUGAGAAAAAAUAUAUUAUUUUCAAUUUCGUUCAUUUGUCUCUCUUUUGGAUUUUUAUUUUAAAUUGUUUCUUCAAAGCUUAGUUCUUGAAUUGGUGUGAACUAUGCCUAUUUUUAUCUAGCAGCAUAAUUGAAAUAUUCUUAUUUUGCUUUUAAUUGACAUUUGUCCGUUUAGGAAUUUAAUUUUAUCUUAUUUAUAUAAAUAAAUGUUAUAUUUAAAUAAAAAAUCAUAAUUAUCGACUUGAAAUUUUUAAUUAAAUAUUAUAAUAUAUUAUAAAUUUUAAAAUUUUGAAUAUAAUCUUAAAAAAUGUUAAUUGGUAUGUAUUCUACACAUUUAAAUAGAUAAAAUUAAUUCAUAUAUUUUACGGAUCACAAACUAAUUUUAUAAAUUAUUUUUACUAAAAAAUGUUAAGGCAUGGUUUUGGUGCAUAGUGCCCUAAGUUCAAAUAACUUUAACAAAUUAUUAUUAUUUUCAAAACAGUGAGUUAUUCAAUGCACUCUUUUUUUUUUUUUUCUUUCGGAAGAAAAUGUGACUGAGGACGAAGACAAACUCUUUUUUUUUUUUUUUUAACGAUAAGACACGUUAAUAACUCAAAUCGAUUAAUUUAAGUUAACGCGAAACUUCGUGGAAACUUCAUUCACGCACCCAAUCUAUUUUCCUUGGAAAAAUCAUCCAUUAAGCAUCCAUUAGUCUUUGUCCCAACUCACAAGACUUGAAGCUUUUUUGUUUUCUCUUCGUCGCAACUCCCGAGCUUUUUCUUUUACCAAAAAUUGCGAAGUCAUGGCUGCUAUAAUAAAAUAUUUACUCUAAUCUCACUUGUUUAGUUUCCCUGGAACAAACUUCUUCAUAAAUACUACACUCAAUUUUCCUUUACCUUUGAUUGCCUCUCCAGACUUUAAUUAUGGCGGAAUCAUUUGUGGCCAUCGUUGCAGAACAGCUUUUGGAGAAGAUAAUCUCCCUGGCUGGCAAAGAAACUCUAUCGCUAUGGAAUCUCACCAGGGAUUUGAGAAGACUUCAGGAAACCGUGGCCUACAUCAAAGCUGUGCUGUUAGAUGCCGAAAAACGGCAGCAGCAGAAUGAGACGUUGCGCCUUAGUUUGGGGAAGCUUAGAGACGUCUUAUAUGAUGCUGAGGAUGUGCUUGAUGAAUUCAGGUGUGAAGCGCUGCAAAAGGAGUUGAUCAAUCGUCGAAGCACCACCACCAAAUUGGUACGAUUCCCUCCCCUCUCUAUUUCAUUUGCAUUCCCUUUGAGGAUGAGUCAUAAAAUCAAAAAGAUCAACGAUAAGCUAGAUACGAUUGCUAGUGAUUUCAAAAGGUUUAAUCUUGGACUUGAAGAGAAAGUUGAGAACCGGCGUAUUAUUCUUAGGGAUACCCACUCCUUUGUGAUAUCUUCUAAUGUUAUAGGCCGAAAUCAAGACAAAGAAAACAUCAUAGAUCUUUUAGUCAAGCCAACUGAUGCUGACAAAAUUCCCGUCAUCUCUAUAGUUGGAAUCGGAGGUUUAGGGAAGACCACGCUUGCUCAACUUGUGUACAACGAUGAAAGGAUCACUAGGUUUUUUCCCUUGAAAAUAUGGGUGUGCGUGUCAGAUGAGUUUGAUCUUGCUAGGUUGCUCUGUGAAAUUAUUUACUCCAUUACGGGGGAAAGAUGUAAUGGCUUACCAGUUAAUGCAUUGCAAAUUCAUUUGCGAAUGCUUCUAAAUGGUAAAAAAAUUUUACUCGUUUUAGAUGAUGUAUGGAACGAAGAUCAUGUAAAAUGGAUGGAACUGAGGGAUUUACUGAUGACAAGGGGUAACUUUCAACAAAGUAAAAUCCUUGUGACUACACGGAGUUCAAAAGUUGCUUCGAUAGUGGGUACUAUUGCUUCGUACAAGUUGAAUUGCCUUAGUCACAAAGAUUGUUUGUCUUUGUUUGUAAAAUGGGCAUUUAGGGAAGGGGAUGAGAAAAUAUAUCCAAACCUUUUGAGAAUUGGUGAUGAAAUUGUGAAAAAAUGCAAAGGGGUUCCGUUGGCAGUGAGAACUUUAGGGAGCUUACUCUACAUGAAAACUGAGCUACAUGAAUGGGAAUUUAUAAAAGAUAAUGACAUAUGGAAACUUGAUCAAAAUGAAAAUGACAUCCUACCUAUGCUGAGAUUGAGUUAUAAUUAUUUGCCAUCUCAUUUGCAAAGGUGUCUAACUUAUUUAUCAUUGUUUCAAAGGAUACUGUUUAUGAUACUGAUUAUAUCAUCCAAUUCUGGAUGGCCAUUGGACUUAUUGAAAGCCCUAAGCGAAAGGAAGAGUGGGAAGACGUUGGGUUACGGUAUUUCAAAGAAUUAUGGUCGAGGGGGUUUGUCCAAGAUGUCGAGGAUAAACAUGGAUUUUACAGAUUUAAAAUCCAUGACCUAAUGCAUGAUCUCUUGACAAAUGUGUCUCAAGAUGACUGCUUAACAAUUUAUUCUCAUACAAUAAAUGCUGCUGAAAAUAUUCGACAUCUGUCAUUUUCGGAUGAUAAUCCAUUGAGAGCUCCACAAUCAUUUUUGAAGAAUUUAAAAGGUGUGCGGACAUUACUGAUCCUGGCUUCUUCAGGAGCAAAUAGGAUAAUUGAGGAACAUUUUGUAAAUGCUUCUUUCUUGAAUUUCAAGUUCCUGCGGCUACUUGAUCUCUCCUGUUCAUUUUUGGAAGUAUUGCCCAAUUCCGUUGGCAUCUUGAAGCAUUUAAGAUAUCUUGACUUAUCCAGGUGUUAUAGAAUGAGGAAGCUUCCUCGUUCUAUCUAUAAGCUUCAAAGCUUGUUGACAUUAAGAUUGUGGAUAUUGAUUGCCAAUUGCAACUGCCUCGCAAUUUGCAAAGCUUGAUCAAUCUCAGAUUCCUAGAGCUAACAGGGGAUACUACGCAUAUAAGGGAGAUUCGACCAGGAUGUUGGAGUUCUCUUCAGGUCUUGCACUGCUACAGAUGCGAGUCGCUGGAAUAUUUGUUUGAAGGGAUUUAACACCUGACAUCACUUCGAACAUUGACCAUGAGAUGUUGCCCUAAACUAGUCUCACUACCACGAAGUCUGAAAUUUCUAACCAAGCUGGAGUGUAUUGAUAUAAUUGAAUGCCCAAUAAUCAAUUUACGCAUGGAACUGGAAGAAAGAGAAGACAGAGACAUUCACUUGUGCCUUAAGAAAUUGGAAAUACGGGGUGCACCACAGUUGGAGGACCUACCGCGAUUGCUUCUUGAUAGAUCUGCUAGCGCUUUGCAACUCAUAAAAAUUCACCAUUGUCCCAAGUUUGAGGUACUACCGGAAUGGCUACAAAAUCUGUCAUCACUUCAAAGACUUGAGAUUCUUGACUGCCUAAAAUUAUCCUCUCUUCCGGAUGGCGUGGAUCGCCUCACCUAGCUUACACAACUACAGAUUCAAGAAUGUCCUACAUUGAGUGAAAAAUAUCGACCCGAAGUGGGUGCUGGUUGGUCCAAGAUAGCACACAUCCAAGAGGUUCAUAUUGAAGAUCAGAAGAUUAGCAGGUAUGGUUUGUGGUACUUAUUAAUUUCUUUAUCUUUUACCUCUGCUAGUUAAAAUUGGCCAUAUAAGUCCCUCUUUAUGCAUGUAUUAUGUAUACAACAUUUGCAAAUUUUAAUGAUUCGUAUUUUUAGUCACAGGUAAAUUAUGAAGUGGAUGCUUUGGUGAGAAUUCAGGAGCGGCAGGUGAGACUUUAAUCCAUCCAUUCCGACAAGAUUCAUUCGAACUUUAGAAUUUUUUUGGGCUCAUUGCUAGGAAUUACUUUUCAGUUGUUUUUCUAACUCAUUUCAUUUAGUUUUGAACUACUGCAUGCAGCUCUCAUGAUGGAUGAUUGAACCAAAGCCUGUAGGGUGUGGAGGCUAGCGCUAGCUGGAAGCUUUUUAGUUUUUACUUUGUUUGAUUUAGAGUCGUUGUGCCAAUGUUUUGUUGGCUUCAAUUAAGGACUUUAUAGAUUAUUGGUGAAAUUAGUUAAUGUAAUUUUUUUUAGAAUUUAAUUAACGUAAUCUUAAUUUGCAUAAGAAUUGAUGUAAUUAGCACUACCAGUCUGUCAGAUUUGCUCUUGAUUUGAAAUCAAACCAUCAUCACAUUCACAUAUAAAUAUCUCUUGCUACAUAUUUGUGAUUAUUUUCUUCUAUUUGUCAUACACGGAAAAGGCAUUCCAUUAUAUUUAAUUAAUUCAAAUUUAAAAUCUCACUUUCCAAGCACAGGCAUGUGUCAUAUUUGUAAUAGUCAAAACAUGUAACUCUAAUUUGGCCAAAAAAAAAAAUGUAACCCUUAAAAAUAUACUAUAAAAUGUAUGGUUGGUGUUGGGGGCAUAUAGUGAUUCAAAAGACAUAAUGGCCACUUUCUUCAUCAGGGGCUUGGCGAAUAGAUAGGGACAUUUCGAACAUUUGCAUUAACCUGAUAUGACACAUUCAAUUCAGUCACAUCAUCAUUAUCCCUCAUUGACCCUAUACCACUCAUUUCUAAAUAUAAGCAUCUAGUAUUGUCAUCACAAGUUCCAUCUUGUUUUAAAUCAUUUAUCUUUCUCUCCUUCCAACCUUCUUCAUUUUGAUUUUUAAUUUGCAUGUCGGAGUGCAAACGCGAAGAACACUCCCUGCCUUUGUAUUUGACCCCUCUCUUCUCACUUUUUAUUCUUUCAGGAACAUUUUCACAUCGAAGCUUGAUAUAAAUAUUUGGUGCGCCAUGUAAGAGAUUUUCCAUUCAUUAGCCAAGUAUAAAACAAUGCCACUUGGAAAAGAACUUUAAAAGAAGGAAGGAUGACCUUUCUAGUCGGAAUAGAGGCACACAAUAGCCAACACUUGGACCUACCUACCAUAUAAUAGGUUGGUCUGACCAUGGAGCAAUUUCAAGACUCUGACCGAGCAGAUAUAGGUUGUCAAAAAUAUGUUACAAACUAUAACUCUACCCUAGGCUUCGAAGGUUUCAGACUUAGUUAUUCUUAGCCAAGAAGUUGUGAAAAGGCAACCGAGCUAUGAAGAGGUGAAAGCCUCAUCAACCUCCAAAAAAAAAGAGCACGACACUCUUGCUCACUACUACCUAGUCACAACUCAAUACAUGUCAUUACCCAAAAAUUAAAACAAACUAACCCAGAGCCUUAGCCAAACAAAAACCUAGAAGCUCAAAUGCCAACUAUGGAGAAAGAGCUAAAGGCGAAAGAGGUGGCUUUCAAAGACAAGCUCAAAUUUUUUAAAACCUCAUCCUUCAUCGAAGAAAUCGACAUAACUAUGUCUUCAAAAGGGUUCACAAUGUCAACCUUAGAAACUUGAGAUGGUACUUUUAAUCUUUUCGAUCAUUUGAAAGUUUAUAGAACUAAGAUGAUGAUGCAGGAUGCGAAUGAAGUUUUAAUGUGUAAAGGUCAUGCUAUUACCUUUAAAGUCGCAGCUUGAUCUUGGUUUAGUAGUUUUAAAACCAAGGUCAAUCACAACAUUUAAAAAGCUCAGCCAUUACUUCCUAUAUCAAUUUGUAAGCAGCCAAAAAAUAAAAAAGAUGACAUUAAGCUUAAGGUCGAUCCACCAAGGCCAUAAUGAAUCCUUGAAAAACUAUGUCACGCGUUUUAAUGCGAAAGGGACAUGACCUGGAACAAACAAUCGCUAUGGCCGCCUAAACAAGUGCACUCAAUGACGAAGAGUAUCACCUAACGCUGACCUUACCAUUAGAGCCACCUAAGACUUUAGCCGACAUGCUAUUUGUAGCUGAAAAAUAUAUAAACGUUGAAGCUACAAUAAAAAAUAAUCGAGUUGGGAAAGGCUCAUCCCCUCUCUUUGACGAUCGAGGUGAAAGAGGCUCAUCAUUUUCCUUGGUUGUAAAAAGGAAAAAGUUUUUAUGAGCCUUCCCUAAAAGAAGGAUGACAUAGGGCUUAGAGCCAUAGUAGAGAAAGAAAUUAUACUGCACUGAAUACCUCCUGAAAAGGAUUCUAAUGCAAAUCGAGAGGAAUCUGGUGCUCAGAUGGCCAAAGCCACUGAAAGAGAAUACGAGAAGGGAUUUAACCGAAAGAUGUGCCUUCCAUAAAAAUAUAGGCCAUAAUAUUGAGGAUUGUGUUGACCUCAAAAAUGAAAUUGAACCUUUGAUCAAAAAAAGUCAAAUGAGGAGGUUUGUGGACCAAAAAAGAAAAAGCAAAACAUAUCGAAUUACAGAUGGCAUUAAAGAGAGCCCACGAGGGGUAGGGAAGGCAUGUUAAGGAAAACAAAAGAGGAAAAGUUUGAGGAAAUGAGCAAAGAUAGGAAAAAGGCUAAACUGAUAAUAAUAAGCUUAUUGCUGAAAUGAUUAAUGUGAUUACUAAAUGAAGCUUAACCUCGGCUAAAAGAAAGUCCAACCUAACUAUGAUCAUGGCUAUUGGCUUUUCAACAAAGAAAGAAAAAAAUUGGAAAAAUGAACCGAUCUCAUUUAACUUGAAGGAUUUGGAAAGAAUCCAACUUCCUCACGAUGAUGCUGUAGUAAUCACAGUUGUAGUACAUAAUUAUGUGGUUAAAAGGAUCAUGUUCGAUAAUGGGAGUUCCACCGACGUCAUGUACUAUGCCACCAUAAAGAAAUGGGUAUUAAAGAGGAUUAGUUGCAAUUGAUUACCAUAACCCUAGUAGGAUUUAGGAACAAGCAAGUACCCACAAAAAGGACUAUAAAACUACCAAUCACUUUAGGGAGGGAAUCGAAAAUAGUCACCUUGGUCAUAGAAUUCAUGGUAGUAGAGUCCCAUCUAUCUAUUAAGUUAUCCAAACAUUGGAAAAUGAAGAAAUGGACUUUAGAAAUUAUUUUCAUGCUUACCAAAUAGAGUGUAUUUUAUCUUUUAGCGUGUCCAUGGGUAAUGAAAUUCUUUGUUUGCAAAAUGGGCAUUCAACGAAAGGGAUGAAUAGCUAUAUUCGAACUUUAAGAGGAUUGGUAAUGAAAUUGUGAAAAAAUGCAUGUUAAAGUGAGUUAUCCCACAUUUAAUAAAUUUUUAAUAUCUUGUAAUCUUAUAUUCAUGUUGGGCCUUUUUACUUACUAUCAAUUAGUAGUAGAUUAGAUGCUUAACAUGGUUUCAGAGCUAAGAUUUUCUUUUCGUUGUUCAUUCCUAUUUUGUCAUGUGAAAGGCUUUUCCAUCUUCGCCUACACGUGAUGAAGCCUUAUUAAAGUGGAUUAUCCCACGUCUAAUGAAUAUCAAAUAUCAUGUAGUGUUAUAUUCAAGUUGGGUCCUUUUACUUAUAAUCAAUUAAUUUUAAGUUAGAUGUGUAACAUUUUCAAAAGAUACUGAAUAUGACAUUGAUUAUAUUAUCCAAUUCUUGAUGCCAAUGGACUUCUUGAAAUUCCCAAGCAAAGUGAAGGCGAAUGCAUGGAAGAUGUUGGGUUACAGUAUUUCAAGGACUUAUUGUCAAGGUGUUUUGUCCAAGAUAGAAACUAAUUUUAUAUCUUCAAAAUGCAUGAUCUUAUACACGAUCUCGCAUUAAAUGCUUCACAAGAAGAGUGCUUAACAGUAUAUCAACAUGUGGUAAAUGCUUCUGAAAAUAUUCGGCAUUUGUCAUUUUGUGAUCAAAAUAUUCCAUUGAGAACUACACAACUUUUUUUAAAGAAGUUGAAUGGUGUGCGCCCAUUAGUAAUCCUACCUCCUCGAGGAUACUAUAGGAUGGUUGAGAAAUCAUUUCUGAGUGCUUGCAUCUUCAAUUUUAAGUACCUACGGCCAGGGAUUCAAAUUACGGUUGCGGACACAUUUUCGAUCGCGUCGCGUUUGUCGCGAUUGCGUAUAUAACGAAGAUUAUUGCGAUCAUUACGGUUAUCAAGGUCGUGAAUUUUUUUUUAAUUUUUUACAAUUUACUAUAAAAUAUAGUAAUUAUAAUUAUAAUAAUAAAAAUUAGUACUUGUAAUUUUUAAAGUAAUGUAUGAUAUUUUAAUUUUUAUUUAUAACUUAAAAUGAUUUUUUAUUGUUUUGUAGUUAUGAUUCAAAAUGAAAAUGAAUAUUAUAAAUGUUUUUUUUAUUAUACUUAUGAAGUUCAAAGACAUAAAUAUUAUAAAUACAUAUGAUAGAAAAAAUAUAUCUUAUAUGAAGUUAAUAAUGAUUAUAAUUAAUUUAAUUAAAAAAUUAGUGUUGAAUAUCUAAAAGAAAGAAGGCGAACUGACGGUCCUCCUACUGAAAGAAGUGGAAUAAGCAAGCAAAGAACCCAACAAGUGAUUUUCCUUGACCCGACAAAAAAAGAAAGGAACAAACGAGCUUCGCACCGGGCACAGCUUCCCAUUUCAAGAAACAAGAAAUGAAGAGGGAAGUCCGAGCUUUUCCACGAGCUCAUGUCAAAUUCUCUCUGAAAUCCAAAAUGAAAAGAAAGACCUACUUAUUGGGGCUAGGAAACACCCCAUCCGGCCGAGAUUGAUCGGCUGCAAUGGCUGCUCGUGGCCAUUAUGAUUGUAAAUUUCAUUUACAACCCAAUUUCGGGUACGUAGCGGUGGCGGAGACUACCGAAACCGCAAAAUAGCGGCCGCAAUGCCACUACACAACCACUAUUUGAAACCCUGCCUACGGCUACUUGAUCUGGAAAAUUCCUGGUUGGAGGUAUUACCAAAAUCCAUCUGCACCUUGAAGCAUUGACUGUAUCUUAACUUAACUAGGUGUAUUAGAUUGACUAGGCUUCCUAAGUCUAUCUAUAAGCUCCAGAGCUUGCUGACAUUGAGAUUAUUUGAUGUUCCAAAAUUGCAAGUGCGUGACAAUUUGCAAAGAUUGAUCAGUCUCAGAUUGCAAAGUUGGAGUUCGCUUCAGUUCUUAUUCUUCUACGAGUGUAAGACACUGGAAUGUUUGUUUGAAGGGAUGCAAUGCCUAACAUCACUUAGAAAUUUGACUAUGAAGAAAUGAUAUAGACUUGUCUUACUGCCUCGAAGUCUGAAGUUCCUAGUCAAAUUAGAGGAAAUUGCAAUUGUUUCCUUCCCAAUGAUCAAUUUACGCACGGAACCGGAAGGCAGAGAAGACCAAGACCUUCACUUGAGCCUUCAGAAGUUGAUAUUACGUGAUGCACCAAACUUGGAGGAUCUGCCUCGAUUGCUUCUUGAGGGAUCUGUUGGCUGUUUGCAAUCCAUUGAAAUCCAGCAUUGCCCCAACUUUGAGAUGCUACCAGAAUGGCUAAAAAAUCUUAAUUCACUUCAAAGACUGGAGAUUCUUAAUUGUCCCAAAUUUUCCUAUCUUCCCGAUGGAAUAGACCAUCUCACUGCACUUAGACAACUGAAGUUUCAACAAUGUCCUACAUUGUGUGAAAACUGCCAACCGGAAGCUGGCGCUGAUUGGUCCAAGAUAUCACACAUCCGCGAUGUUCAUAUUGAAGACCAAAAGAUUAUCAAGUCACGUUAGAGGGUAUUUAUUUAUUUAGCAAUCUAAUCUAUCACUGUUCGAUGUACUUCUUUAUAAUUCUGAAAUACUAUUUCUUUUUCUUUUCUCCUUUUCUGAUCUCUCAGGGAAAAACUUAAAAAAAAAAAAAGAGGAAAUUUCUGUUUUAUGAAUUUUUUAUAUUUUAGAUUUGAAAUUAAACACUUCAAAAUUGCUGCUGAAAAAAAUUCCCAAAUUGAGAUGGAGCAUUAAUUAUGGAUGGUCUUAUUAUAUAGUACUACUAUAUGUUCUUAUGCAUGACAUUUUCGUUUGCAUUUCCUUUUAAUUUCUAGAAUUCAGAUUAAAUGUCCUCUAAUUUCCAGUCAAAAAUUAAAAAAAAAAUGAUCAUAUAAUUUGCUCAAUGUAUACAACCUUUGCAAAUUUUAAUAAUCUGUAUUUUUGAAGUCACAGGUAAAUUAUGAACUAGAUACUUUGAUGAAAAUAAAGGAGUAGCAGGUGAGACUUCAACCCAUCCAUAGCAUUCUACUAUAAUUAAAGUUCAUCAGCAAGAUUUUAUAUGUCAGACUUCUACGAAUUGAGUUUUAUAUAUAUAUAUAUAUACAUUUUUAUAUUAAAUCAAAUAUAUACAUCUUUAUGUAUGCAUGUCUGUAUUUUUUAUGCAAAAUUAAAUAGAUUUUAUUAGAAUGAAAAGUUUACAAAAUGUAUGUAUGUAUGUAUAUAUAUAUGUAUAUAUGUAUUUGGUACAUUGGAGCAGACUAAGUCGGCAAAAUUACUCAAGAUGUUUAUUUAUAUAUUAAACCUAUAGGAAUUGCAUUUUAGCUGUAUUUUUAAUUCAUUUAGUUUUAACCAAUGCAAGCAGCUCUCAAGAUGGAAAAUUCAGGGAAGGCGUGUUGGGUAUGGAAGGCUAGCAGUAAGCAUUUUACUUUGUUUGAUUUACAGUCUUUUUGCUGUUGUUAAGAUGCCUUCAAUUAAGGACUUUAUGGAAUAUUAUUGUUGUAAUAAAUGAAUGUGAUUUUAAUUUGUUUCAGAUGUAAUGUAAUUAACAGUGCUAUUCUGUAAGAUUUUGUUGUGAUAUUAUGUACCAGACAUACUUAAUCAUGUGUUUGUUGUGUUAUGACUAGUUUGUUUUAAAUUGCUCGUAGUUUAUCUGUAUCCCAUUGUGGGCUUUUUCUUGGUUUGCUUCAGAUAUCAAGUCUCUUGGUUUGAUGUAACAUUUGUUGCUUUGAUGUUGCGUAUUGAUUGUAGUUCAUGUUUGUAACAUUGUUUGACCCCAUGUACCUAGAAUAUGUAUUUGUUUGCGUAAUCUACUUCAGUAUUCAUUUCAGUGUUCUAUAUUCAGUUAUUGUUUCCUCGGGGUGAAUGAUAUUAUCUCAUUUAAAAAGCAUUGGUUCUAAAUAAAAUCAGAACUUUACUUGGAGGUUGUCGCAUAACAGUUUUUUUUUUUUUGAAAUUUUUCGACGUUCGAUAAUAAUUUUGAAUCUCGAUUAAUUCAGAAUCAAACUAAAUCAAAAAUCGUAAGUUCUUUCAAAAUUAUUUUUUUAUUUACAGAACUCAAAAACUAAAACUUUACUUAAAGUUAACCAUCCGUGCUGCAUAACAGUUUAAUUAUAACAAAUCAAUGCACCCCUAAGUCAUGUGUAAAUCUUAUAAAAGGUCACUUUUACUUGUUUUACACGACGGGAGAACGUGUGAAAGAAAAUAGAUAUUUAUUUGAAAAUUUUAUCAACUAUCAGUAAAUUGAAUAAUUUAUUGCAUCAAAGUGAAACUCUACGAGGUAUUCAUACAACACGAUACUAAUGAUAAUAAAAAUAUUUUUAUAUAUUCUUUCUUCUCUCAAUUUAUUUGUUUUAAAAAAUUCUAAUUUUUGUAUUUAAUAUUAUAAUUUUAAUUUUUUAUAAUAUUGAUGUAUCAUAUUUUUUAUUGUCAAAAAAUAAAUUUUAAGUAUAAAGAUAAAAUAAAAGGUAUUCAGAUAUUUUGAAAAAUCUAUAUCUUGAAACGACUCAAAAAUGAAAAAAAAAAUGGAAGAAAUACUACCUAUGUAAAAAUAUUCAAUGUAAAUAAGACCCAAAAUAAAAAUUUACAUUAUACCCAUAUUAAAUAAUUGAAUUAAGUUUAAGACCACACUUAAAAAUUCUUAAUUGCAAUAAAAUUAAGUUCAUUACCCAUAUUAUUUCCACUAGGUGAUGCUUAAAUCUAAAUAUGGAAUCCAUCAGUCGUUUAGUUUUUUAUCAGUUCGGCUUUAAAAAAAAUUUUCAAGCAAAAUGCAUUUCGUUUCGUGUCCGUCGAUACACUCACUGAUUUUUUUUUUUUUUUGCGUGUCCAUGGGUGUCCCUCGCGUUACGAUAGGGUGGAUGCUGUGAUUCCUGGAAAGCAUCCAUUUUUCAUUGUGCAAACAUUGAAAGCUUUUUUUUUUUUUUUGUUCUUUUGGUGGUGAUGUAGCUGAUCAUCAACCAAACCACAAGUAUAAAAGUACUGAUGGCUGCUAAAAUAAAAUAUUUACUCUAAACUCACUUGUGUAAUUUCCCGAAAACAAACUUCAUUAUAAAUACUAUACUCAAUUGUCAUUUACCUUUGAUUACCUCUCCAGAGUUUAAUUAUGGCGGAAUCAUUUCUGGCCAUCGUUGCAGAACAGAUUUUGGAAAAGAUAGUAUCCCUGGCUGCCAAAGAAACUAUAUCGCUUUGGAAUGUCAGUAGUGAUUUGAGAAGGCUUAAGGAAACCAUGACCUACAUAAUGCUGUGCUGUUAGAUGCUGAAAAAUGGCAGCACCAGAACGAGACGUUGCUACUUAGUUUGGGGAAGCUUAGAGACGUCUUAUAUGAUGCUGAGGAUGUGCUUGAUGAAUUCAGGUGUGAAGCGUUGCGAAAGGAGUUGAUCAAUCGUGGAAGCGCCACCAACAAAUUAGUACGAUUACCUGCUCUCUCUAUUCCAUUUGCAUUCCCUUUGAGGAUGAGUCAUAAAAUCAAAAAGAUCAAUGAAAAGCUAGAUGCGAUAGCUAGUGAUUUCAAAAAAUUUAAUCUUGGACUUGAAGAGAAAGUUGAGAACCGGCGUGUUAUUCUCAUGGAUACCCACUGCUUUGUGAUACCUUUUAAUGUGAUAGGUCACAAUUGAGACAAAGAAAACAUCAUAGAUCUUUUAGUCAAGCCAAUCGAUACUGAAAAUAUCCCCGUCAUCCCUAUAGUUGGAAUCGGAGGUUUAGGGAAGACCACGCUUGCUCAACUUGUGUACAACGAUGAAAGGAUCACUAGGGUCUUUCCCUUGAAAAUAUGGUUGUGUGUCGGAUGAGUUUGAUCUUGCUAGGUUGCUUUGUGAUGUUAUUUACUCCAUUACGGGAGAAAGAUGUAAUGGUUUACCAGUUAAUGCAUUGCAAACUCAUUUGCGAAUGCUUUUAAAUGGUAAAACUUUUUUACUCAUUUUAGAUGAUGUAUGGAACGAAGAUCAUGUAAAAUGGAUGGAACUGAGAGAUUUACUGAUAACAAUGGGUAACUUUCAACAAAGUAAAAUCAUUGUGACUAACCGGAGUUCAAAAGUUGCUUCGAUAGUGGGUACUAUUGCUCCGUACAACUUGAAAGGUCUUAGUCACUAAGAUUGUCUAUCUUUGUUUGUAAAAUGGGCAUUUAGGGAAGGAGAUGAGAAAAUAUAUCCAAACCUUAUGAGAAUUGGUGAUGAAAUUGUGAAAAAAUGCAAAGGGGUUCCAUUGGCAGUGAGAACUUUAGGGAGCUUGCUCUACUGAAAACUGAGCGACAUGAAUGGGAAUUUAUCAAAGAUAACGACAUAUGGAAACUUGAUCAAAAUGAAAAUGACAUUCUACCUAUGCUGAAAUUGAGUUAUAAUCAUUUGCCAUCUCAUUUGCAAAGGUGCCUAACUCGUUUGUCAUUGUUUCCAAAGGAUACUAUUUAUGAUACUGAUUAUAUCGUCCAAUUCUGGAUGGCCAUUGGACUUACUGAAAGCCCCAAGCAAAACGAAGAGUGGGAAGAUGUUGGGUUACAAUAUUUCAAAGAAUUAUGGUCGUUGGGUUUUGUCCAAGAUGUCGAGGUUGAAUAUACAUAUUACACAUUUAAAAUCCAUGACCUAAUACAUGAUCUCUUGUCAAAUGUGUCUCAAGAUGACUGUUUAACAAUUUAUCUUCAUACAAUAAAUACCGCUGAUCAUAUUCGACAUCUGUCAUUUUCGGGUGAUAAUCCAUUGAGGGCUCCACAGUCAUUUUUGAAGAAUUUAAAUGGUGUGCGGACAUUGGUGAUCCUACCUUCUUCAGGAAGAAAUAGGAUAAUUGAGGAACAUUUUGUGAAUGCUUCCAUCUUGAAUUUCAAGUUCCUGCGGCUACUUGAUCUCUUCUAUUCAUUUUUGGAAGUAUUGCCCAAUUCUGUUGGCACCUUGAAGCAUUUAAGAUAUCUUGACUUAUCCAGGUGUUAUAGAAUGAGCAAGUUUCCUCGUUCUAUCUAUAAGCGUCAAAGCUUGUUGACAUUAAGAUUGUUGGAUAUUGAUUGCCAAUUGCAACUGCCUCGCAAUUUGCAAAGUUUGGUCAAUCUCAGGUUUCUAGAUCUAAUCGGGGAUACUCAUGAGAAAUUAACACCCACACACAGCACCCACAUACACAAAAUAACAAGCUCAAAUCAAAAAUAAAAACACAAACAUAUUUGAUUAAACCCAAAUCAAAAUGGUUUACUCAAAACUCAAUCAACUAACAAUAAAUUUUUACAACUAUGAAACUUUUAAAAUGAGAAAAAUCUCCAAAAACUUUUUAUUUGAAACUUUACCCAAAACUUAAUUAUACCAUUUUAAUAACCUACUUACGUAACUAUUCUUUUGGUGUCUAACUCUCUAAGACUCUCAAACCAAAACUAAAACAUUUUAUUUAUAAGGAUAAAAUUUGUUAUAACUUUAUUAAGCUCUCGAUAUGGGAUAUAAGAUAAACUCAAAACUCUUAUAACUUUCGAUAUGUAAUUAUAAGAUUCAAAGCAAAUCCAAAGAGAUACUACGCAUAUAAGUGAGAUUCCACCAGGAUGUUGGAGUUCUCUUCAGUUCUUGUACUGCUACGGAUGUGAGUUGCGGGAAUAUUUGUUUGAAGGGAUGCAACACCUGACAUCACUUCCUGACAUCACUUCGAAGUUUGACUAUAAAAUGUUGCUCUAAACUAGUCUCACUACCACGAAGUCUGAAAUUUCUAACCAAGCUGGAGUGUAUUACUAUAGUUGAAUGCCCAAUAAUCAAUUUACGCAUGGAACUGGAAGAAAGAGAAGACUGGGACCUUCGCCUGUGCCUUUAGCAAUUGGAAAUACGAGGUGCACCAAAGUUGGAGGAUCUACCGCGAUUGCUUCUUGAUAGAUCUGCUAGCACUUUACAACUUAUAAAAAUUCACCGCUGUCCCAACUUUGAGAUACUACCGGAAUGGCUACAAAAUCUGUCAUCACUUCAAAAACUUGAGAUUCUUGACUGCCCAAAAUUAUCCUCUCUUCCGGAUGGUUUGGAUCGCCUCACCUUGCUUACCCAACUACAGAUUCGAAAAUGUCCUACGUUGAGUGAAAAAUAUCAACCCGAAGUGGGUGCUGGUUGGUCUAAGAUAGCACACAUCCAAGAGGUUCAUAUUUAAGUUCAGAAGAUUUACCAGGUAUGGUUUGUGGUACUUAUUAAUUUCUUUAACUUUUAUCUCUUCAUUGCUAGUUAAAAUUGACCAUAUAAGUUCCUCUCUACGCAUGUAUUAUGCAUACAACAUUUGCAAAUUUUAAUGAUUUGUACCUUUGAUCGCAGGUAAAUUUUGAAGUCGAUGCUUUGGUGAGAAUAAAUGAGCGGCAUGUGAGACUUCAAUCCACCCAUUUCCACAAGAUUCAUUCGAACUUAGCUUCUUUUUUUUUUUUGGAACAUUGCUCGAAAUUACUUUGAGUUGUAUUUUUAACUCAUUUCAUUUAGUUUUGAACUACUGCAUGCAGCUGUCAUGAUGGAUGAUUGAACCAAAGCCUAUCAGUAUAGAGGCUAGCGCUAGCUGGAAGCUUUUUAGUUUUUACUUUGUUUGAUUUAGAGUCUUUGUGCCAAUGAUUUGUUGGCUUCAAUUAUGGACUUUAUGGAAAUAUACUAUAAAAUGUAUGGCUGCGUAUAACCAGAAAUAUGAAUACUUGAAAUUUGUACCAUUUUAUAUGUUCCAACUAGCAAAGCAAGUUGAGAAUAAGAAUAUGUCAUCUAUCUAUUAUCUAUCAUAAAAUGAAACUCAACUAGAGAUGCAUAGUUGGGUGACACUAUGGGUGGAGAUUCAUCAUUUAUUCAACUUUAUGUCAAUACUGACUUUUUGCAAAAAAAAAAAAAUAUGUUGGAAGGAGAAAAAAAAAACAGAAAGAUUGAGUCUGAAAAAGAAUGAACGGUGGAAAAACAAAGAAAACAACAAUCAAAAUUUACUAAAACUCAAAUCAAUCCAAAAAUUCACGCAUGCAGACAUCAUAACCUUUUCCAACACCUAUAACAAGCAAAUCACAUUUAAAGAAAAAAUGGGGAAAAAAAGAGAACAUCAGAAAAACAAAUUGAGAAAAAAAAUUGUUUAGGUUGUUUUAAAGUUACAAUGCCCACUUGGUACCUCUCUUGAAUGGUUAGGUUCUUUUUCAUAUAUAGCUAGCUGUUUCCUUCAUGUUUCCUUUCCUUUGAAAUGGGCAUGGCAGACAAACCAAAAAUGUCGUUUUCAUUAAAUAAAACGAUAGUGUUAUUGCAUCUUUCAUUAAAUAAAAUGAUAGAGUUAUUACACUAUCAUCACUCUGCGGUCCAUCUAAAUCUAAGUCUAAUACCAUCAUUGUGCUAUUGCACCUUUCAUUAGAUGAUGUAUCUGCAUUACUUGAUGUAAACAUCCUUGGAAUUGACCCAUUAAUUGUGAGUGUUCCCAUAUUUUUGUAAUUAGCAUAAGGAAGGAUGAUAACGGAUUAAAUCAAUGUGAAUUUUUAUUUUAUUUAAUUUCAAUUCAAUUUUUUAAUUUUUACACUCAAUUUUAAUUUUAUUUGACAUCAAAAUAUUAUUUUAUUCAAUUCGAUUAGUAUAUUUAUAAAUUGCAACCAAUUUGUUUCUAUUCAAAAUUAAUAUAAUAAUUUAAUUUAAUACAAUAUUCAUAAAAUAUUAUUUCUAAAUAUAAAUAUAUAUCUUAGUUAUAUAUAAUAUAAAAUUCUUAUUAAAUCAAUACCUUAAAUUAAAAUAUUAAAUAAUUAUUUUAUUAAUAUAAUAUAUAUAAACAUAAAAGUAAAUAAAUAAUAAAAAUAUUUUUUAUAUACAUGCAUCUAGUGGAGUUGGAACAACUUAAAAUCCAACUUCAACUCAAACCCAAUUUAAAGAAAAAAAACAGAAAAAGGAAAUCCAAUCCACUUUCGAUCUGAUUUUUUAUUUAAAAAAAAUUUAUUUUGUUUAAAAUUAAUUAAAAUCUCUAAGAUAUAAAUUAUUUUAUCACCUAAAUAUAAUUUUAUAAAAUUUUUCGAUGUUAAAGUAUAAGACUUAUAUCUUUUUAUACACUCUGCUUCAGCUGUUUGUCGUGUUCUGAUUCAUUGAUUAAACGAUUAUCUCAUUCAAGUAUCUCCAUUUCGCAUAAAUUCAUCCAUUAUUGUCUAUCGAGGAGGCCCAUAAAAUGUGACUAUAAGUUAAAUCGCGAUUUGGAUUCAAAAGCAUUCCUAACGUAAAUACACUGGCAUGAAAAUUUGUGCAAAUGCAUUGAACACGCAAUUCGAUGUCCAUCACGAAAUCAACUUUUACUCAUUGAAUUUUUUGGUUUUAGUGGAUGAACGCUCGAUUGCAUUUUUUUUUUUUUACCUUUUUAAUUGUAUUGAAGAGACAAAAAAAAAUAUUUUUAUAAUUUAACCUUUUUUUUUAUUUAAUAUAAUAAAAUUAUUAUUUGAUAAAUUAUUAUUUUUAUUAAUUAUCAAUUAUUUAUUAAUAAAUUAUUAUUUGACAUAAAUUAUUUGAAUAAAUUUAUAAUUAUUUAUUAAUUUUAUAAAUUUUAAAAUUUUAAAAUUUUUUAUUAAAUAUAAUUUUUAAUUUAAUAUCCUAUAUGAUUUUUUAUUCUCACUAUAACUUAAUUUAUAUUUAAUAUUUUUGUUUUAUUCAAACACAUAUCUCACAACUAUUUUUACUCUUAUUAUUAUUAUUAUAAUUAUUUUUACUUUUAUUAAUAUUUUUAAUUUAAUCAAAAUCAUCCUUAUCAUUCAUUCAAAUUAACUUUAACACAAAGAAGUAGAAUAGUAAUCAAAAUCCUCUUAUUAACUUAGCGUGAAAGAGGAAGACUUCGUCGAAUUUUUUUUUUUUUUUUUAAAUUGAUUAGUUCCACAAUAUUAAGAAAUUUGAUAGAUAGAAAUCUUAUUAACUUGUUGGGGAGUGGAUGGACCGUCAACGUCUAGUCGUUUGUGUACAGUUUUCGCCAAAUGAAUAAAUUAUUCGAAAAUAUAUACAUCUUGGAAAGCUAUAUAUGAAGAUCAAUUGGCUGGCUCAAGGGCAAAGUCAAUGAACUGCUCAGAGAAAAAGAGAGCGUUGACCUGUCUUUUAACUUAAUACCCUUCGUCUUUUCUUUGAUUUCAGAGUUCAGAUAUGGAUGAAUUAUUCUUAUUCGAGAUUGCAGAAAGUGUUUUGGAGAAGAUAACUUCCCUUGCUAUUGAGGAAGUUCGCUUCAGGUGUAUAUAAUAAACCUCUCUAUGCAUGAAAUCAGUACCAUCUCACAAAGAGAGAUGCAUAAAAAGAUGCAGAAAUAAGCAUAAAUAAACUCAGUAAACACACACUUACAAGACAAAAGAAUGUCUUUUAAGGCUCAUAGUUAUCGAGUAUUAUGUAAUUUUCCAUGCAUAAUGAGACUGAUAACACAUGCAGAUUAGUUUGAGACAAGAAAAGAGUGGCACUCUUUAGAAGUACAAACCUCCCUUUCCUGCAGGGCUGCCUCCUUUCUGAAGAGGAAGACAAAUAGCGCAUAAGAAAAAGGAAAAAUAAAUCACAAUAUAACAUUAAAUUCUUGUAAGCCAUGAAACUUGCCUGCUUAAAAGACGUGCUUCUAAAGUUACACCUUCUCCAAGAUUAGCAAUCUAUAUUGAACAUGUUAUGAAUCAAGUAAACAAAUACAUAAUUUUGCUUGCUGGAGCGGUAUAAAGUUCAUUUACAUUUCUCUUGUUUAGUUUUCUUUAAACUGAGAAAAGUUCACCUGUUUCUCAAGCUGCUGAGCUCUUGCUUCUUGCUUCCUCACACCUCUCCUCUGCAAGUUGAAGCUGGGAAGGCAAAUAUCAUGCAAAAAUAACAGUAUAAGACUAUUAUUAACAUUUUCCGUAGGCCAAAGCACUUAGUUGGCUAACCUAAUUACAUCAGAGUUUUUGGGAGAAAAUGGUUGUUGCAAAAGUUAUAUCCAAAUGCCAGUAUUCAGAUAGAUUAUGCCCGUUCAUUUGAAGAUAACUGUUGCAACAAUUUAGGAUAUUGGCUCAGUGCUUGAAGAUGAUGGAGAGCCAAAUUGAUGUGCAUGAAUACAAUAUCAUUUUCCAAAUAAAACUUUUCAUACAACUUUACUAGAUACAACAAUAGAACAAGUUACAUAACAAAGAAGAAAAAAGUUGCUGGAAUCACCUUUUCAAUUAAACUUUCAUUUUCAUCCUGUAGCAUAUCAAGCUGCCAUGAAAUUCACACCACAUUACUGGAAGAUAAAAAUAAACAUUUUCCUAAGCUUCUUCAUGUGUUUGAUCACAUAGACUGAAAAUUGAAGUGUUCAGACUUGAACAAAUUAAUUAGGUUUUUGAAAAAGAAGAUAUGAUGACCUAUACACCUGCUUUCAAAUAAUUCCUUAGAAACAAAAAAGAAAAAAAUAAAAUUGCAACUAAUAUAUGCUAGAAGGAAACACAUAUUUAGCUUAACGUGACUGUACCUCAUCUUGUAAAGCAGAAGUAGACUGCUGUCUUCCCCUAUCUUUCAAACUGCUCAUACUCCCAAAAUCUGAAGACAAUCUGCUUACACUAUAAAUUUUAGAGCACUAUAGAUGAAACAAAGAAAGAACCUAAACCAGUGCAAUGGGCAUUUUACAUGAUCCCAGGAUCUUGAGACCCUAACAUUAUUAAUUGAGAAAAACGCAUGACGGUGAUGGGCUUAAAUACUUCCAGGGGAGGGCAUUAUGCAUUCUUGAAUACUGGAAGAGCAGCAACAAAGCCUUUCUUACUGUAGAGAUGAAAACAUAAGGACCUGAAUUACUCAUAUAUAUCUAUUAUCUUGUGACUAUGUUAUAUAAGAAUGUUCUUAAUGUUGUUUAAAUUUAUGACACUCAAUCGCUUCUAAAUCACGAAUCAGAGAAGUUGCUCCAUUUGAUGGCAGAUUUCCUCAUUCUCUUUCUAAUAUAUCUAAAACUUCAAAGACCAAGUUAAAAGGGAAAAUUCACAUUAUAUGUAUAAAACUAACAAAAAAAAAUAAGGGUGACGAAAGAAAAAAGUUGGAGGGGAUUACGAUAUGGAUGAUAACUUCAUCCUUCAAACUGAAAUCACACCAGCUUAGAGCUAUAAUAUACCGUUUAUCUCUCCGAUUAUCAGUUGAAGCCUCUGUUGAACUAACAGAUGAGGUUGGCUUCAGUGGCAUAGGCACUGUAUGAGGUAUCACAGGAACUGCCUUGACUCCUAAAUGUUGGCGACCUGAUGCUGUGGAACGAGCAGAUAAAGGUUGCUCUAUGGAUCUGGUUAAUGGACAUAACCGGCCAGCAGUUGGCUGUUCUGCAGAACCCUGCAGAGAUGGUUGUCCGCCUGAAAUGGAAUAAGGAGACAUGGGUUGCUCCACAGAGCUGAUAGAGUGAGAUGGUUGGCCACUUGAAUAAGAUGAUAAUGGUUGCUCCAUAUUGUUGACAGAUAGAGAGGUUUGACUGCCUGGUGUGGAACGUGUAGAUGGUGGUUGAUCCUGAUUGAUAUGAACUGACUAAUAGCAAAUUUAAACUUACAAGUAAGAAUUACAUUCAUAAGUAAUAUAAGCAUUAAACAAACAAAAAAUUUAGAUAACUGAGCAUACUCAGUUAACAGACAAAUUACUGAGGGAGAAGAUGAACGUAUUGCUUUUCCACAAGCAAGUCCAAUGGUUGCUGUGCCACUCGCUGAACUAUUAUUAUUUGCAAGGUCAUCCACAUCAUUGUCCUCAUCACCUGGUUGCUGUGCUACUUGUUGCACAGGCCUUUGAGCCAUAGUUUUGGCCUGUGUUUACGAAUGGAAGUCCAUAUAAGAAUGCAUUUCUCAGUAGCAUAAAACUCCAGCAUUAACCGUAAAUCUUUUCCUUAAACUCACAUCAUAACUUGUCUGCUCAAGCUCAUGCUUCUUCUCUCACAUUAGCAUGACAAGCAAGAAAUAGCUAAAACAAAUUCAUAAUAGGAAAUCACAUAAUUACCAUAGAAGGGCGUGACUGCAUUGCCCUACCACGAGCAAUACCAAUGCUUGCUCUGCCACUAACUAAAAGGUCAUCCUCAUGAUCGCCCUUAUCAGAUGCUUUCCGUGUAGUAACUUGUGGCAGCCGCUUCUGAGUUAUGUUUUUAGUCUGCAAAAUUAUACAGUGCUAGUCCACUGAGAACAUAUUUGUUGGUAGCAUCAGGCUUUUGCAUGUAAUGUGUAAGUCACAGAAGUUACAAACUAACGAUUAGACAUCUAUGAAUUAUCUUAUUCAACAAAUUCCUUUGCAACUUAAUAUUAAACUUUCUUCCCUAAACACAUUUCAAGCAGCAACCCAAUUAUAAACAACAAUAUGUUCAAAUCACCAAAUUUGUACUGAUAAGAAAAUCAAAUAAGUAAUUUUGCACGCAAGACCCAUAUGGUUACCAAACAACUAGUCAACUGAAUAAUACACUUCUCUUUGUAAUAAGUAAUAAUGCAUUAAGGAAUAUUCGGAGUCCUUAAAGACUAAAUCAGUCAAUUACUGAUUUCCAGUGCUCAAGCAUGCAUGAACAGGUCACUCAAUUAUUAGCUUACGACUUAUCUUGUUCACACUCUCACGUUCCAUUUCAUACCGUGUUGACAAAAUGUUACAUUUAUCAGAGACAGCUCAAGCCAAGCUUAUAAAAACACAGUACUUUCAUAGCUCCAAAAGUUAAAAUGACAAAAAGAUAAAUUUAAAAUUUUAAGUCUGAAACUUAAACAACUUGAGCAAUUUUAGAUAAAACCUAUUAUAUGUCCAGAGAAUUUAAAAUUUGUUAUAAAUGUAGCUCAAACUAAGAAUUUAACUUGUCUAAUUGCAUUCAUUUUCUUUCCCUGAGGCUCACUAGACAAACAUGUCUAUCUAAAUCAGAUAGUCAUAUAAUUACCGCAGGAGAGCGUGACUGCAUAGCCCUUCCACCUGCGAGCCCUAUGCUUGAGGUACCACUCACUAAAAGGUCAUCAUCAUCAUUGUCCUCAUCAGAUGGUUGUUGUGGUGCUCGCCUUUGAGCUAUGUUUUUGUUCUGGGUUUUACAAGAUAACUUGCAGUAAGAACAUAUUUAUUUGCAAUGUAAAACCAGCUAGCAUGCUAACAUGAACAAGCUUUAGAGCAGCAUAAGAGAGUUUGAAAUACAUUACAAUGCAUGACAAAUUGAUAAUACAGUUAAUAGUGGUCAAAAAAAUCUUUUAUAGAGAAGUGUUAUUUUAACUUGUCAAAUGGAAUUUAUUGAACUACAACAAGUUUGUGCGUCUCACUUUGACACACAUGCAGCUGGUAUAGCUAAAACCAAAUUUGUGUUAGAUAAUUACUGCAGGAGACUGUGACCGCAUUGCCCUUCCACCAGCGAGACCUAUGCUAGCUGUGCCACUGACUAAAAGUCCAUCCUCAUCAGCUGGUUGUUGUGUCAUCACUACUGGAGCUCGCCUUUGAGGCAUGUUUUUGUGCUGGAUUUUACAAUGCAAGUCCAAGUAAGAAUAAAUUGACUUGCAAUGUCAUAAGUCAUAACUCUACCACAUGCAACCAUGAACAAAUUUAGAGUUUAGAGCAGCAUAAGAGAAUUUAAUACUUAAUUGAGUCAUGAUCAUAGCUAAGGAAAGUGUCUUUUAACUUGCCUAAUUCAACUCGCUCUUUUUUCUCUUACCUCUCACUUAACUAACAUAGCAUAGGUCAACCUAAACCAAAUUCCUAGUAUUAGAUAAUUCGAUAUAAUUACCAUAGGAGAGCGUGACUGCAUUGCUCUUCCACCACCAAGCCCUAUACUUGGCGUGCCAGUCACUAAAAUGUCAUCCUCAUCAUUGUCCUCAUCAGCUAGUUGUUGUGUCAUUGCCUGUGGAACUCGCUUUGAGCCAUGUUUUUGUUCUGGAUUUUACAAAGUUAAACCCAGCUGGUAAGAAGUAAGAAUUAUUUAUUUCCAAUGCCAAGCUCUUGCAUAGCAAAAUAGUGUUGAAAAUGCCCAUUAAAGAAAAGUGCCUAUGACAGAACUGAUAAUGGGGUAAGUUUAAAAAAAACAUAUAAAGAUAUUUUAAUCCAUUGUUUCACUUCUUAAACAGUUCAUUAUUCAUACUGAUAUGAAGCUUUAAUCUCAAAAUUAAUGUAAAAAUUGUCAAAACCAUCAUGUUUCGAACACAUACUUGUAUCCGACACCCUACCCCUGAGAUCACGUAACAUUAAAUUACCAUAGGAGAACGAGCACGAGUUGCUCUUCCACCAGCGAGUCCAAUGCCUCCCGUGCCAUUAAUGUUAUUAUAAUCAAGCUGGUCAUCAUCAUCACCCUCCACGUUUUGCUGGUGUGCCAUAACGGCCGCCAGCCUUUGCGCCGCCGCUUUCGUUUGCGCUUUCUUCAUGUUCCCCACGCUUGCGUAGCUUGAUCGCGACCGUCCGUGGCGGUGUAUCGGCGACGAUGAUGUCAGUGGUGAUGCCGGCGUCCCUGGCGUCUCCGAGUCCACCGUGGUCUGAUGUCUCUCGUAUGCUAACUUCCUCCUAUUCAUAUUGACUGCAAUAAACAAAUUGAAAGCAAAAAGAAAAAGAAAGAUAAAUCAAUCCAUAUUAAAAGAAACAAAUACAAAAAACUUAAGAGUUGAACUUAAAACUUACCAGGUUGAUCAAAGAGAAGACUCUGUUUUUCGGUAAAAGGUAAGAAAAACAAGCAUUGUUCCGUGACACAAAAUGAAAAAGGAUGAGAAAAUGGUGAUUAGUUUUCCACGAAAAUGUGGGAAAUUGGAAUAGUUUACGGGGACGCAUUUGAAGUGAAAAAUGGUAAACCAAAGGAUCCGAUAAUUAAGGCAAGAAAAGAGGAAGUUUUAACGGUCCAUUAUUUUUUCUUUUUCUAGAACUGAAAGAUUUUCUUUUACAUGUCAAAUACGUUCCUGUGGGGUGAAUGUCUAAUUUCAUUAUAUUGAGGAAUAUUUUUGCAAUUACCUAAAGUAGUAGGGUUAUACGCUUGUACUUACUCGUUCAAUAAACACUUUUUUAAACAAUAUAACAAUUGAAAGUGCAUUUUUUUUCAUUUAACAACUUUUUUUUUCAUAUUUGAUACUCCUGUUUCAUAUUUUAUGUUCUUAUUUGUUUUUUGGAAUUAAAAAAAAAGAGAGAUUUAACAUGCAUUAUUAACUUUAAUUUUUUGUAAAAUAUAUAAUUCCUAGUUUUUAAUAUCAAAAAAUAAAAAAUUAUGAAAAAAAAAGUUUGGAAUAUAAAAAAAUUAAGAAUUUUAGGUUUUUAAAAAAAUAUAUAAUUUUGAAAAAAAAAUGAGAUUGAAAGAGUAAUGACAAUACAAUAGAAUUCUUUUAAUUCUUCUAUAAAAAAAAUGAAAUUCUUAUAAAACCUUUUGUAGUGGUAGAAAUGUUUAAGUAAAAAUCAUUUGUCUUAAGCUAUGUUUUCCAUGCACUACCAUGUUAAAUUCAAAUGGUAACAAAACAAGAAUUUUUUUACUCAAUUUUUUUUAUUAAUGUUUUAUUUGGAUGACCAAUAGAAAACGAUUCCUACCACAUCAUCAUUAGAAACCGGAUUGCGACAAUGCAAGCACUGAUCACUCAGUAAACUGAACUGGAAACCUGUUCUUUUUCUUGCUUUUGAAACACCAUUGGUGUUUUUUCGUACAAUUGCGAGCGAUUAACAGUAAGAACCAGGUCAAUAAUGUUGGAAUUUAAAAAAACAAAUAGGAAUGAAUAAGCAAAACUGAUAGAAGAAAAUAUCAAAAGAAAAAAAAAAUCUUUGACUUUAAAUGCAAAACAAAAUAGGAAAAACACAUAGGUUAGCAAAGACAUGUCACAACAGCAUUUUGAUGCAAUAUUUCUGGAAGACAGCAAUAAAAUGUUUUACCUGCAUACAGUAAUAAACUCAAUUUUUAUUUAAGCAUAAGUGACCAUUCGCUAUUCAACACCCAAUUAAACACAGAUGCAGAGAGAAAACACCAAUUUAGAACGCCUGAUACCAAAUAGUCCAACAAAAAAACAUUUCCUCGAUGUAACAUAGCAUGCUAAAAUGACAAAGUUCCUUCACCUUGACAGGAAGAUGGCAGUCGGAUUUCCAGGGGAUGGAGGAUUCUGCUUUAGCAGGGAUGCAUGAGGACCAGCUUGAACAUAAGCAUCAGGAUCAGUGGCCGACAAGACUUCUACCUCUUCAAGACCAAGUUGUCUUUUGAUCAAGUCCAAGUUCUCCUUAAGGACCUGAAUCUCUCCAAAGGGCAGCUUCAAAUCCAGGACUUGGGCACCAAUUUUAAUAGCCUCAUCCUUCUUGAACGUCAAGAAUGGCAUACAACGUUUCUGGAUCUGUUUAAAGUCUGCUGCCUGACCAACAGUGCUCUCCUGCAAUGCGUUCAUUAUCUCCCCGUCUGAUGCAAAAGUAUGGGUCUUAUUGUCGAACUUGCUUUGGAGAAUCUGCAAACACUCUGCUUGCCAUCCUUCAAAUUGCUCAUUCACAAAGAUUAGGCCUUUUAACUUGUCCUCAGUUAGCGAUGUAACAGGAGCACCUUUCUUAUUAGCUUUCUUUGAUCCCAAAAUCUGCUUCUGGAGCAGCUUUCUCAUCAACACAAUGGAAUCUUGCAAAUACUUAUCGGCACUCUUGAGUUGCAGAUCUGGAGAAUCUGCUGUGGGCCAGCCUGCUUUCACCACAAAGCCAUCCUUCUUCAAAAGCUCUCUCCAAACAAACUCCGCAUAGUGAGGGCAGAUUGGAGUGAUAAGCCUAGUCUGCACAUCCAUAAACCGCCAUACAAGGUCACGGUUCAUGCCCCCACUGCCACAAGAGAACCUAUACUCAUCCCUGGCAGCUUGAAGAUCAUAAAAGCCAGUCUUGAGAGCCUCCCGAAACAUGUAAUCCCUAUAAUUCUGCUCAGUCAUUU